CGCAAAUUAUUUGUUGAUUCCUCCUGUCUCUGCUAACAUUGCAGGUGUAUUGAUUUUAGAGUGUAAGCUUAAUUGUGAGCACAACCUUAAUGCAUAGAUACAAGAUCUUUAAAAAUUAGUACAAUAAACUUAGCACUAAAUCUAAAUUUGAUAUUUUGGAUUCCAUGAUUAAGAUUUUUUUUAAAUGAAAAUUUAAUAGGGUUAAUUUAAAAAUAAAAAUUAAAUAUGAAAAAUUAGACUUGCAAUUAUGGAUUUAAUUUUGAUAAAUAAUGAAUGUUCUCUUAAUAUUUUUUUUAAAAGGUAAAAGUGCGUGCAAAGCCCAAAUUCAUUUUUUUAGUCCCUUACUCUCCCAUGAUUCAAACUUGGGUGGUUGUGGGAGGACUGAAAAUAUAUAAGACCGUUAACUUCACUUUUUUUUUCUUUUUUUUUUUUUUUGUUGAGAGAAAAGAGAAGAAGGAUAUUACAAAGCAUGAAGCUCGUGCAAUAUAAGGACAAUUAUGGUUUUUUCUUUAAAUUAAAAUGGUAAGAUUUUGAAGCUAAAAGAUUAAAAUAUUAAUUAAAUUGCAACCAUUAAAGAUUUUUUUUUUCAAAUGGUUGCUUUGAAAAUGAGAAUAAUAUAAUAUUUGAAGACUUUUCAAAAUUAAUUACUGUGAUAGAUGCACUAGAAAUUUCUAGCUUUAGUCUAAUGUAUAAAUUGACAAAACGAUAUUAGAAUUCCAGGUGAAAAGAACCCUCUCAUACCAUUUUCUUAAAUUAGGAAUGAUCAUACCUCUGACUCUGCCGGACUGAGGGUGAGGUCUGAACCCCACAUCUCGAGACGCUUGAGAUGGGAAGAGCCCACAUUACGAAAAUAAUCGACAUCUUGCUCUUGCAAUCCACGUAAUUCAAGGUCUUCAAUUCUCUGCAGUUGCACGAUCAGCGAAUCCUUCAAGCAAAUGUUGUUAUUUAGCUGGAGACUGAAUUCACGAUACCAAAUGCCGGUGCUCUCCCAAUAGCCAACAUCUCCAAUGCGUAUGAUGUACCUUUCCAGCUUCUCCAAGAGCAGGCCUCUGGGCAGAGUGCUGACGUCAUAGACGUGUAAUUCCAAAGAGGUCAAGUUGGGCAAAUGCUUCAACUCCUCAAGGCUUGCAUUCUUAACCCCUUCUUCCACCUCCACCUCCCAUUUAUCAAAGCUUUCACCUAUAUAUAGUUCUUCUAAACGGGAUAAUUUUGACAGUAUAUUUGGUGGAAUAACUUCUAGUUCCUCACAAUCUCUCAAAUCAAGCAAAUUUAGCCAAGUCAAUUCACCUACUUCUGUUGGCAUCUGCUUAAUAUCGGAGCCUCUUAAGCAAAGGAUUUCUAGAUUCUUCUUCAAGUCUACUACAAAACUUAUAUCAGGCAAGCUGCAGCGACACAAACUCAGUGUUCGAAGGUUUGACAGGAGACCAAGUGAUGAAGGCAGUACCAUGUCAGUCAAGUUUACAACUCUGACCUCGAUCAUGCUCUUGAAAAAGUUGUCUGGAAUUGUUACUCGUGAAGAUUCCCAAGGAUCAUUACUUAGAAAAAGAAGUUCGAGUUGAGGACAUUCCAGUACUUCAGGAAGCAAAUUAGGCUUGAUAUCAUGUAAGACGAUUGAAGUGCAAUGCUUUAUUGCACUUCCGUCUGACCAUUCCCUGCAACCAUCAACCUGCUCAUUUGUAGCAGUAAACACAUUUCGUUCAGUAGAUGCAAUUGAUACGGCGACAUCGCGAACUACAUCAUGCAUAGAAAACAACUCUUUCUCCUGGCUUAUAUGGUCAAGCAACAUACAAGAAGCUUUGAGUGUGCGCACCAAUGUAUGUACUCGAUUUCGUGCUACUUCAAUCUUAUUCACACCUUGAAAUAAACCCAAUCCCAUACCACACAUUAACAAGUCAUCAAUAGAUGAUAUGGCUGUAUAUCCUAUUAGCAAAAAGAUGUUCUUGAGAUCAUCCCUUCCUAGUUUAUUGUAGCUCAACUCGAUAGCUUUAAAUGCGGCUGGCUGUACAUCCUUAAAAUUCGAUGAAGAAGGCCUUCUUAGCUGUUCCAAUGCAUCCUUCCAUUCACGUAUGCUGUUGCUCCUUAAUGCCCUUGCAACCGUCACAAUGGAAACUGGUAGACCUGCACAUUCCUCUGCCACAUUCCUUGCCACCUCUUCCAAUUCACUACCUUCAACAUAAUCACCUGCCAUCUUCUUGAAUAGACUCCAAGCUUCUUCUUCGUUUAAAACACCAACUGGGAAAUUUGUUCGACAAUCCAUCUUCUCAGACAAUACAUUUAGACUUCUGGCCGUCAACAAUACUUUACAACCAUCUCCAAGAGGAAUUCGGACAUUCCCCAAAUUAAGAUUCUCCCAAAUGUUGUCUAAAACUAUCAGGAUCUUCUUCACUUUUUUUAUACCUUCACAUAACCUGCCUGCCCUUCCUUCAUCACUUUCCUCAUGCAACUUCAGGCCUAAUUUAUCUGCAAUUACUCCUUGAAUCUUUCGUAUGUCUUGAUUCUGAGACACCUCAACAAAAACCACCUGAUCAAAGAGUUUGUCACUCUUGACUUUCCUAGCAACUUCUUCGGCCAGCGUCGUCUUUCCGAUUCCGCCCAUUCCAUAGAUCCCAAGCAUGUUGACAUCGCGAUCUUCUAGUGCACUGAGUAUACUCAUCAAAGUGGACAUUCUUGAUUCAAAGGGCUCGUAGUCUUUGCUAGGGAUAAGCCGAAUAUCCUCUGGAGCAGUACGGUAGGAAAUUCUAUCAAAUCUUCGAUCUUCUCGGACUUUGACAACAGCCUCCUUCUUCCUCUCUGCUUCCUUGCUAAGUCGACGGCGGGUCUUCAAAUUAGGACACAACCCCUUGAAACAACGUUUAGUUGCAGCGGCUUCAUCUUCUGUAAAUUUAUCUGCCUCUUCAAUGACUUUGUUGGCCCCUUCAAGCCAACUCCUAACGUUCUCUUCAAUUUCUUCCCCGUUUCGUUCAGCCUCAUCAACCUGGUGCUCUGUACGCACCCUCUCAGACUUUAGUUUCUCAACUUCAGUCUUGAGAUUCUGUAAGUUGCUCGUGUACUUACUCUCACGCAAAUAGCUAAUUUGGCGAUAUGCGGGAGGAGCCAAGCACUUCACAACUUCUACAACAAUAGUAAGAAUGAAAUCAGCCAUCUUCAGUCCUUUGUCCCUGUCUCUCGAUCUCUCUUUUUCUGAAUUUUUGAAAAACAAUUGACUAUUUAGGAAGCACACUGAGUGAUUGAACACAAGUGACUACAACAAGAUGGAACAAAAUAAAAAGGAAAAAAAUACAAAGAGUGGAUGGAGAAUAAAACAGAGACAGCGGCACAGCUGGACACAACUAGAUAGAGAACAGAGGAAAACCAAAUAACAAGACUGAAGAUUACAACAAACAGAGGCCAAGUAUUGUUGAGAUCAGAAGAUGGAAAAUUCAAAAGAGUUGAUGGCAGAUGCUGAAUAACAGAACAACAAUGAACGCAAUAAACAGAAGCAAAGUGUGUUUGCGAUCGACAGACGGAAGUAAGGAAAGCGGUUGUUGAUUGAAAAUGAAUGAAUGCAAAGAAAGACUGAUGUUGAAAAUUGAUGUCAAUAGCGAAGGAAUAAUUGAACUUUCGCUGAAUUAUUGUUUGUGGCCUUCUUUUACUUUUUAUUUGUGGGUCAUGUCUUUUGGAACUAAUCAUCUUAGCUUAUGCCUUACAGCUUUAAGGCCAGUAACCGGUGUCCGUUGGAUAAGCAUAUAGAAAUCCAACGGUGGAUAUAUAUCCUUGCAGAACAAAAUUCAACAGCAACACCCCAACUUUAAAUAUGAUUAUCUGUUGGGGAGUGCUGGGCUGCAGUUUCUUAAGGAGAUUUAUAUAUCCUCCUCAAAAAUAAAUGUUUUAAGAUAGAUAUUUAGACUAUUUCAUCAUAAAAUAAAUGUAAUUAAUUUUUUUUAUAAAUAUUUAUUUAUUUUUUUAAUUACUAAUGACCUUUGAAUAUACAUAUCACUAAUUCAAAAAAUAAAUUGUGAUUAUUUGUUAAUGUAUGCGAUUACUUGUGAUGGUAAACUUUUGAAGUUAAAUUAAAAAAAAAAAACAGAGCUUUUACCAUUACUUGCUUUAUCAUCUUUUAAAUUAGAAUUAUUAUUCUUUUAUUUUUUUCAAGUUGCCAACUCAUCCGCAUUCUUUUUUAUUGAAUUUGAAGAUCAAUGAUUAUAAAUUUGUGUAAAAAUUUUAAGCCAAAAUUUUAAAUUAAAAUAAUCAUUAACUUAUUGGAAAAUAAUAACUUGGUAUAACAAAUAUUAUAUCCUAUACUUUAUUGCUACAAGAUUACAAAACCUUAUAUUAUAUUAUGUUUCCAUAUUUCUCCUUUAUAGUAAAGACUCAUACUUCUUCUCUAGUAGAUGUUAAAGUAUUGGCUUAAACUUUUUAACCAGCACAGUAGACUAUUAAGCUAUAUAUGCUAUAAUGUCCCUCUUUCCUCACAGAUUAAACCAAUCUAAUCUCAGAGUGAGUUGAUACCAUGAGUUUGCAUUUGUCAUCAAAGGAGCAUCAUUAUUAAUUAAUAUAGGUUCGAUCAAUAGGUAUGAUAAUAAAUUUUUUUAUCUACAAAUACUAUUUUUCAAAAUAUUAUAUCUUUAGACUUAACUAAAUAUCUUCUAACCAUAUAUGUACAGUUUGUUUGAUCUCUUUUAAAUAUUGGAGAUUACAACAGAACAGAUGCGAAUUAGCAGUGACGCUGAGUUUAGAAGAUUGAAAUUAAGAAAAUUAAGGAAAGGAUAAGGAUGUAUUUUCAAAGUGAAUUAUUGAGAGAUCUUUGAAGAUUACUUCCGUCAAGAGCUGGGUCCCAUACUCUUUCGCCUUUGUCCUCCAGUCAACCAUAAGACAAAUUAUUAUUGAGUGUAAACGGACUUAUUAACCACCAAAUUUUCAAACUUGUGAUCCUUAUUGAAUCUGCAUUCCCCUUUACAAAAGUAAAAAAAAAAAAGUGCAAAUAACGAAAAAAAAUUUUGUUCCUUGACUGCAAGUGCUGUCGACAUUUUCAGACUUGUAAGACCCUUCUACUUGCAAGAUGCCACUGAAUUUGUCUUUUUUUUUUUUUAAAUUACACUAUACUAUUUUAUAUUUUAUAAAAAAAUUUAAUAGAUAUUAUAAGUUACAAAUUUUUAUAUUUAAUAUUCUCAAAAUAAAUUAUUAAAUAAAUGAUUCAUUUACUAUUUUUUCCUUUAAAUUUUUGUUAUUAAAAAGAUUUUUGGAUAUUGAACGUGAAGGGCUCAACUGAUCGCUAAUUUUGCAGCAAUUGCCCUUUUCUUUCUCCCCCAAUUGUUUUGAAAAAUAUCCAGACUCAUUCAGCGAAGUAUCCGAGGCCAAAGGGCUAAAAGAUGGGACACCCGCAUGUGCUUCUAAUUACAAAAUCUAAAGUUAGGGGGACCAUAACUUACAUUUAAUAUAAUUUAUGAUAGGGGUCCGCCUAUGUUACCACUGUACAAUAAGUUUGGUCUUUUCUGACUCAGUUGUGAUGAGCCCCUUGUACUCGAUAUUAUUUACUAUUUAUUUAUAAGUAUUAUAAAAAUUUUUGCUUACUUAUUAUAUAAAAAUUUAAUUGGUUCCCUUACACUCUUAUUCAUUUACUAUUUUUUUGUAGUAUCAAAAGAAUUUAUAUUUACAACCACGAUACAUUAAUUAUCAUAACACUCUAAUAUUAAUAAAAAGACAAAGACAUCCUUAAAUUAAAACAAAAAAAAUACUUUCUUCUUUUGAGGAAUUACGGUAUCUCAUUUUCCACCACUCAUUAUCAACAAAAUUUUUAAGGAUAUAACCAUUCAUCUUCUUUAUAAUAUCAUCUCGCAAUAAUUAAUACUUUCAUGAAAAAAUAAUUAACAAAAUAAAAAAAUAAAUUCCCAUUGAAUACAUCCCUCUCCACUAUUAAUUUCUCUUCAUCAAUAACCUUUAUCGACAAUUAAAACCACCAUUAGACUCAUCAUAAAGAGAGAGUAAGAGAAAGAAAGAAGAAACGAGAAAAAAUAUAUGAACCUUUUAUAAUUUUAUAGUGCGUUCACUAAACGAGAAUCGAAAUGAGGUGAAAUCAAAACGAGAAAUUAAGGGCCCGUUUGGUAUUGUUUUUGAAUCUGUAUUUUCUGAGAAUAAAAAUGAAAAUGAAAAUGGUGUUUUGCAGUUGCUGUAUUUUGAAUUUAAGUAUGCGUCUGGUAUUAUUUUCUGUAUCCUGUAUUUUAAAACUGAAAACAGUAACAUGCGUUCGGUAGACACAGUCGAAAAUGAUAAAAACAGAGAAUAUGCGUUCGGUAAUACUUUUUUCAAAAACAGUUUUUACUAUUAACCAUUUACAUCAUAUUUAUAGUUAUAAAAUAAUUAUUUAGCUAAUACAUACACAAAUACAACAUAAUAAUUUAAAACAAAAUUAUUAUAAAAAAUUUACAUGAUGAUAAAGUUUUAGAAUUAACAUUAAUUAAAAAAAAUUACAUUGUCAUUGUUUUUACAUCAUAAUUAAGAUAUAUAUUACAACACAUGAUUUAAACAAAAUAAUUAUAAAAAAAAUACAUGAUAGACAUUAUACAUUACGUAUGUAAUUAUGCCACAUAGAAGUUGCAAUUCUAUCUCUUGUAGCACUCAUCUCGGCGACACUUGCUGGAGAUAAAUCAAUAUUAGUAAGUGGCCUACUAGUGUCUCCUUCUUCGAUGGUAACCAAAUCUUGUACAUCAAAGUCCCCAAAUAACCUAUCACUUGCAUUUUCUCGUCGAAUAAAGUUAUGUAAAGCGCAACAUGCAAUUGGAAUUAGACGUUGCUUACGUAAACUAUAAUUAUGCAUAUCCCUUAAAAUUGAAAAUCGCGCUUUUAAAACACCAAAGCAUCGCUCAAUUACAUUACGCAAUGAUGAAUGUCUGUAAUUAAACAAUUCUUGGGGACCUCUAGGUGCUCGACCUGAUCCUCUAUAAUCACGUAAAUGAUAUCUCUCACCUCUAUAUGGUGUCAAAAAUCCUUUCAUAUUUAUGUAUCCAGAAUCCACAACGUAGUAAUAUCCUAAAAUAUAGAAACAAUAAAACAUAACUUAAUUAAAAAAUAAAGGCCAAAGAUAUUAACACACACACACACACACACACAAACAUAUAUAUAUAUAUCUCAAUAUUCUUACCUUCUUCCGGACGUGGAAACCCAGAUUCUGGUCUAUUUAAGGCAUCCAUAAACACCCUUGAGUCAUUGGCGGUACCUUCCCAACCCGUAUAUACAAAUGUGAACAUCAUGUCAAAAGAACAUGCACACAUGAUAUUUUGAGUCACCUGAGUCUUUCUAUCUCGAUAUGAUAUCUGUUUAUGUGCAGGUGACCAUGCAGCAAUGUGGGUUCCAUCAAUUGCACCGAUACACUUCUGUGAAAAUAUGUCAAAAUUAUUAAUUUAUUAACCAAAUGUUAAUGUCACAUAAACUUUGAAGUAACAUGUAUUGAAUUUCUUACCUCAAAAUAUGGAAAAAAAUUUGGAUUGUUACUAAUCUCUGAUGGCGUUUCCCCUUGAGGUUUUGGUUUUAUAAUGUGAUUUGCCAAUUGACAAAGUGCUUUUAAAACACGCUUAAAGUGUGAAAAAACAGUAUCCCCUGAACGUUGAAAACGCUCAGAUACAACCCUCACAACAGCACCAUGGGACAAUACAUACAAGCACAUUGCUACAGCCUCCUUGAUACAAACAUGUCUAUCAUUCUCUAAUAACUGUAGAUGUUCAAGUGUAUAACAUAAUCAAAUAAGUGUAUAAAUAAAACCAAAAAAUAUUAUUUUAAUUUAAUACGAAACUAUUUAAUAUACUACAAAUAUAGUUUUACCUUAAUAUAUUCAGCCCAAACAGCUUCCGAUGCUGUGACCGUAUUUGAAACAUGAUCCCAACCAAACCCGGUAUGAGCUACUAAGUCAGAAAACUCUCGAUGUUUUUUGCGCAACCUAUUAAACUUGGACUUAAGUUGCCCUACAUUGAAUCUUUUUUGGCAUUGUUCUAACAUCUCAUCACUUAUAGUGUUCCAAAUUUUCUUAGUGAAAGUUGAUGUUUGUAAAUCACCCUUUUUAACAUGGUCAUGUACAAUACGAAUAAAAACGGUUUCGGUCCGGCUAGACCAAUCAGCCUUAUCCUCAACAUCAACAUCAUGUGAAUCCAUAUCUUGAAAAAUUAGAAAAAAUAACACAUAUCAAAUAAUGAUCAAAUUCAACAUAACAUAUACAUAUUUCAGCAACAUGUCAUACAUUAAAAACUGAAUGGUACCAAAAAAAAAUAAAAAAUAAAACAUAUAUCAAAUAUUAAUCAAAUUAAAAACACUGCUAUUAAAUUUUUAGAUAUAAACAUACAAUUUUCAGUACAUGCUAUUAAUCCCCCACUAAAUUUCAGUAAUGUAAUCAACAUAAAGGUUGCAUUGCUAUGACUUUUUGCAUUAAUAUUGAUAACUAAAAGCCUUAACUUGCUUUUUGAACUUGGUUAUUUGUUACUCAAUGCAGACAGCUUACAACUUGAAGAUUUGGGAAUCAUUUACCACGGAAAUACCCACCCAGGUAUUUGGUAUGCUAGUGUAGUGUUUUUGGGAACAAUUUAGUCAUCAAGAUGUCUGGUUAUGGUGUAGCUAAUACCAAAAUUUGUAGAAGUAUCUAAAUAAAAAUAAAAUGUGCUCUUUAUUUUGCUAAUAUUUUUUGUUCUAGUAAUUUCAUAGAAUUUAUAUUGGUACAGAGAUAGCUAUGUCUCAAGCCUAUAGUAAUUGCAAUUUUCUAAAUGGCUCAGCGUCUUUCCUUGGUCUGAGGAACAAACAUGGGGAUGAAACAAAAAUCUGGCAUCAGAAUCCAUAUGCUGGCUAUUUUUAACAUUGCUUUUUUGGGUUUCAGCUAUCAUAGUCUAGAGUACUUUUGCACGGUUAAUUAAGUUAAUAACAGUGGAAAGUUUUCCAAUCAGCAUAAAGGAAUUCCCACAAGAAAUUGUUUGUUUUAAUAGAUUUAAUCUCUAAAAUAAAUGAGGAAAAAUUUCAGCUCAUAAAUAAACAAUUUGUCACUACAUAUGAACAACCUCAGAAAUUUCCAGAAUUAAAAAUCACUCAAAUCAUCUCUAAAAAUUUUCAGUUCAUAAACAAAAUAAAUACCAGCAAGUGACAGAUCCGGGAGAGCAACAAUGGUUGGGCAAGUGCAGAUCCGAGAGAGCAAGUGCACCGAGAGAGCAAGUGCAGAUCCGAGAGAGCAAAGACGAAGUAGCAGCAGCUGGACGGAGUCGGAGUAGCAGCAGCUGGACGGAGUCGGAGCAGCAGCGGUUACAGCGGAGAAAGAGCAGCGGCAGUGGCUAGCACACCAAGAGCGACCAAGAGAGAGAUUUGCUGCAACUGGAUUGAGAAAAUUGAGGGGAAAGAGGGUGCUGCAGUGAACUGGAUUGAGAGUGAGGGUUGCAGUGAAGAGAAAAGUGAGGGCUGCAGGGUCACGAUUUUUUUGUUGUUUUUUAAUUCAUUUUUAGGUUUAGUUUGUAAAAUUUGGAAAACAUGUUUAACUUGUUUUCAGUUGUAUAGUUAUAAUAAUGAAUCCGGAUUUUAUGUUUUGUAAUUUAUUUUGUGAAACAAAUCUACCGAACAUGUUUUAUGUGUGUAUUAUAAAAAUGAAAACGAAAACAUGGCUUGCAAAACGGUACCGAACGGGCCCUAAGUUAUCUGACAUCAGAUGACCGCUGUCAUCUGACCAAACCCCAGCAACCAUGGGAAAAAUCACCUACUUGUUUUAGGAGCAGGAGCAGGAGCAGGAGGAGGAAAUUAAGUUAGGGAUUUGGAGUGAUAGGGAAAAAGCUGAUUGUUGAGAAAUAUAUAUACCUUUUGUAUGGUUGUGUUAAGGUCGCCCUUCCAAGCCCAACUUGCUUCACUCCGCCGCUGCACUUCGUGUAAUUUGGGUGUACUUAAAUUUCCUUCAGAGAAAAUCUUCAUAUCGGGGCAAUCAUCCACCACUAAUCUUUCCAAAGAUGGGAACUUGAAAGCACAAUUGCCAGAGCAGAAGCUUGUCAAACUUUUUAAGUCUAAAAGCUUCAACUCCUUCAAUUCUCUGAAAGUAAUAACCUCAUCUUUUGCCACAACAUCAUCCACCAGUACUAUUUCUGUUAUCAUAACGCAUGAUUUUAUCUUCAUAUAUCUAAGUCGCACCAGAGACUUUGCAAUUGAGGAUGUUAAUACGAUUUUCAAUCUUUCGCAACUGAAUACCACCAGAUUUGUAAGAUUCUGAAAGGAUGUCGACGAUGGCACUAGAUUGACCAAACGGUCACACCCCUUUACACGUAGAAUAACCAAGUUGUUCGUAACAGAGGACUCCCUUAUCAAAAUGUUCUCCAGAUGAUAACAAUUAUUUGCUUCACUUAUUUCUACUGCCAUACCAUUUUCAACCUUCUCUUUCGGCGACCGGCCACCAUAUCCUUGUAUUUGGAGGACUUUCAUUGUGUGAAGUCUCUGGAGGAAGUCAUCAAGUGAUACAAUAGUCGGCUCAUCAACCAACUCCACAAAAAGAUAUUUUAGUUUGCAAAGCAAGUCUUCAAAAAAUAGAUAUUUAUUUGUUCCUAUGUACUUUGCAUCAACUUUCAACUCUUCCAAAUUAGGGAAUACCUGGGAGAUCGAUCAGAACCAAAAAAAAAAAAAAUACAAGAUGAAUCAGUUGAUGAGAAUUAUAAGUUACCACUAAUUUAUACAAUAUAUUUUAUUCAAUAAAUCAAUAAAUACAAGAUAAACUUUCACAGUACGUACAUAAGAAUUGAAAAUUUGAUUAUAAAAUUCUUGUACGUACCCUUUCUGUCGAGAUAUUAGUAGUUUUUUCGUAUCUCACCAUGAAUUCAGGACAUGCAGAUAUCCAUAAUUCUUCCAAGGAUGGAAAUUCAAGAAUAUCAAGAUCUCCAGUGCAGAAGCUUGUGAACUUUUCAAGAUCAGACAUCCUCAGAGAUUGCAACUGGGGAAACGUUACAAUAUUAUUCUUCAUUUCUUCUUGGUUGUCCACGACUAUUAACUCUUCCAGGACAGGACAUUUGACUAUCAUAACGUGUUGGAGUCGAACAAAGCUACUAACUGUAGAAGAUGAAAAUAGACAUCUUAAAUUCAUACAGCUGUACAGGGUCAAGCGCGUUAAAUUUUGAAUACCACAAGACAUGACUGCAACUUGGUUCAGCCAAAUCCUCUCAACAUUUAUUGAAUACAACAUCAACUCCUCCAAAUUUGGUAAUGCAACCUGCACGAUCAAAAAAUUAACUUGUUAAUUACAAGCAACAAUUAUUAAUCACUCUUUGCCAUAUUUGUUACCAAACAGGAAUAUAACAAAGAAAAAAAAACAAAAAUUAUAGAGAAUUAAUAAGACGAUUGACUUAUUAAUAACUGACCUUCUCAGGGAAAAGCGUAUUAUAAAUUUGGACAUUGUCCUCCAAAAUGAUUUCAUGUGACUGCAAAUCAUUAUCUGAUUCCUGUUGUCUCUGUUGACGUUGCAGGUGUCUUGAUUUUAGAGCGUAAGCCUAAUUGUGAGCACAAUCUUAAUGCAUAGAUACAAGAUCUUUAAAAAUUAGUAUAAUAAACUUAGCACUAAAUUCAAAUUUCAUAUUUCGGAUUCCAUGAUUAAGAUUUUUUAAAUAAAAAUUUAAUAGAGUUAAUUUAAAAAUAAAAAUUAAAUAUGAAAAAUAAACUUGCAAUUAUGGAUUUAAUUUUGAUAAAUAAUGAAUGUUCUCUUUAUAUUUUUUUUAAAAGGUAAAAGAGCAUACAAAGCCCAAAUUCAUUUUUUUAGUCCCUUACUCUCCCUUGAUUCAAACUUGGGUGGUUGUAGGAGGACUGAAAAUAUAUAAGACAGUUAACUUCACUUUUUUUUUUCUUUUUUUUUUGUUGAGAGAAAAGAGAAGAAGGAUAUUACAAAGCAUGAAGCUCGUGCAAUAUAAGGGCAAUUGUGGUUUUUUCUUUAAAUUAAAAUGGUAAGAUUCUGAAGCUAAAAGAUUAAAAUAUUAAUUAAAUUGCAAACAUUAAAGAUUUUUUUUUUCCAAAAUUGGUUGCUUUGAAAAUGAGAAUAAUAUAAUAUUUGAAGACUUUUCAAAAUUAAUUACUGUGAUGCACUAGAAAUUUCUAGCUUUAGUCUAAUGUAUAAAUUGACAAAACGAUAUUAGAAUCCCAGGUGAAAAGAACCCUCUCAUACCAAUUAUUUAAAUUAGGAAUGAUCAUACCUCUGACUCUGCCGGAUUGAGGGCGAGCCAGAGACGCUUGAGAUGGGAAGAGCCCACUUUGACUAAUUCAUUACGAAAAUAAUCGACAUCUUGCUCUUGCAAUCCACAUAAUUGAAGGUCUUCAAUUCUCUGCAGUUGCACGAUCAGCGAAUCCUUCAAGCAAAUCUUGUUAUUUAGCUCGAGACUGAAUUCACGACACCCAAUGCCGGUGCUCUCCCAAUAGCCAUCAUCUCCAAUGCGUAUGCUGUACCUUUCCAGCUUCUCCAAGAGCAGGCCUCUGGGCAGAGUGCUGACGUCACGGGCGCGUAAUUCCAAAGAGGUCAAGUUGGGCAAAUGCUUCGACUCCUCAAGGCUUGCAUUCUUAAUCCCUUCUUCCACCUCCACCUCCCAUUUAUCAAAGCUUAUACGACCUAUAUAUAGUUCUUCUAAACGGGAUAAUUUUGACAGUAUAUUUGGUGGAAUAACUUCUAGGUCCUCACAAUCUCUCAAAUCAAGCAACUUUAGCCAAGUCAAUUCACCUACUUCUACCGGCAACUUCUUAAUAUCAGAAUCUCUUAGGCAAAGGAUUUCUAGUUUCUUCAAGUCUCCUACAACACUUAGAUCAGGCAGGUAGCACCAACACAAACUCAGUGUUCGAAGGUUUGACAGGAGACCAAGUGAUGAAGGCAGUGACCGUAGAUCCAUGUCAGUCAAGUUUACAACUCUGACCUGUAUCAUCCUCUCGAAAAAGUUGCUUGGAAUUGUUAAUGAUGAAGAUUCCCAACGACCAGCACUUAGAAACAGAAGUUCGAGUUGAGGACAUUCCAGUACUUCAGGAAGCAAAUUAGUCUUGAUACCAUGCAAGACGAUUGAAGUGCAAUGCUUUAUUGCACUUCCGUCCGACCAUUCCCUGCAACCAUCAACCUGCUCAUUUGUAGCAGUAAACACAUUUCGUUCAGUAGAUGCAAUUGAUAUGGCGACAUCGCGAACUACAUCAUGCAUAGAAAACAACUCUUCAUCCUUGCUUUCAUGGUCAAGCAACAUACAAGAAGCUUUGAGUGUGCGCACCAAUGUAUGUACUCGAUUUCGUGCUUCUUCAAUCUUAUUCACGCCUUGAAAUAAACCCAAUCCCAUACCACACAUUAACAAGUCAUCAAUAGAUGCUAUGGCUGUAUAUCCUAUUAGCAAAAAGAUGUUCUUGAGAUCAUCCCUUCCUAGUUUAUUGUAGCUCAACUCGAUAGCUUUAAAUGCGGCUGGCUGAACAUCCUUAAAAUUCGAUGAAGAAGGCCUUCUUAGCUGUUCCAAUGCAUCCUUCCAUUCACGUAUGCUGUUGCUCCUUAAUGCCCUUGCAACCGUCACAAUGGAAACUGGUAGACCUGCACAUUCCUUUGCCACAUCCCUUGCUACCUCUUUCAAUUCAUUACCUUCAACAUAAUCACCUGCCAUCUUCGUGAAUAGACUCCAAGCUUCAUCUUCUUUUAAAAAUCCAACUGGGAAAUUUUUUCGAGACUCCAUCUCUCCAGACAAUGCUUGUUCACUCCUUGCCGUGAACAGCACUUUAAUUCCAACAUCCAACAAAUCAAGAUUUUCCCAAAUAUUAUCCAAGAUUACAAGGAUCCUCUUCUCUUUCUUCAGUCGAUCAUAGAGUCUUCUUGCCCUACCCGAUUCACUCUCCUCAUCAAAUUUUAGACCUAGUUUAUCCGCGAUUUCUCCUUGAAUCUUUCUUACGUCUCGACUCUCAGACACCUCAGAAAAAACCACCUGAUCGAAAAGCUUGUCACACUCUGCUUUUCUGGCAACUUCUUUAGCUAGCGUCGUCUUUCCGAUUCCGCCCAUUCCAUAAAUCAAAAGCAUGUUGACAUUGGGAUUUUUUAAUGCAUCAAUUAUUUCAUUCAGAAUGGACGUUCUUGAUUCAAAGGCCUCGAAGUCUUUGUUAGGCAUAAGCAAGGUAUCCUCCGGAAUGAUGCUGUAGGAAAUACUAUUAACUGGUCUAGCGUCCAGGACUUUGACAACAGCCUCCUUCUGCCUCUCUGCUUCCUUGCUAAGUCGAGGGCGGGUCUUCAAAUUAGGACAUAACCCCUUGAAACAACGCUUAUUUGCAGUGGCUUCAUCUUCUGUAAAUUUAUCUGCCUCUUCAAUGACACUGUUGGCCGUUGCAAGCCAAUUCUCAACGUUCUCUUCAAUCUCUUCUCCUUUUCUUUUAGCCUCAUCAACCUGGUGCUCUGUACUCACCCUCUCAGACUUUAGUUUCGCAACUUCAGUGUUGAGAUUCUGUAAGUUGCUCGUGUACUUACUCUCACGCAAAUAGCUAAUUUGGCGAUAUGCGGGAGGAGCCAAGCACUUUACAACUUCUAAAACAAUAGUAAGAAUGAUUUCAGCCAUCUUCAGUCCUUUGUCCUUGUCUCUCUAUCUCUUUUUUUCUGAAUUUUGGAAAAACAAUUCAACAAGUGACCACAACAAGAUGGAACAAAAUAAAAAGGAAAAAAAAUACAAAGAGUGGAUGGAGAAUAAAACAGAGACAGCGGCACAGCUAGACGCAACUAGAUAGAGAACAGAGGAAAACCAAAUAACAAGACUUAAGAUUACAACAAACAGAGGCCAAGUAUUGUUGAGAUCAGAAGAUGGAAAAUUCAAAAGAGUUGAUGGCAGAUGCUGAAUAACAAAACAACAAUGAACGCAACAAACUGAAGCAAAGUGUGUUUGUGAUCGACAGACGAAAGUAAGGAAAGUGGUUGUUGAUUGAAAAUGAAUGAAUGCAAAGAAAGACUGAUAUUGAAAAUUGAUGUCCAUAGCGAAGGAAUAAUUGAACUUUCGCUGAAUUAUUGUUUGUGCCUUCUUUUACUGUUUAUUUGUGGGUCAUGUCUUUUGGAACUAAUCAUCUUAGGUUAUGCCUUAUAGCUUUAAGGCCGGUAAACCGGUGUCCGUUGGAUUAGCAUAUAGAAAUCCAACGGUGGAUAUAUAUACUUGGAGAAUAAAAUUCAAGAGCAAAGGGAGUGCUGGGCUGCAGUUUCUUAAGGAGAUUUAUAUAUCCUCCUCAAAAAUAAAUAUUUUAAGGUAGGUAUUUAGACUAUUUCAUCAUAAAAUAAAUGUAAUUAAUUUUCAUAAAUAUUUGAUAUCAAUAUUUAUUUAUUUUUUUAAUUACUGAUGACCUUUGAAUAUUCGAUACAUAUUAUUAAUUCAAAAAAAAAAUUGUGAUUAUUUAUUAAUGUUUGCGAUUACUUGUGAUGGUAAACAAAGUAGAUAUGGUAUAUUUUGAAGUUAAAUUAAAAAAAACAGAGCUUUUACCAUUACUUGCCUUAUCAUCUUUUAAAUUAGAAUUAUUAUUCUUCUAUUUUUCAAGUUGCCAACUCAUUGUCUUUUAUUGAAUUUAACGAUCAAUGAUCAUAAAAUUGUGUAAAAAUUUUAAGUCAAAACUUUAAAUUAAAAUAAUCUUUAAGUUAUUGAGAAAUAAUAACUUAAUAUAACAAAUAUUAUAUCCUAUACUUUAUUGCUACAAAAUUACGAAACUUUAUAUUAUGUUUUCAUAUUUCACCUUUAUAGUGACGACUCAUGCUUCUUCUCUAAUAAAUGCUAAAGUAUUGGCUUGAAUUUUUUAAUUAGUACAGUAGAACCUUAAGCUAUAUAUACUAUAAUGUCCCUCUUCUCUCACAGAUUAAACCAAUCAGAUCUCAGAGUGAGUUGAUACCAUGACUUUGCAUCAUUCAUGAUCAAAGGAGCAUCAUUACUAACUAAUAUAGGCUCGAACAAUAGGCAUGAUAAUAAUUUUGUUUAUCUACAAACACUAUUUAACUCUAUCUCUUUUCUCUCCCCCACGCGAAGACUACUCCUUUCUCUUUGGCUAAUUUUUAAAAACCUCCCCUGAGGUUUGGACUUGUUGCAAGUAGAUGGCGAGAAUUUGUUUAUUUGUAAAAAACCCCCUACCGUCAAUUAACUUUAACAUUGACCGUUAGUUGACUGUGCAAAGAUAAUAUUACCCUUAACAAUAGUUUGUAGACGGAAAUAACUAAAAAAAAAUUUAAAAUUAUUGGCUAUUUUAUCCUCUUUAAAUUAUUGAUAUUUUCUUAAAGUUCCUACAAGAAAGAUAAAAUUUAAAAUUUAAAAUUUAAAAAAUCCUCUUUAAAUUAUUGAUAUUUUCUUAAAGUUCCUACAAAAAAGAUAAAAUUAAAAACUUGAAAAUGAAAUAGUUAUAAUCUUUACCCAUAAUAUUGUAAAUCUUUAGAAUUGACAAAGAUAAAAUUGUCAAAAAAUAGGGUUUGUGCUUUUCGCGCCAAUAAUUUUAAUUUUUUUUUAGUUAUUUCCGUCUAUAAACUGUUGUUAAGGGUAAUAUUAUCUUUACACAGUCAACUAACGGUCAAUAUUAAAGUUAACUGACGAUAGAGGGUUUUUUUAUAAAUAAAUAAAUUUUCGCCAUCUACUUGCAACAAGCCCAAACCUAAAGGACGUUUUUAAAAAUUACCCUUUCUCUUUUGACAUUUUUUACGCGUUUCUCUUUUCUCUUCCCCCACGUGAACACUUUUGCCUUUUGCUCGUUCACGUGAAAGUCGGUUUAGAAUUUUGAUCUUAUUUCACAAAGCUAAUUUUUUAUCACAAGCAGGAGAGAAACGGCAUUUCUUAGCAGUAGUUCAUCACUGUAGUGGCGAGCUAGUGAGGAACAAAAUUACCAACAAUUAUAAAAAAAUAAUUAUAAAAAAAGAUCACAUGCUAUAAUUAAUCAUGACCAUUGACAACAUUACUCCCACCGAGCAAAAGUUAACAGCAUCUUCUCCCACAUUUAAAAAAAAAAUAGUAUUAUAUAACCCACCAAAAGUAUAAAGAGUCUUUCUUUAUUAAAAUUAAUAAAUUACUCUUUAUAUUGAGAAAUUAAAAUUUAAAAUAAAAAUAAUUGAUAUGUUUAUUAUUUAAAAUAAAAAUAAAAAUAAAAUUUACAAAAUCAUAUAUUUUUAAAAUUAAAGAAUAAGAAUUUAAUUUCUUAUGGAGAGUGUUGGAAAUCAAGUUCUUAUUGCUUAAACUCCUAAUUUUACCUCACAAAAAUUUUAUAAGUUCACUUUUAUCCUUAAUUAAAAUAUUAUUAUGUUAUUAUUAUGGUUAUUAUUCUUAUUUUUGUAGUAGUUGCUGCUGUUGUUGUUGAUGAUGAUAAUAGUUGAUAAUAAAAUUAAUAAUAAUAAUGAAAAUAAUAACUAUAAUUUUAACAGCUACAAUAAUAAUCAUUAAUAUUAUUGUUGUCGUUCUUAUUAUUAUUAAUAAAAAAUAAUUAUUUUGAAUAAUAAUAAUCACAAUUAUUAUAACAAACAACGACAAUAAUCAACUAAUGUCAUUGUAAUAACUUGUAACAAUUCAUUUUUUAUUUCAAGACAAAGUAACCAUAUCAAUAAUAAUAUAGGUUAUUUCGAUUCUAAUUCUUACAAGUAAAAUAAAUAAUUUAUUCUGAUUCUCAUUUUUCAUUUUGAUUUUAUUCUAUUCUGAUUCCAGUUGAUUCUGAUUCCAGCCAAUUCAAAUUACCAACUAGAAAAUGCAUUGUUACUACUUUAAUAAUAACUAAUGAUUCUCCUCACAAUUCUUAUAGGAUUAUCCUUAUUUUAAAAUAAUUUUUUAUUCAUAUUUAUCAUAAAUUAAUUAAAUUAUACCAAUGAAAAUUAAAAAAAAAAGAGAAAACAUAUGUUUCGGUUUGAAUAAAAAAUUAAUAAUAAAAUAUUUUCCUUAUAUAUUUUUAAUAUUUUUAUUAUAAUAAAUAUUUAUUUUAUAUUCUUAAAAUAAAUUAUUAAGUAAACGAUUCAUUAACUCAUUUUUUUCCUUUAAAUUUUUGUUAUUAAGAAGAUUUUUGGGUAUUGACCGUGAAGGGCUCAACUGAUCGCUAAUUUUGCAGCAAUUGUCUUUUCUUUUUCUUUUUUUUAAUUGUUUUGAAAAAAAUAUUCAGACUCAUUCUGCAAAGUACCUAAGGCCAAAGCGCCGAAAGUUAGGACACCCACAUGUGCUUUUAUUCACAAAUUCUAAAAUUAGGUGGGGUGUCCAUAACGUACGUUUAAUAUAAGAGAAAUGCUAAAGGUCGGGAAUGCUGAGAGAACACUGAGAGAAACGGCAGCUUGGGCUGCCGUUUCGUGUUCUCUCACCUCCCUACUAAGAAAACGAGCCUCCACGUGUUCUCUCAGCUCCCCACUACUUCAGCUCAAGUUACUUUUGUCAAAAGUUGGCGUUUGGCCCCACACUCAAAACACUUUUGCCAAGUGAAUUGUGCCCCCCACGUGAAAGUUUGAGUUAUUUCUUUGCUCAUGACCAAGUAAAGCUAAGUUAAGUUUGAGUUCUCUCCUUACUCCUUCACUCGUUCACUUCUCCUUCGUUUCUCGUUCACUUUUUUGCUCAUCAAAAACCAUUACUUCAGCUCAUCCAAUCAGUGAAUUAGUGGCCAUUACUUCAGCUAAUUCAUUUUCCGAUCUAGAUCUUGAAGCAACACCCAAUUGGUAAUUAUCUCAGCUUAAAGAAUAAUUUUUUAUGUGUUUAUUAUUUUUUUGUUAUAUCAUAAUAAUAGAAAUGUCCUUGCAUUUACUGAUUAAAUGAUAAUGUGUUUAAUUUAUAAUUUUUUAGAAAUCUUUUUAUUUAAAUGAUAUGUUUGAUUUAUAAUUUUUUAAUUUAAAUUUUGUUUGAACAUAGAAUUAUUUUUAAUUUAAAUUGUGUUCGAUUUAUAAUUUAUUUAAUUUAAAUUUUUAGAACUUUAAUGGAUUAAAUUAUUACUGGAAAAAUGUAUAAUAAUUUAUUCUUAAUUUAAAUGUUGUUUCCACAUUGAAUUUUUUAUUUAAAUUGUGUUCGAUUUAUCAUUUUUUAAUUUAAAUUGUUAGAACUUUAAUGGAUUAAAUUAUUGCUGAAAAAAUUUAUAAUAAUUUAUUCUUAAUUUAAAUUUUGUUUCCACAUUGAAUUUUUUUAUUUAAAUUGUGAUUUAUCAUUUUUAUUUAAAUUGUGUUCGAUUUAUUUAUUUUUAUUUAAAUUGUGUUCGAUUUAUCAUUUUUUAUUUAAAUUUUUAGAAUUUUAAUGGAUUAAAUUAUUACUGGAUGGUGUUUGUAUAAAUUGAUCUUACAUUUUGCUUAAUACGAAUAUUAAUUAUUUUGUUGAAAUUGAUAAUUUGAAACAUGAAGAUGGAGUCAAAGAUGCGCAAUCGGAAAAAUAUGAGCCGACUCUUGGGAUGUUAUUUGAUAGCCAUAAGAAAAUGUGGUAAUUUUCAAUAUACUUAAGUAUCGUCAUCAUAUACUUAAUUCUUUCAUUUUCAAUCUUUAUUAUUAUUAUUUUUAAUAUUGGGUUCCAUGAGGAUAUUAUAUGCAAUUUUCCAUGACAUAAAUCAAUACAAUAAUGGCAAUAAAAAACUUAUAACAAUAACUUGAAUCUUAUAUUUAGAGGGACAGUACAAUCAUAUAUGUCUACAAACCAUACAAAAUAAAUAAUUGUACAAAUUAAAACAACUUAUAAAUAAAACUUUAAUAUAAAGCAUAACACAAUAAUCAUCAAGGGAACGGUGAACAUGGAGGAACGCAAAUGGAUGUUUACACUGUGGGCAUGUUGGAUUCCUAACAUACGAGGCCCAUCGAAGGAUGCAAGCUGCACUGCACAGAACAAAGAAAGAACGUCCAUUAAUGCUACCAUAAACGUCCAUUAAUCAUACAAGAGAUGGUAAGCUGAAAACCCCACAUAUUAACUCAUAGUCCUACAUAGAACUCUAACCUAUAAUAUGAAGAUGAUCAACGAGCCUUCAUAUAUGUCACAGUUCCAAAACCAACAAGUCAUGAGGCUGAUUAUAUUAAGGAAACCUCUAACUAUGUGACAACACAAAUAGAUUAAUUCUUGCAACAACAUUUUUAAGUUUUUCAAAAUUUUCUCCUUUUUUACCAAAACAAAUGCCUAAGAAAACCAAAAAAUAAACAAGCAGAUUGUCUCUGUAAAUUGAAUUAACAAGUUCUAUUACUAAAAAAAGGGUAACAAGGAAAGAAAAAUCCAAAAAAUAAACAUAUUGAAAGUCCAUUUCAAUUGCAUGGCACAACAUUAAAUUGAAGAAUUGACUGUACAAAAAAGAUCCAACAAUAUUUAGGUAUGAAAAGGAAAUUGAAUCCAAACCACAAAACUAAAAGCAUACUUCACUCGUGUGUACAAACUACAUGCUGAUACUCAUUUACCAUAAAAUAUUGCAGCAUCGAUUACCGAAGAAGAAAACAAUUCAAAGAAUGCCCCCAAGGCAAGCUCUAUCAAAGUUACAUAUGCAACAGACAUAGUAUUAUAGCAGAGAAACUCCAAUAAACACUCAUCAUGAUGCUUGACAAGAGAAUUAUUCAACAACUAACAACUACAGGGCCUAAGCUCAACUUAAACAUAUACUUGCAUCAAAGCCAAGUCCACACUCCAUAUAUGCUUACAUAAACCAUAUUUUCUCAAUUCUAACUGCAUUUAACUUAAUUUAUUUUGAUUUAUUUAUUCACUGGAAAUUUAUUUUGAUUGCAAAUUCUUCUAUCAUCCACUAAAAUGAUUUAAAUACUAGAUACAUAAAUACACACAUAUGACGAGUACGAAGGGUGAGAGAGAGAGAGAAGAGCUGCAGUAACAGCAAGAAAGUUAAGAUUUGUGACCUCGAAUCCAAGGCCUAUUUCAGAUGUCCCUAAACACUCUUAACUUAUGAAAGGCGCUAAUAAGUAAUCUGCACAGGAAGAUAGGGGAUAAUAACAGAAUUCGUGAUGCAUAAAUUCCAUUCCGAAUAACAUAGCAAAAAGAUGAGAGAUUUGAUUAGAACAAACCAGUAAGCGUGCUCGCAACCUUUUACAAGAGCUGUUGCCUAAAGAACUGUCUUAACCAGAGAAACUAAAAGAUCAAGAGAAAGUAAAACGGCUGGAACGAAGCGAGUUGCUGCUGGAGUGAACAAAAGGAAAGGAGUUGGAGUUAAUGUGGGAGUGCUGGAGAAGGAGUUGAAAAUAGAAAGAAAAAGGAGUUGAAAGGGAGUGCUGGAACAGAUCUGUUCUGUUGAAAGCGAAGAAGGAAGUGGAAGAAGGAGGAAAAUGAUUUGAAAAGGAGCACUUUUUCUUUUUCACAUGAGACAGAUAUCUGUUACUCACGUGGAAGGGGGGGGGGGGGGACGAAACGGCAGCACAAGCUACCGUUCUCUCAGCGUUCUUUCAGGAUUCCCGAUGUUUAGCAGCGCUCUUAAUAUAAUUGAUGGUUAGGUAAAAGUCCUUCAUUAACCCAUUAAAUUUUAAUAUUAUAUUAUUUAUUUUUAUAUUAAAAAAUAAUUAAUGUAGGAAAAUUCUUAAAAGUUAACGGAGAAGGAAGAGAAAAAGAAAAAGUGAAAACAAAAGAAAAUAUAAAGAAAAAAAAUUAAACGAGACAAAAAUCUGUGGCGUGGAUCAUUCAUAUCUUUUGCCUUUUCUUUUGUAGAGGUACAUAACAUGGACUUCCCUGCGGUGCCACAGUGACAUGGUGCCACAGUUUUUUGUCUUUAUUCUGUGAAGCCGUUGGAUGGUUAAUCAUUCAAUCCAACGGUUUAAAUUAAUUAUUGGAGGAAGGCCGCCAGAACUGACAACCUUUGUAGCCGGUUUUGGGUGAGUGUAAUACCAUCUAAUAGUGAGCGUGCAUUUCAAGAUCUUUUGAACUACGAAAUUUCGUUUCAGCGAUUUCAUUUGAAAAUCAAUCUGUAGACAGAAAGUGAACGCACGAAAUUGGUAUUACUGGAUCGCAAUUAUUGGUGGAAUAAUAUCAAACGGUUGAUGUGUACAUGAAUAUGUCCGCGCAGUCCGCGCAGUUGUAGGGAGGUGAUGGUGAAAUAAAAAAUAAAAUUCCCGGCAUGUGCAUUCGAAGGAAUUUAUGAUGCUGAAAGUCUGGGCAUAUCGAAUGAUCCGACGUAGUAGGUAAUUCGAUAUAAACUUGCAAUUUGUUUUAGUUGGAAUAUUUAUAAAAGUCGUGUUUAGGGUUAGUUGAAUAGUUGGUGGAAGAGUUCAGUAAACAAGUAGUAAUGGGGAAAAUUUUCGAUUAAGUAUGUAAACAGGGGUCGUCAAAGAAUGUGAGGUUACUAGGGAGGACUGAUUUGAGGAAUCUCACUGCACUAAUUGUCGGAUUGAAGCCACAAGAGGGACUUAAAAGUGUUCGACGAUGAAAUGAAAUUUGUUAGUAAGUAAAUAUCUUUUGUAAGUAUCAAUUAGUUAUAUGGGUAAUUGAUGAGGACAUACUUUUAUGGCAUGUUCUUAUAAUGAAAUUGUUAACUUUGUUUUAUCUUCUGGUGACCAAUAAUGUAUGGAUGAGAUGUUAGUGUUCAAUUGUUAAUUUGACUGUUGGAAUCAAUUAGGUGGUUGAUGUAGACAUGAAUGUGUUUCUUAGAAAAUCGAGAAUGUUGAUGAGCAUUUAUUGUGUGAACCCCCUCGAAAUGAGUCUAUGAAAAUGAUUGAUUAACAUUGUAGGCGGUGGCAUGGUUGUUACAGAUGAGUCUAUUUAUAGAUUGUGAUCUUAUUGUUGUGGUUUUACUAUGCCCUGUAAUUAAAUUCUGUAAAAUCAGAAUGGUGCAGUUCGUUAGAAGCACUCAUUUAUAAUUUCACUGCAGCAAUGAAGGUAGGGGAGGUUCGCAAGCGAAAAUGUAGGGACGUAAACAGCUUGAACGAAGAUAUGGAAGGCAAUCGAACAAUAGAACGUAUUAGCCAUUACGGAUUCAUCAGUUAUUUGUAAGUAUUUUUACUAUCUGAAUAAAUAAAUUUUAACAAUGACGAGUGGAUUGGAAAUGACUUGAGUUACUUUCAGUGGUGCAACUGUGCGUAGAAUGAAGGCAACAGAUGCAAACACCAGCAUUACAAGAGAGGUGCGUUAAAUGGAAAUAAAAUUUAGUGUACUGCAACACCUUUUUAAUUGGCAAUAAGGUGUAUGUCCGUGUGUUUCUAUUAACUGCUUUGCAGGUUCGAAGGGAAAUUGCGACGUCAUUUAAAAAUUUACCACCAAAGACGAAAUGGAAGUACAAAGUCCGAGUCGAACAAGCAGUGAAAGGGGAAGCAACUAACACAUAUUUUACGCGAUGUGCACCAGACAGAUUGGCAUCAGCUCUUACAAAUCUAUCUGAUGAACAAAGAGAAGCUGUAUGUGAAAUGGGUAUGGGGAGCAUGCUUGAGUUGAAUAAUGGUAGGCUGAAAAGGAAGCUUUGUGGUUGGUUGGUAGAUAGGAUUGAUGUAUGUAGGCGCGUACUAGUUUUGAAUGGUAAUGAGGUAGAGCUCAAUGCUAAUAGCUUUGGUCAUGUCAUGGGAUUAAUAGAUGGGGGCAUGCCUUUAAGAUUAGAGGGUGACAUCAAAGAAGUUGAAUCAUAUGUACAGAUGUUCAGUGCAUCAUCUAGAGGAAUCAACAUCAAGAAAUUGGCAGAAAUGUUGAGUAAUUCGACGGCAGCCAAUGAUAGAUUCAAAGUCACAUUUAUGUUGUUUACUCUAUAUACUGUUCUAUGUCCCCCUGGUGGAGUACACAUAAGUUGUAAUUUCUUAUUUUCUUUGAAAGAUGUGAACUGUAUCCAGAAGAGGAAUUGGGCCACAUUUUGUUUUCAUAAAUUUCUUGAAGGCAUUACUAGGUACAAGGAAGAGAAAUUUGCAUACAUAGGUGGCUGUCUUUUGUACUUAGAGGUGAUAUCGCAUCUUGGAAUGAUAUAGUGUCAAUAUUUUCCUUCACUUUGUUCAGUUGAGUAACUAACUAUAAUUUGCAUUGUUGUUUUUGUUAAUUCCAGAUGCUUUAUUUUAAUUCUAUAGUGUAUGGAAAAGUACAAAGAGACAGGUCUAUGUGUCCCCUGGCCUUGUGGAACGUAGAUGAGAUAAAGCGGUUGAUGAAAUGGAUAGAGAAUAAAGGUGGUUAUAGUAGCGAUGAGGUCAUCUCAAAAAGGAAUUGUAAAUUUGUGGGAUUCUAUGAAAGCAAAUAAUAUACUUACGAUGAAAAACAUGCGAUCCGUGAAUACUGCUUUUCAAUAUGUCCUUGCUUUACAUUUAUUGUAGUUGGAUGUUACGUAUAAAUUUGGUUCAACACUUUACUUAUAACUUCGUACUUGUAAAAUUGUUUUACUAGAUACGAGUCUGUGCUGCAUCUCUAAUAAAGGCCAACUCAAGGUCAGAUGGAUGCAGUAUGCCUGUGGAAAAAGAUUUUAGAGACUCGGAUGUUAGACAGAUGACAACAGCCCCGGGAAUGACGAAGAUAAAGUCAUUUAGUCAAUUGGAUAAGGCAGUAGUGAUAUCAAGUAGGCCAUCAGGAUAUAUUGAAAAAUUAAAGACAUAUGGAUCGUGCCGCAACAACCAUGGCAAUAAUGCUAAGGGGAAGCACUGGAGUGAUGCAACCAAAGGAGAGGGAGUUUGCACCAACUAUGAGAGUAAGCAAUUGUACAAAAGUGCAGCAAGUGGCAGUAUAUACCAGAAUAAUGAAAUCAAGGAAAAAGAAGUUUGUGAAGAUGCACAACAUAUGGAUUUAAUUGACGUAGCAGAUUUUGUCAUGGAGACUCAGACGUCCCCACCAUGCAGUGAAAGCUUGCAUAGUAACAUAAGGAUUGAGGUUAUCUGUAACUAAUAAAAGUUAAAUCUGAAAUUUUCAUCUUCGUUUAGUUGUUUUUUGUUAACCGAAUGUAAUUUAUGUUUUAUAAUUUUGUAAUUAUUAUGAGGAAAAUAUGUUGCAGGAGCCUGCUAUGGUGCAGAAGUGUUCAGAACCGAAUAAAAAGAUUGGGAAUGUAGUCCAUCCAAAGUCACCACUUAAUCAGAUAGGUGCUGGCAGAGCACGUUAUCAGGUUGGACCAUAUGUGAUGCAAAGACCUUUGAGUACUGAUGACGAGAUAUUGAUUAACUUAUGCAUGGAUGAAAAUUUGAAUAAGGGGUAACGUAUUACUUAUGUCGUUGAAUUAGUACUGGCAUUCAUAUAAAAAGUUACUUGAUUGUGUUUGAGCUUCGAAUAAACGGACUUAAUUGUAGGAAAUCAAUAAUUAUGGAAAAAAAUGUCUGCAUGAUAGAUUUUCCGUUGCAGGGAAAUGGUUUUUAAGACGAACUUCAAUUGCAUCGGCAGAAAUGAUAUUAUGUCUCUAUCUCCUAGAAGUACAAUCAAUGUGAAGGUACAACCACCUUCUGUUAAGUGAUGUACUUGUAUGAAUAAUACAUACACAUGUUAUACUGAUUGCUCUUGGAAUUUAAUAGGGCUUGAUGUUUUUGUUAUUUGUUUAUAUGUUGAAUUAAGUCAAUACCCCUUACAUGAAAUUGUUAAUACUCGUAAUUUUCAGAUUGUUUCUGCUGUCUCAUAAUUGUUAUCUGCGAAAGCGAGUGUAAAUGUUGGAAAUAGUAAUUUCAGCCUUUUUCUGCCAGCGUAUUCUGCUGUAAGGACUUUGUGUUAUAUUGCAAUAUUGGAAUUUUAUCCCCUAAGGGGCAGUUUAACAUAAAAUUUCGUGUGUUCAUUCAAUAAGGUGCAUUUGUUUACUAUGCAUGUAAGUUGAGAUAUUGUUCUUGCAAUUACAUUUAACUAGAGCAUUACAAAUAUUUGUUAUUCGAGUUUGGCAACCCACUAUUUCCAUUGCCUAUAAUUUUUGUUUCGGUUGUGAUAGCGUUGAUGUUCUAUAAACUAUACAGUUGCACGAUAACAUCAGUGGGGACCCCACAGACCUUACUUUUGGUAUUAAACAAUUUAUCAGUGGUGAUUUAUACCUGGCGAAUAUUGGUUCGUGUAAACAAGUAAGCAUUUUUUACUUAAGCCAUCAGCAAACCUCGUUUUUAGUUAAUUUUGAUGUUAUCUGUCAGUUUAUUUCACCCUGGUAUUGCAAUCAUCAAUAAAUUUUUGUCCCGGUGAACCAUGGUUUUACACACUGGUACUUAUUGGUUGUAUUAAUAUACAAAAUGCUGGUGGAGAUAUGGGAUCCACUGCCCACUGUAAUGAAGUCACAAAUGUUCGUUGUUGAAUGCAAACGAGCGGUGAGUUACCAUUGUAGAUGCCAAUCGAGUGUACUUUGUUGGCAAAAAAAAAAAUACUUAUAAAUGAACCAUUGUUGUUGUAAAUAAUCCUCCUUUGUUUUAAAAGGAAGUGUCAAAUAUUACUAUUGUUAUUACUGCAAUCUAUCGAUUGACGGAUGUUCCUGCAGCUAAAAUUCAUUGAGAUGGCGUUGCAACAUUGUGGCUCAAAUUGUUUAUCGGGAAGGUUAAACAUGAGCGAGUUCGUAAUCCAGCUUUGUACCAGACAGGCCAGUAUACGUAACGAAUCUGAUUGUGCACUAUAUGUUAUGUUGAUGAUGGAGAGACAUAAAAUGUGGUCGUGCCUUUCUGAGGCAGAGGUGCGUAACAUUUUUAACUGUUCAAUGCUAUAACCCAGGCCGUUAAUAUUAUUUAUGUAUCGAUUCAAUUUUUGCUGCCUUGUACUUAUUGUGUUUGUUCAUUUCAUUUAGAUAAAAUUUGAUUCAGAUAGUGAGAGGGCACGCAUUCUGAUAGAUCUCAUGACAUACAGUUUCAACUGUUUGAAGGACAAAGUUCGUUUGAAGGCUGAGAAGCAUCGAUGGCGUGUUGACGAUGAAGCCCAUUCAAUUUAUGAAGCGAUUAAAAAGAAGCGCGUACGACAGCUUCGGAGUGCGAACCAAAUAGGGCAUGGUCGCCGCCAUUAGCUGCAUUUUCUUUGACGUUCUAUUGUAUAAGUGCAUCCAUGCUUUUCGGAAAGAAAAAAUUGCUAGGUUUGACAGUUGCAGUUCAUCAUUCCAAAAAGCACAAUCAACCACUGACAAUUGUGAGUGAUAAACAACUUAUGUUUUGUUGUUGGCAUAUAACAAUAAAGUUUCCAUCGUGGAUGCCACAGUGUCUCAGUACUGAACUUAAUCAUUUAUGAGUUUACAUUGCUGUUAAUUUUUAAUUUGUCAAGACGGUUGUUCCUAGAGUAUUAUAUCAGUACAUGCUGUUAGCUGAAAUAACAUAUUCUCUGAAUUCUGCAUUUUAUAUGAUACUGAUACUUUGGCCUAGACAAGUUACUGAAAUAUUCAUUUUAUGUUGUAGUCUUGAGGAAGAUGCUUUUUGUACUAAUUGAACUCAACGAUGGAUUGAAUUAAGUUACGCAAGUUGUGCUUAUUUAAGCCUGGCAUAGGUAUAAAAAUUAUUUCUCAACUGCCUCUUAAAAUUUUUUUUUUCCAAAAUUAACGGAUAUAGUGGGAGCAAAAAAAUAGUUGUAUUAAAUCCCCAACCUCUAGAUCUUUUUGGAGUAACGCCAAUAUUCUUUUACAGAUUCCAAAUGUGGGCGUAGUUAGUUGGUGUAAAAGAUGAGGUUGCAAUGCAGUUGGAUUCACUUGCAAAGGCACUUGUGUUUAGAGUUUGGUCGGUUGAUUGACUUACUGUACUGGCUGAAAAUUGCUAGAACCAUGACUCUGAUGUAGGAGAAAAUGGUCUACCAUUUUCUCCUAUUUGGUACCGCGACAAAAUGUUCAUGUAUCGUGUGGGUUGUUGCGGCACGUGGUUUGUGUCUGCUGCAUCUGUCGCAUUUGGUCCCAUUACAUUACUACCACAAAAAAAUUCCAUGCAAUGGCUUGAACAGUCAUCCAGCUGUUGUCUUGUCCCUCCUCUUUUUUUGCACUUUCUAACAUUGUGGCCUCGCUGACCACAUCUGCUACAUUUUCGUUGUUGUGGUUGUCCCAUCUUCGUUUUUUUUUUAUUGAACCUUUGGUAAGAACAACUUCCGGAUCUUGUACCACUGUCUCUCUCCUCUCUAAAGGUUGCCUUGCUGGUUCUUUGGUCUGAGACAUUGCCUGCAACUUCAAAGUCAACUGGUGAAUAUAAGUAAUUGCCACAUUGUAUGCGGCCAAACUUGAUCCAACGAAUCUUAGCAAACUUCGACAUGCUGCAUAUAUUUGGCCAAUACGAGCCUGCUCUGUCAUGUAAUGUGAUUUAUUACAACUUAUAUCAGACAAAGUGUGAGCUUUUAUCUUUGCAGUUUUACUCCAUCGAGAAAGAAUCAUCGAACUUGGAAUUUCUGUCAUAUUCUGAGCCUUGAACACAACAAAUGAAUGCGAGCAUGGAAUUCCAAUUGUCUCAAGCAACUUGCAGGUGCAGGAUAAGGUUUUGCUAGUCUCAUUAAUCACUACUUUCACCUAUUUCCCAACCGAUCCAAACCGCCUAACCCUGUACGUUGUUGACAUUAUAUCCCGAUCACACAUUUCUGCAGUUAACAACGCUUCCUUGUCGAUUUCUUCUUGUACGAGGCGAAACAUGGCCCUUGUGAACUUUUCAGCUGCUUGCUGCUCAUACAUCUUUAAAUGUGUAACCAAAACAGGACGUCCAUCAGAACUGUUAAAGUCAUCCUUCCCCUUUGCUUCCUUUUGUCAAUCCAUUAGUCGGUCCAUCUGUUUAACAAAUUCUAUCAAUCGGAGCCUUCUAUUCACGUAAUGGUUUAGAUACGCAUUCAUUCCUUCCGACCUUUGAGUGCUUCUCAUUCCCCCAAAAAACUUUCCCCGCAAAUAAGCCUCAGCCCACAUAUGUCUAUCUUCAAACAUCUUAACAACCCAUUCAUUUGCGGCAACAUCAUGGUUAUCGACCAUCAAUUUCCAUUUUCGGUCAAAUUCUUCUUUUGUGUAAGCGUUCAUCAUGCAGCGGCGGAAUUCUGUUGUAAAUUCAGGGUUUUGAAUAUUUGUUUGAGCAUUUCGGACCAAAUGCCAGCAACACAACCUGUGUGAAGCUUCUGGAAAUGUCUUGCUUAUUGCAUUUCGCAUUGCUUUGUCCCCGUCGGUUACAACUGUCCUCAGAUCCUUGUUGUUCAUGGUUGUCAUCAAUGUCUCUAACAACCAUGUGUACGUGUGUUCUGUCUCAUCUGACAAUAGAGCAAACCCGAAUACAAUUGUUCGCUGAUGGUGAUUUAUCCCCAAAGUAACCACGAGAGGCUUCCGAUAUGCAUUGGUCUUGUAAGUUUGAUAUUUUUUUUAAGAUUUUAAAGAAAUAUCAAUAAUUGAUCCUGGUCAAAAUAUUUGUUUUAAUUACUUAUGAAAUUGUAAAUAUUUGGAAUUGUAAAGGGCGAAAAUGUCAAAUAAAUAGAGUCAGUUCCCCUUACGCAUCAUAAGUUUCAGCCCUUGUACUUUAGUUGUGUCAGUCUAUAAAUUAUUAUUGGGGGUAAUAUUAUCUUUUGAAAGUCAACAGUUAGUCAAUAAAAAAUUUUAACUUACGAUACGGGAUCUUUUACAAAUAAAAUAAUUUGAACCCAUGUACUUGCAACAGCCUCCAACCUCAGGGGAGGUUUUAAAAAUUACCGUUAAUAAACUUUAGCAUUUUAGGGUGACCCUUAAACCUUUUGGAUCCGACUGUCGUGCAAUAGUUGCACGCUACCCCAAAUUUUGUAUUUUUUCAACUCAGCGAACGGAUCAAUGGGUAAAGGGUUCAACGGCUACAAUGUGUUUAACUGGUUCUAUUAACACUUAAGUCCCUACUGUUUAUUACAAAUUCAUAAAAGCUUUACGUUUUUAAAUAUUCACAUACAUAACUUGUGUUAACAUUUUUAAAGUUUGAUCCAUUGACUUAAUUUGGUAAAAAAAAUGAUUGAUGCCUUGAUCGUGUAAAUAUAAUAAUGUAAUAUCGCAUAAAAUGUUUAAACACCUUUUAUAUUAACCUUCAUAGUUUAUAAAAUUAUAAAAUAAAAAAUGGAUUGGGCCACAUUGCAACAGUAGUACCGUGCCACAGUUGUACCUGUCGUUGGAUCUAUUUAAAUGAGUAGGGUGUGUUUGGUACAUUAUAUCAUAUUAUAUUGUAUUGUAUUAUGUAAUGCACAUGUAUUAAAUUAUAUUAUAUUCUAUUACAUUAAUAGUAUAUUAUAAUAAUUAUAAUUAUAUUAUACAACGUUUGGUAAAUGGUAUUAUCAUGUAUUGCAUUAAUCUUAAGAAUUUAGUCAACUUAUAUUAUUCUAUAUUCAUUAUUAAUUAUAUAAAAUUUUAUUUUCAUAUAAAUUAUUGUUAAAUAAAUAUAAUAUCAUAUAGAAUAAUAUUAUAUUAUAAUAUUUUAAUCUUUUAAUUUAUUAUAAUAAAAUAAUCAAAAUGAUUAAAAUAUAUUCAAUGCUUAAUUAAGGUUAAAUAAUAAAAUUAACAAAAUAUAUUGAUGACGACGACAACGACAUUAAUAUUAAUAUAAUAAUAAAUAUAAUAAAAAUAAAGAAAUUUAUUAAUAUUAAAAUUAUUCAUAUAAUAUAAACAAUAAAAUCAUAAUAAAUUCAAUAUUAUUAAUAUAAUAAUAAUGACAUUAAUAAAUAGUAAUAAAAACAGGAGGAAACAGUUAAUGUUUUACUCAAAAGACAUUUUAUGAUUUUAUCCAGAGAAAAUUACCUAUAUCUACAAAUUUGUAACUUAUGGUAUGUAUUCAGUUUUCUUAUAAAGUGAAAGGUAAUAUUGUGUAAUUUUUGGAAAAAGACAAAAUUCAGUGAUACCGUUAAACUGUUACACGGUAGGCGGACCCUUGUCAUGUGCCUUAAUAUGACACCAACUUCAAGUGGUGCAUUACUAAUCCAAGGCGUCACAUUAAUACUUGCUUGCCACUUAUUAUUUGAUGCCAUUUGGUAUAAUGUGUACUUGGUAACAGAUGUUUAAUGCUUCAUCAACAUUUUGCACGUUGUGAUGACACCAUGUUCAAUUCACUUGUUGUAACACCACCCGUUUUUUGUUUCAUCUACUCUUGUGCAUUCCUGAUUUGCAACUCCUUUUGUUCCUUAUAAAACCACAACUAUUCAUGGACACUCCAUAUUUUUUACGUGAGUCACAUACAACGUUUUACACUUACUUACUGUUACGGUUUGAGGUUGUCAAUAAGUAAUAUUACAUUUUCGUUACAGCAUCGAUUACCAAACGGGCAGGUCGCAUAAGUGGCUUUCUGUUUCAGCUAUCAUCAAUCAUUCAGGUGCAUCAACAAAGGAUAUGGGUCAUUACAUAAUAUAAAUCAGUCUGUCCAAGGGAAUUCAAGGAAACCAGUUGCAAAUGUGUUUGUUCGAAGUUACAAAAGCACAUAAAUAUAUCACAGAAAACAUAUCCAAUGGAAAUAUUACACAUUAAUUCCAGCUCCAAUGGAAGUCCCGCAGCAUAUCGAACUCUAAUGACAUGAAUCGGCCCCAAUAACACCAAACACAUCUAGUUGACUGUUUCCCUAGUAACCCGAAUGUUAACAGUAGGAGACUGUAUUCGAAAGUUGAGAAUUUUGCGACAGAGUGUUUGCAAUCUGGCGCCUUGAACACUUCCGUGGCAGUGGUAUAUGAACUUGUCCAACACUUUACUAUGCCACAGGAAGUACUCCACCAGGCGUACGUCAUCUUUUCCGUCAGUAAAUGCUUUCAUCUUUAUUUUUUUGACGCAUUCACUCAAGCAAUGGGGCACAUUUUCUGUCUCCAGCCACCCAAGUUCGUGGUCGUUUACGUCGAACCAAUCUCCCUGAUAAGUUAAAACAGGCAAACCCAUGGUUAACAUAUUGAACCUAGUUCCUGAUGACUGCACAUGACUAUUGUCUUACUGACCUUCGUUAAUAUACAAGUACGCAAGUUGUAGGUGGCAGUGAGGAUAGUAUGUAGACCUUUCCAGCCACUUCGUCGAACUUCAACAUCCAAAAAGGUGAGGUUGUCAAACCAAAUCAGGGACUGCCUUUCGCAUGCCCGCUUAAGUGCUUGUGGUUUAAUUGGUUAUUACACAAACAACAACAAUAACAACGUUCUGUCACUUUCAAGUAACAAAUAAUUAACCAACUUAAGCCCUUUUGUUGAAAUGCAAAAUUUGGCCUGAUUGUCCAAGGCUUGCUGACAUUCCUUAACAGUUCAAGCAAAACAAUACAUCUCAGCCUUAUGAUCAAUACAAAAACCUAACAGUCAUAACAGAUGAAAAAAUUGUAUAUCAAUCUCUGUCUACCUUUCUCCCUGCAGCGCCGCUCUGUCAAAAUAAUACUAUGUACAUAUCACAUUCGGAUUGAGGACAGCGGCGCAGGGAGAGUUUCAUAAAUUAUAUAAAUUUAUGACAGUACAUGUCGUCAUUCAUCAUCCAUAUGUAACAUAGGUUAACAAUAUAUAAUUCAUUUCACAUCACCAAGUUCAAACAACACACAAACCUUUAUAUCAUCUUUUUGUGGUAAUUGUUUUGCUACUCUACAAGGACUCAACCACCACCAUUGUUUUUUGUUGGUGAAAUUUAGGAUCAUGUUUCUGACAUUUGCAAUUUGACAGUGGAAAUAAUGACAAUUUAAACUACUAUAUAAUCCAUUUACAUGCAAUUACUUACUUGGCCAAUUUAAAUGUCAAACCAAUCUUAAACUAAACUUUAUACUAAUUGCAUGUGUGUGAUCACGUUGUUACAUUGAUACAAUAUGUCACAUUGCAAAUGUUACCCCUUAUAUGCUAGUUUACAACCUAAAAUUACCCGGUACUUUUUUUAAAUGAAUAUUUAGAUGCUGGUAUAGUAUGGGAAUGCUUACCAAAAGAACACCACCGGAUAGGAUCAGACGAGCUGUUUUUGCGACACCCUCAAUGAGGUUGCGAGCACGUUGUGGAUCAACUGUAUCCGAUUCCCAAUGUUGAAGAUCUAAAGUUGCUUACUGGAUGGAUUGCAUCUCAUGUACCUCAUAUUCCAUCAACAUGUUAUCAACAAUAUGGAUUAGUUGGAGAUUUGGCGCCAUAAUGACAGCACAAUGGUGGUAUGACAUCCCUCGCAACGAGGUGAAGAGAACAACAAACGUCAGUGUGUUAAGAGUUGCCGACUGAAUGAUGAAGUUCGCUGGAGGAUCAUCUGGUUGUAUCAAAAUUGUCAGACAGAGUUCCGUCAGUGAAGGGCAACUACAAAACAGCUUCUCUUUAACUCGGUUUUCAAGAUGGGUAAUACAUAUUUGAAGAAUCUUCAGUUGGGGAAAACACACACCAUCCGGAGGAUCUUAUAAGCGAAAUGCAGUGUGUAGUCGAAGAACUUCAAGCGUCAUCGAGCUGUACACAUAUGCAGGCAACUGCAUGGGUGCGUACUGGAUAAUAUCGAUUUCCAUCUCCCGAACAUUCCGCAUUAUUACCUGAGAUACCCACAAAGGAAACCGAUCACUACGUAUAGCGUUGACACUCUGAAGAGAGAACGUAUGUAUUGAUACGGGGUCCGUUCCAGCCAUCACUGAUUCUAUGAAGUUGUUAAAUUCAUCCACCAGGUCAGGAUUGUCAGCAGCAGCCCCCAUGGGACCCCCAUCAUCAAAGCAGAGGUUGCGAACUGAGGUCCAUACAUGCCUCCAUCUUCGCGAAAGACUUGAAGUGGCCACUGCAUCUUCGAGUGGCAGAAAAUUUAGGAUAUUGGACAUCACAGAAUCAGGCAAUGCACUAAUCCUGUCUUCGGGUACUUUUUUUAGCACUCUUCCCCGUCGGAUCCGCGGAACCGAACCAGUUGAUCUCCUCAUCCUUAAGGCAACUCACCUUGGCCUGUGGGACCAUUAAAUACAUUUAAAUUCAUAAUAAUCUGCUACAAAAAUCAAACCAUUUACACAGACGUUAUUUAGAUGUACAAUGUAGGUUGUUAAAUUCACUUCCACACACAUGGUCAUAGUUAACAUUUAUAAAUAAUUUAAAGGUUUAAUUAAGCAGUUACAGUAUGAAUUGCAUUCAAGCAUAGAUUUUUUAAAAAUGAAAAUUUUAUUGACUCAUCCUGAAAAUUAUAUAAUCUAUUGAGGUCGUUGAUUAAUCAAUUAGAAUCAGGUGUACAGAGAUAAAAUAAUACACACAAAAGUCCAGACAUUUCACCAAUUAGCUAAUCCUUUUAGUAUUAUUCCCCAACUUAAAACGAUAUAUCCUAAAACCUUAUCCUUUGUAAGCAUCGCGAUGAAUUUCCCUAACAUAUAUCCAACACAAGCAUUCAAUGUUUAGGUUCAGACUCAUUAACAAAGAUCCACCAUUGCUAACUUAUCGUCGUCAAAAUAAAACAAAUAUGGCACAUUCGCGAAUGAACCAAACAAUUCACCAAAAGGAUAGAAAGUAGAAGGGUUCAGCUGUCUAACGAAAUAUUAGGGGCAAUAAUGGGGAAAAAACAAAAAAAAAAUUGAUGCAUUUGUUCUGGGAACUGUCGUCGUUAUGUAGUGAGUUAAUGCUUGUUUUGUUUGGUGGUUAUGUUAUUGGCCACUGGGCUGUACAUUCCCGGGAUGUGUGACUACAUUGAUCAUUGUCACUCUCGAGAUUGCGGCUUCAGUUCAAUCCGUUAUGAAUCCUUGUGCCAUUGUGGCAACUGGCAACUGCCAUGUGAAAUUGAAAUAUUUGCUUCAGACAAUUACUCGGUGCUUCAAACAAUAAUAUUGUGGGCCCAUUGUUUAGGUCAGUCGCUUUCUCACUUCCCUUGUCUUUCUGGAUUGAACACGUUUGGAUGGUCUUUCAGUUCAACCUUUUUCAUUGCCUCAUUUGUCUCUUGUGGUGCUUGUCAACUUUAGAUCCUUCCAUACUUGGCCGGACACACAAAUUUAAUUUUUUAGAUUGCAUGGGGCCAUGGAAGUAUGAUGACUUCAUUCGGCAUGUGCGCAAUGUGACAACAAGUUUUUUCAUUUUUCAAUUAUGUCCUUUUUUAUUUAAUAUUAUUUAACCAUAAGCUUAUUAUUAUAUUUGUUCUUUUAUAAUUAAAUAAUAAAUAAAAAUAAAAUAAACAUAUUCAGUAGUUAGCAUUACAAAUUGAGACAUUUUUAUUAUUAUUUAUUUUUGUUAUUUAAUAUUAUGUACACAUACAGUUAUUAUUUAAACUAAUGCUUUCAUCAAACAAAAUAAUGCAAAAUAAUAAACAAAUCAUUAGUAACAAGUGUUAACAAAUAAAAUUAUUCUUUUAAUUUACCCAUAGGCUUACAAUUAUAAAUAAGCUUAUUUGAAAACUAAAUAAUAAACAAUUUUAAUAGUGUGUUACAUAUUAUAUAUAUAUAUAUAUAUAUAUAUAUAUAUUAUAUAAAAAACCUCAUUUUAUUUUAAUUUAGUCAUGUAGGUGCAAUGGCCAAGUCCGAAUGUUCAUAUUUGACCUUUUUUUUUUGCUGCGAGUUUAUACGUGUUAAUAUAUAUGCGAAUUAUUAUUUAUAUUAAACUAUAUGUUUCUCUUUGUACAUAUUUAUUGAUAUAUAAAUUUUAUAUGUUUCUCUUUGUACAUUUGUCCCUGCUUUAAUUUAAUCUUUAUCUGAAGGUAUUAUUAUGAAGAUUCUAUUUAACUUAAUUUUGAUUCGUGUUUUUUUUUAAUUUAUAAAUAAUACCCAAUUAAUUAUUAACUACUUGUCCUUCAGCGGAUUAUGUAGACAGACAAAAGAAGAAAAGGAAUUUAGAGAAAUUAAUGUGCAUUGAGAUAACCGCUAAUGUAGGGACGAAAGAAUUAUGCACAUGACCUUCUUAAUGCAAGUAUGAACUUGGUGAAAAUUGAGAAACUUUUUUUAUGUUAUUAUUACUUAACUUUUUGAACGUGGUUUCUAAUAAUUCGCACAUUUGCUUUUGAUCUUCUUUUGUUUUUAUAGAUCUUUAACAAUAUAAUUUUACUUCUUAUUUUCAUGACUUCUUAUUUGAUUUAUUUUAUUUUUGCAGCAUACUUCUUUAGGGUCUGCCUACCGUGCAACAGUUACACGGUACCAUUGAAUUUUGUCUUUUUCCAACAAUCAUACUACACUACCCUAUAUUUAUAAGAAAACUGAAUAUAUACUAUAAGUUACAAAUCUUUAUAUAUAGGUCCUUAUCUCUGGAUAAAAUUAUAAAAUGACUUUUGAAAAAAAAUUUAAUUGUUAUUAUUAUUAUUUAUUAAUGUCAUUCUUAUUAUUAUUAUUAUUAUUAUUAAAAUUUAUUAUUUUAAUUGUUAUGAUUUUUUUAAUUGUUAUCAUUAUUAUUAUUUAAUAAUUUUAUUACCGUCACUAUUUUUAAAAUAUAUUAAAUUUAUUACUGAAUUAUUAUUGAAUUAUUAUUUUAUUAAUAUUAAUAAAUUUAUUAAUCUUAUUAUUGUAAUUAUUAUAUUUAUAUUAAUGUUGUUGUCGUCAUCGUCGUCAUCAUCAUUAAAUUUUAUAUAUUUUUUUUGUUUUGACUAUUAAAUAAUACCACUGUCAUUAUUAUUAUUUUACCUUAAUUAAGCAUUACAUAUAUUUUAAUUAUUUUUUAUUUUUAUUAUAAUAAAUAAAAAAUAUAAAAAUAAAUUAUAAUAUAAUAUUAUUUUAUUAUAUCAUAUAAUAUUUAUUUAAAAAUAAUUAAUAUGAAAACAAUUAUUUAAUAUCAUUAAUAAUAAAUUUAAAUAUUUUUAGUUAAAUAUUAGUACAAAAUUAAUGCAGUACAGGAUAAUACCAAUUACUAAAUGUUGCAUAAUUUUAUUAUAAUUAUUAUAAUAUACUGCUUAUAUAAUAUAAUAUAAUAUAAUAUAAUAUAAUAUAAUAUAAUAUAAUAUAAUAUAAUAUAAUAUAAUAUAAUAUAAUAUAAUAUAAUAUAAUAUAAUAUAAUAUAAUAUAAUAUAAUAUAAUAUAAUAAUAAUAUAAUAUAAUAUAAUAUAAUAUAAUAUAAUACAUGUGCAUUACAUAAUACAAUAUAAUAUAGUGUGUCAAACGGACCUUUAACUUUUUGAGUGAUGAUGGUCUAGAGGGAUGUAGAGAAAGUAAAAAUAAUCCUAGUAGAUCUUUUACAAUGGUUGAUUAGCUAUCAUCACAAAGUUUAGGCUAAUACAAUAAAAGUUAACGAACUACCUUAUAUUUAAAAGAGCAUUUGGAAAUCAAUAAAUUUACUAUUCAAUUAUUUUUAAUCAAGAAUAAAUAAUAAAUGAUCAUUACAACAAGAUUCACAAGCUCAAAUAUCUUAAAAAAUGAUAAUUCUCAAGAAAUAUGAAACUCAAAUGCUUUUGAAAUAUUCUUCAAAAAAUAAACUAACUUCCUUUUAUGUUAUUCUUUAUUUAUCUUUCUAUAACUUUGUUGGGCUAUGUAUAUAUUGAUAUUUUAUAGGUAAAUUAACAUAUUGUAUGUAUAAAUAAACUAACAUGUCAACUAAUGUUAAAAACAAAAAUGUAAUAAAAAAGUAAAGUUUUGUAAUAUUAAAAUAAUAAAAUUUUACAACCUAAGACUUUUUACAUGUUUUCUUAUUUUGAAAUUUCACCUUUUUUUAUUUUAUAAUUUUCUAAAGUAUAAAGGUUAAUAACCUAUAUUCUUAAAACAUAUUCAAUUUAUUUAUUUUACAGUAAAUAUAGAUUAUAUAACAAAAAAUAUUAUUUACAUUUAUCAAAUUUUCAUGUGUUUAAAAAUUUUAUGUGAUAUUACAUUAUUAUAUUUACACCAUCAAUUAUUUUUAUGAUCAAAUUAAGUCAAUGGAUCAAACUUUAAAAAUUUUAAAACAACAAAAAUUAUGUAAGUGAAUAUUUAAAACCUUUUAGCUUUUAUGAUUUUGUAAUAAACAGUAAGGACUUAAGUGUUAAUAACUAAUUGAACACAUCCUGUCUGUUGAACACUUUAACCAUUGAUCUUUUACAAUGGCUGAGUUGAAAAAAGACAAAAAAAUGGGAUACCGUGCAACUGUUGCACGGUAGGCAGACCCACUUCUUUAUGUUAUUUUGAGGACACUACACAAUACAGCUUUGAACUUAUGAAGAGUUUAGAUGAAGUUGUUGGCAUUUUGUUUAUUUUGUAUUGUAAAAAAUAAAUUAUAUGUAAUACUAUUAUGUUAUGGACUUCAAUCACUGAAGUGGAUUUAUUUUAAUUAUAUGUUACCUGUUUUGUAGUUUGUAAUUUAUGCAUUUGUUUGAGAGCUUCCAAAUUAAUUUAAAAAUAUAUUAUGUUACAAAAUUUUAAUUACUUACAAAAACCUAAUUCACAACAUACAUCUGCAAUUUUUUAAAAGAUAUGUAAUAAAAUAGUAGAAGACAACAUUUACGGCUUGUGGUUAAAAACUUUUCAGCAACAUGCAAAUAACUCAUGUCUAAAACUGUUUUCGUAUGAAUGGUUCCACCAAUUACCUAACCAUGAAAUACUACGAUACUUUUGAUAGUAAUAUUAUGAUUAAGGUGCAUGAUACGAUUAUAUAUAGCAAAAGCCACGCAUCCCGAAAGACAAAUCGAUGCACACAUUGAACAAUUGACAAAUUUGUAAGUGGACCAAUGUACUUAACGCAAAUAACGUGAUAUUUAACACAACACAAGAACUUGUUCUAAUGAUUACAAAAACAAUAGUGGCAACAUCCAAGGGAUAUCUUGUACGUACGCUUCAUUCGUCUACCAAAAAAGACUACAAUAAAGUACAAUAUAUAUAAGUCCACAUUUUCCCUACGUUCACAUAUACUACCAACGAAAGAGGCACACCCCAAAUGUUGAUUAAUGUAACGCUUCCCUAUGAAGCAAAAUCGGGUGAUGAACUCAAGUGGCGCAUUAGGCAGUUCCAUCAGCAGUCUCCACCGUUGUUCCAACGCCGUUAGAUUGGGAUCCAUGGCAAUGAUCGCCUCCCUGCUAGAAGUCAAUAGCGUUUAUACAGACAAAAAUGAAAAGAUCAAUGCCACUAUACAUUUUAAAAAACGAUGAAUUGAUUACCCCAACACGUGGAUAAAAUAAACCUAUGCUAGUUAACGAUAAUAACGACAUCCAAUUAAUUGAAAGCUUUGCAAUCACAGAAAUGCUUCGAAGAAAUUUUUUACCGUGGCCGGAGUUGGAUUUACUAGCUUGCAUGUGCGCUUCCCAUGUCCGUCGGCCUUACACACCGUACACCUGUACUUUUGCUUCACGCCCACAACUUGGGCACGUGGUAUAAUGGGUUGUACAGCCGUGGUUGCUGCAGGGUUUUGGUCAGAAUGGGCCACCGCAUCCUUGACCACCGGGACAUCCUCUCUGGUAUGGCACAACGUCGAGGGGGGCCCAAGUGUUGGAGAGUGAGCAGCGUUAACGGAAAACCGAACUAGAACAUGGAGACUGCAACUUCCCUUUAUCAUGGACAAGUGGAUAAUGUUUUUCAACGCAUCGUCCGUGUUGACGUCCACCAUCCGACCAUCCCACGGGAGAACGACUUUAGGAUGGAAAUAAUGAACCGCAGGAGAAUCUCUAGUCUGCAGCACGAGAGCUGCAAUAUUGCAAAAUCUGAGAAGAGUGUAGUGCAUGGGCCUGAUGGAUUUAAUCAUCAUGGCUGACCCCAUGUACUCCAAGACAAAGAUGAAUGGUGGAGGCAUUAUUGGCGUUACCGUCGCCAUGUAUUAGGGAAACUGAGAUGUAGGUGCGAACUAAAAAAAAUGAUGAUCAACUGCGAUGUUCGUACUAUGUGGUUAUGUAAAGGUCAUUCGUGAAUGGUGGCAAUAUACACAUUCGUUGAUAAUAAUACGCAUUACAGAUAAAAAAUUCAUCCAACUAUUUUGAAUUUAGUGGGAAUUCUUAACCAACGUAAGUAGUCCAUAAAUAUAUGGGUAUUUUAUAUGGCCAAUGAGACAUUAGAAGGUAAUUAUUUCUGUGUUUCGUUUAAAAAUUCCAACCUUAAAUUAACUCCCGCCUUUGAAAGAGGCUGGUUAUAGGCGACAAAAAUACUUCCUACUAUUUACAUACCUUGCCGUUGAAGAUUUUGCACUGACAAACUAACAGUGACAACUACUAUACUGUUUGCAGUGCUUUUAUGGUAACUCACGAUAACGAAGCUUCCUGUGGGGUCAAAUGCGCUGAAUGUUAUUAAUUGCCAAUAUUCACAGCAGUUGCAUUCUGUCAGGGAUAUAUUUUCCAGUCAGUGUCUUCUUGAUAAAGGAACAUGAGGCGGCGGGUUGUUUCCUGUGGAUGGCCAUGCAUUUAUGUAGUGGCCGCCGCUAAGCGAGGCCGUCUGUUGCACCGGUGAAAGGACACGACACAAAGAACAUCGCUUCACCCACGUGGCCACGUUUUCACAGAGGAUGACCGUGUUAUUAGCCUUUUUUAGUUCACUUUUGGAGUGCAUUGAAUCGACUUGACUAGCUAAGUGAUAAUCUGUAAGCUACUGACUGCAGCAUCAGCCGUUGGAUACGGUUGGAUGUGAAGUGAGAAACUAAACUAUAAAAUGGGAUGGUGGGAUGAGGGGAUACGUUUGUUAUGGAAUCUGUACCAUAGACAGGUCCACAUUGAAUAUGUUCGUGCCUCUUUCUUCGAUACCCCCAACACGUGGUAUGACUUAAAUCCACACACGUUCAAAAGUUAUCACGGCAUUUACAUCUACAGCCAAAAGUUCAAACUGGUUUAUGGGAAGUAAUCUGUCAAUUGGGAAGCUUCCUGUGGCCUUGCACACAUCGGGUUCAUUGACUACAGCAGUGGAAAACGAGAAGGGUAUUGACGGAAUAUAGAAUUUAUUUGAAUUAUUUGUGAUGAGACAGAAGCAUUUGCUUAUUAGUUAAAGUGACCGUUGAUAUCUUCCCGUUGUGAACCAUUACGUGGAAAUGUCCCAGCAAUGAAUGAGAGUUUAAAUACCGCCUUCUAUCGUUUUGCAUCUAUGAGGGUGCACAAUAUUCUUCCAAGAAAACCAUUUUUCGCAUGUCUUCGUCGACCAAUAGCACCAAUAACAUGAGUAACAACCACGACGGUGGAGAUCGUCGUAGGUGGAUUAAGUUGAAAAAUUGAUAUUGCAACUGUUAUAAUGGCCGGCGAGCUGUAAUACGGAUUUCUAAAUCGUCAAAGAACCCAUGACGUCUUUUAUUUUACUGCGACACCUGCAAGUUUUUGCAUUGGUGGACUCCGGAUAACGAUGAAUGACACAGUCUUCGUGAGUAUGUGCAGGAACGGACAGGAGCCUACCGUCUCAGUCGCUUACAUGUAGUGGCUUGCUUUGUUGGGAUCAUUAUCUCGAAUAUACUGGCAAGAGCGUUGGUUGUGCUAUACUUAUGGUGGUUUUCGGUGAGGACCUCGGCCGAUCCAGGAGUGACGAGCCAGUGGUUUUAGUUUCAGCAUGGGUAGCAGUAUGGUGGGUGUUAAAGUAUAAAUAGUUUCCAUGUAUAUGUUUUAAUUUAGAGCUGAUCCAGCAAUAAACAAGUGUCACCAGUAAAUUUACAUCGUUUUUUUCCAAGUAUAUAGUCAUUGUUUUUGUGCAUCGUGGCUUGAAAGUGGGGCUACAGUGUUUGUUUUAUUCACGUUAGGCGCAAAUCAUGCUAAUCAUCGUGUUUGCUAUGAUUAGUAAGGGGAUUGUUAGGGCUAAGAAAAAUGAAAUUAUUGACCUCCCUGUCAAAUAUUGUUACUAGCUCCCAUGCACUAUAUCGUUGAAGGCAUCUAUUUUAUUGUGCAUUAAGGUAUUGAAUGUGUUGAGAAACAUACACUGUUAAUUCAAGUCAGUUCCCCUUAGUUAGGAUAGAACGAAGCAUGGUUGCAAAUUGAAAAUAUGGUCGAAAAAGACGUCCUUUUAUUAAUCCACCAGGUGACAACAUUCUGGGCGAAGGGUCAUAUUUGUAAAAACCAAGCUGACAAAACAGGAAAACGCUAUUGAUGCAAGUCUGCAACACCAACAACUCAUUUUUUAACAAUCUAGAUGCUACCCCUUAUAUGCGAUUACGAGGACAAAAAGAAAUAAAUAAUAAGACCUUCGCUACCAUUAACGAGAAAAGGAAAAUGAGUUCGCUAUGUGAGCAUUUUUGAAAUAAGUGGCAGCAUUUAGAAUUGUGCAUCUUCAGUGUGGACGUUAAUGGUAGCGCAUGCGAUUGUAGACCAACCAUGCCAAGCCGAACAUUAUGGAUGCCUCAUCAGCCUCGAUGUGAAAAGUGAAAUUUGAAAGAAAGCCGUCCCAAGUGAGAAACACAUCAACGAAUGACGACGUAAACAGCACCUGGCACGUCCGCGAUUCAAGAUUGACCGCUAUGUGGAAGUUCAUGAUCAGGUGAGAAAUCUGUUCCACCUUGAGGAAAGGCAUCGUAAAAAACAAUGUCAUUUUACAGAAAAAAAAAUAUUUGAAUAACAGGAAAAAAAAUCCACACUUCCUAAUUGGAUGUGCCCUAGAGUUUGGAAGCCGUAAAUCGCGACAAAAUUGCCGCAAUUCAGCCCUUUUAAACUGAAACAACUACCGCCGGAUAACAGAUAUCCGUAUCGAAGAUGCACGUUAUAAAUGACCCACAAAAGAGGAAUGAGGUACUGAUUUAGAAAGCGAUAAUGGAGGUGCUGGGAUGAGAAACGACUGUUUGUACACCCAAAUGAAGCUGGGUCCCUCAAAAGAUACAUUUUGUGAACUAUAAUUAAUCGUGGACCAUGAUCAAACGGUGGUGCGACUGAUAGUAUAACCCCCUAAACCGAAGCUUCACCAUAAGUACAAUAACAUGGGGGGAACUGAAAUAAUAUGUUAAUAGUCCUCAUUAACAAAGUUGAACCAUGGAGAUGUAUAUUAAGUAUAUAACAAACGUUCAAAAGUUGUAUACUCAAGUGAACAGGUUGUACAAGUUUGGAAGAGGGUCACGCGGACGAUUGGAGGGACGUUAACGCAUGUAAGAGAAGUGGACCGGCCAUGGGAUCAUAAUAUCAGCACUGAAACAUUUUACCAUAUUUCCCAAUACAUUUAUCACAGUUGUAAAAAAACUAAGCAUCAAAGCAGGAAAGCAUCGAACUGAAAAGAUCAUGUGCAUAGAGAGACGCGUCGAACCUGUGAAUGCUCCUGUUAGUUGGAGUCCCGACCGGAGACGCGACGUGCUGUACACAGCAACAACUCCGGGAAGAUGACUUCGAACUAACAGAAGGAAAAGUGAGGCGAACUUGUCAAAAGCAAUGACAAUCUUGUCACUGACUAAAAUUAUAUGUGGACGAUAACCAGCGAGUGCUAGCAUCUUAGGCCGUGUUUGGACGUGUGCAAAAAGAGGGAAAUAACUUUUGUGUAAGUUUUAAUUAAUAGUAAACACAACCGUACAUAAAUACCGUAAUUUAUCAACCGGGCAAAGCUUACCUUACAUAUAAUGUAACAAAAAACCAAUGAAUAUAAGUCAUUGAUUUUGAUAUUCCUUAAAUCCAAUGGAAAAAAUUAAUUUUAACAUAAAACAAAAUACAGGUGAAAUAUAUAUUGAUAAAAGCUUUUAUUUAUAAUCAUAUAUUUACGUAAUUUUUCAAAUACGUCCUCAUUGAGUUUUUAUAAUGAAAUGGUUUUUUCAUUAAUCUUUUCUACAUUUAUUUUUAAACUGUAAACAUUUUUUACAAUAUUUUUAUAAAGAUUUAUAUGAUUAUUAUAUUCAUAAAGAUCCACAAAUUUUGAAUAUAUUUUUGCGCUUACAUUUAUAAUUUCUUGUCUCUCUGGAGACAUAAACUAAAAUUUUCUUCUAACACAUACACACAUUCAAUCUAUUUUCGUUCUUAAAUACAUAGCAUCAAUGCCAUCACACAUAUUUUGUAAUCUAUAUUUAGUAUCAUGAAUUAUAAUAGACAUUAUAUGUAAUGAAUAUCUUAUAAAUCUAAUGAAUUAUUAAAAAGAUGGUACAAUGAAUAAAUUACCAAAACCUCUAAUAAAAAGAUUACAAUUCUUUGAUCUUAUCAAUGAUUCAAACAUGUGGAGAAAUAAUCAAUUAAAUUGAAUGUUACUAUUUUUAUUAAAUAAAUUAGAAAAUAUAAAUAUUUCUAUAAAUGAUAUAGAAAUGGUAAACAAAAUAUUAGAAAUUCAUAAUUUCAAUGAAGGAAUAUAAAAUAAAAUAAAAAGUUAAGAGAUCAAGUGAUCAACUUAGUAAAGAAUUUAAUAAAGUUAAACAAUUCAUAAAAGACUUCAACAUUAAAAAUCAUGAUAUAUUAAACCAAGAGAUUAAUAAUAUAAUGAAUAAAAAUUCAAUAGAUAUAAAAUUUAACAAGUUAUAGAUUCAAUGAAAUAAAAUAAAUAAAAUCGUUGAGCAGUUUCAUACUAACUUUGCUAUAAAUAUAAAUGAAGAACUUCAAAAAAACUUCAAAUAUUGCUGCUUGGGUGCAAACAACCUGGAGUAUAAACAAUCUGGGGUAUAAUGUAAAACAUUAAAACUUAUUGACUUUUUUAAUAAUUAUUAUCUUUUCUAAGGGUUUAAGAAUUUAUAACUGUAACAUACAACUAAUGUAACAUGAGCUUUGCCUAUCAACCGUAUUAAACAUCCAUGGAAAUGUAUUGAAUGUUAUUAGUAAUCGUGAAUUAGUUGUAGACGAUGCGUGCAUGUAGGGAAUUAUGCACAUGGCUGGAUCUAGUAGUGGUAUGAUACCAGUGAGCUACCAUAGUUUUCUCCGUAAAGAUGUAAUAAUUAGAAUAGUUUGAAAGGAAUAUUUUUUUUUUCCCAUUAUAUGAUGUAGGUCCCCCACAUCUUAUAUUUGUAUGUAAACAUAGGGCAAAACGAUAACAUCACUUCAAGCAGCCAGUUUCAUAGAUUGAUAUUUCCAAUUUUUCUUUUAAGUUGACCUUAUAUUCGCACAGUAAUACACACAAUUACGAAUCUAAUUUUUGUGAUCAUAGUAUAAAUAAGUACCCGCGAGAAAUAUGUCUUGUACAGUAAAAUUACUGUUACAAAUAACAGACAAAUUUGUCACUUCAUUAUAGGUAUAACAUAGUACACUCAAUUUAUUUCGCCCAAACUAAUUUAAUUAUAGUGAGACAUUCUUAACUGUUGCAGAAUAAAGUAAUUUCAAUUUUCAACAAAAAUGUGUAUUUUUUAUUGAAUGUAAUGUAAUAUCUAUUUCCAAUAUUAAUCUCAUGUAAUAGUUUAAAAAUUAUGACAAUUUACCAUGAAAUAUAUUAGUUAUCACAAGUUUCUCUAUUACUUGUCAUCGUAUCAUUAAAUUAAAUAGGCAACAUUAUAUUAUUUAUUAAUUAAAUCCCAAAAUAGUUAUGGUGGUUUGAUGAAUAAAUUGUAAGGAUUGUUUACUUUUCUUGUUUUGUUUAAUUGAUGCACUGCUUUCUUUCUAAUUAUUUAACUAUCGAAUGUCAUGCUAUCUAAAGUCUAUAUGUAUUCAAAUGACGGGAAUCAAGACCUCUCAACAAAUUUCGAAUAUAUAAGAUUGAAACAGCACAAUGUGAAAUACUAAUGUUCAUUUUAUCCUGUAACAAUAUGAAGAAGUUGUACAAUUUAUUAGGAAUUGACCAUAGUUGUGGAACGAAUUGUAAAGCAUAAUCUGGGAAUAGUAAGGAGAUUGUUGUGACCAAUACAACAAAAAACAAAUCAAAUACUUAGUAAAAUGUUGUUACAAAAUAAUUACGUCCACUGUUAACUUGGAAUUCACAUGAUAUUCCCCUAAGUGUAUUGAUGGUAACAUAUGUUGCACGGCUUAUAAAACCCCCGAAGUUCACAAAUUACACUGCAUAGGCGUGAGACUGGGGCCUGACAUUUUGUAUUAUUGAUACGGGCUGGGAUAAACGUCCAUGUGACAAUUACGUCGUUGGUCCUUGAAGAUUAGGAUAUUUACUGACGAAGUGAUAUCAUGGUUUCCACCCAGUAGUAGGGAUUAGUUGGUUAGAACAGGGGAGCUAUUUGCCAUGAUGGUAGGUUUUUUCAGAACGCGAGGGAGUGUUGGUAAAAGUCUGGGAAAAAGGAUAGCUCAUCGAAGCUUCGUAGCGGACAAAAGCGGCGGCCAAGUACAGUUUCCCACGCAACCACUGACAAUGAAAGGAAAGAAAUUGCAAACUUCCGGCAUUUUAAUUUAUUUUUGUGGCAGUCGUUGCUUUGGAAGGUUAAUCCAUAAAAAUAAGGUGAAAUGAUGAACGACAUUUGCGCAGGAGAGGAAAUUUCUUUCCAAAAAUUUCAUCAUAGGGAGUUUCAUAAAUCUGUGCAUGAACAGGAUCCUGUAAAGACUACAUGUGAAACCCAUAUAUCGAUUCGAAGGAAUAACUUAGGAGUGGGAGCCAACAACACCACAGAGAAGGAGAGUAUGCUAAAUACAUACUUCACAGAGUGACACCAGGUAAACAUCAAAAUUAUAUCGUGCUCAUGUUUAUUAAUGACAAGUCUGUCUCACAUAUGUUCAUUCCGCUGGGCAAUGAAAUUGCAUGUGACGGAAAUGUAAUAAUCACUUUAAAACUGCUGUAUGGGUAGUUUAUUGUAGCACGAAUCAGGUUUGCAAUCGUACGGUAGACGCAUGUUUACAUUACAAAAAAUUGUUACGUUAGCUAUUACUUACAACUUCUCUGUUGAAUAACAAUGUGCAUUUCGUUUAAAUUUGUCAUAUUAAACUUGCAUUUAAAAUGUAUAUUUGGCCACACCAUUAAUUACUUGGGAAGAUGGCCAGUUAUGUGCAUUAUUUGAAGAAACUAUCCCGCAUUUCACAGUUUAGGCCGUCAUGGAAGAGCAUCAGCAUAUCAAAUUUUUCAUUUGCUCAUGCUUGUGGUGAUUUAAUAAACAGAUAAACCAAAUUCAAAGCAAGUCAUGGAAGAGGAUCAGCAGUCUGUUGUCAAAGGUAUAAAAGAGCCAAAGAAGCGCAGGCUUAUUAGUUCUACGAAUCACGCUGACCUCUUGAACUGUUCGCCAGAAUAUGUUCGUUCCUGUAGCUCAACAAAUAGACGAACGGCUAUAUUGGAUACUGACAUGGCCAAAUUGCAAAAGGCAUUAUAGUUUAAGAAUGAAAAAUAUAAUAGAAAAAUGUCCAAGGAGUUAUUUCCCAGUACAAAAGGCAAGGACGAACUGGUAGAUCAACAAUGUCGGGUGCUUGGCAAGGGUAACCCAAGUUGCACGGAACAUCUAAAAGGGAAUAAACAAACCCCUGUGUUUCUUAAAACACGUUGGCCAACAGGGUGGUACUCGGAUGAUGAACGAGACACGUUGGCAGACGUAAACGAUGAUCAACAACAAUUAGAAGGAUACUCGUCAGAAAAAGAGAAGGACAAUUUGUACGGAUUGGUAGAAAACCAAUUAGAUGAAGAUGUGGGUGACUGGUUCAUAUUUGAUGACAGUGUACAUCAUAGACUAGUAUUAUAUCACGGCCAGCGAUUUAAAGAUGUGACCCAGUUUAGGAACACUAUUCAAGUGUAUGCAAUUCGUGAACGGUUCAAGUUGUGCAUUAUGGAAAAUCGAUCUCACAUUGUCAGUUGCGAGUGUUCUGAUCUUUCUUGCGACUGGCAGGUUAAAGCAAUCAGAGAUGUCCGUGGUAAGGGUUUUGUUAUAACAGAAUUCUCACUAAAACACAAUUGCCCUCGACUUGACCACGCAUUCCACCCUGCAUCAAAGUGGAUUUCAGCAAUGUUUCUUCAUCGAUGGAAAGAACAGACAAGUAUCACCACAACAGAGGUCAAAAAUGAUAUUGAAUCCAUGUAUAGGAUUAAAUGCCCUGAGUGGAAGGUGUUUUGUGCAGCAAACAGAGCAAAACAGAUUUUGGGCCUGGAUUAUGACGAUGGUUAUGCAAUGCUGCAUCAGUUCAAAGAAGAAAUGAAAAGGAUCGAUAGGGACAACAUCGUGCUUCUAGAAACUGAGAGCCAUGAAUCACGAAAAGAAGAAAGGUUCAAGAGGGUGUUUGUAUGCUGUGAACGUACAUCCUAUGCAUUCAAGGUGCAUUGCCGAGGUAUCCUAGCUGUUGAUGGUUGGGAAAUUAACAAUCCGUGCAAUAGUGUCAUGCUGGUGGAAGCUGGACUUGAUGGGAAUAAUGGGAUCUUAACAGUUGCCUUCUGCGAAGUUCAAGUCGAAGACUUGGAUUCUUGGGUUUUUGUUUUAAAGAAUAUCAACAGCGCGCUGCGUUUGGAGAAUGGCAAAGGUCUAUGCAUAUUGGGUGAUGGAGACAACGGUGUUGAAUACGCUGUUGAAGAAUACCUUCCUAGAGCUGUGUACCGACAGUGCUGCCACAAGAUUUUCAACGAAAUGGUCCGGAGAUUCCCCACAGCACCUAAACAGCACUUGUUCUGGUCCGCUUGCCGCACCACGAGUGCUACAAGGUUCUAUAACUAUAUGGAAUUGAUAUAUCUUGGAAGUCAACAAUGCCAUGACUGGUUGAAGAAUUCAAAUUGAGAAAGGUGGGCACUAUUUUGUAUGCCUCAUUAGGUUAAGUGUACCUGUGUCACAUUAACGAUUACUGAGAAACUUCGCACUUCCUUUGACCACUAUUUGGAGAUGAGCAUUACUAGAAGAUUUGCGGCCAUUGCACGCUCAACGGCUGAAAUUUUCGAACGUAGAAGGAUGGCUGUCUGGAAAUAGUAUAGGGAGAAAAUAACGCCCACAGUUCAGGAUAUCAUUCACAACCGUUGUAUUGAUGGUCGGUGCUUCAUCGUGCGUAAGCAGACUGGCACAAUAUUGGAACUGACUGAUAGUUGUUCAUUAUGUUAUGAGCUAAACAUGGAUGCGAUGCCAUGUAGUUGCGGAUUAUGGCAGAUCUCAGGAAUUCCAUGUGCUCAUGCUUGUAGGGGAAUCAAAUAUAUGAGGCGCAAGAUUGAAGACUAUGUGGACAACACGAUGUCUAUACAAAAUUAUAUAUCCACUUAUGCGACAUGCAUGAUGCAAUUACCUCAAGAAUAUGCUUGGAAGUGGGACGCAGGUCACACCCUGCUUCCACCCAUCAGUUUGCCUCUCAAACCAAUUUCGGCCAAAGGCACCGAUGACUUGACAUCCAACAAACAUUUACUACACACGGCUGAUCAGUACCUCACACCUACACGUAACCUUCAGGUGCAUCUUUUCCUUAUACAACUUCUAUGUAUAUUUGCACUGCACAUCCUUAAACUAAUGUCACCUUUGCGAAAACUUAUAUUAACUCCUUCACUACAGUGGACACAGGAUAAGAAUUCGAGCAACUCUUCUGAACAUUCCAGCCUCCUCAGGCUCAUAUCCACCACCAGCUCUAAUACUAUUAGUAAGGAUCCGUUACUUUUUACUAUAUUUUGCAACAAACUCAUAAGUCAUUCACAAUUCCUUAGUGUCCAUGCUUAUGACAACUGCUCUUAACUCACUAAAUGAUUUUUACCUCAACAUUCUACCAAAUUCACAACUACCAUAUGUAUAUAAUGUGCUUAAUUGCAACUAAACUAUUUUCUGUUCGGCUGGUUCUUCUUUUAUCUAUGCCUAUGCAAAUAUUGUGACAGUGACAGAACCAAUGCUGCUCCUGACAUAAACAACUUUUCAUAUUCGCAUACUGCAAUGUAUCUGUUGCUAUUACUGCCAUCUUUAACUAAUGACCAAGAGCUUCAAGCAUGUGAGGGUGAAAUAAAACUUUUGCACAUUCGACUGACACCAUCCUUGUUGGAUGGUAGUGGUAUCCAAUUACUGUUAUAAAUGUGUCGAAUAUGAUUGUGCCAUGCUGAGAAUGACGUCAAUGUGAACUUUAUAAUUGCACUGUUUCUUAAUGACUAUUACUGCCUAUUACUUAAUUUUUUAUUUUUCCUUGGUUGUUUCAACUGGGAGCCCAAUACUUAAAAUUUGUGCUCUAUAAAAAUCGUUGCACACCAGUGCAAUUUCUUUUCCUUUAAAUAUAGAAAUUGUUUAUCUACAAAAGUUUCCAUAUUUUCACACAAUAUGAUCAAUUUAUUGUAUUGCAGGCCUCUGAUAACGGUUUCAAUUGGAUGGAGGACUUGCACUUCAACUUUUGGCCUGCAGACCACCAUUUUUGGAGAAUGGCGCCAAUGGUGUAUUAUAUAUGUAUUGGUUUGUAGUGGGAUGGUGCAUGUUUUGUAUUUGGCUUCUGGGAAGAUGGUUACUGGUACAUAAAAACUUUAACUCUCAUAUAACCAACUUUUGAUAUCCACCAUAACCAACGUUUUUUGUUUGUGAAUGCCGUUUAAUUAACUACGACCAGUUUAAUCUGCAUCUAUUCCCUGUAUGCUUUUGCACUCUUUGUUUGUUUGCUUGUGUCUAAUAACUGUAAUGUCUCAACUUUUGAUGCCGUAGCGUGUUCUAAAACAUCUAAAAUGUCAGCACUAUAGCCAUUAUUCUCUUCUUACUACCGUUACCUAUAAAAUAAAUCCCGAUUUUGCAUUGUCCAUCUCCAUAAUUCCUCCAACCCUUAGAAUGGUUGUUUUGUUUUUCAGAACUAAUUGCCGUUUUUCUUCCCUUACAAACUUUCUCUCUUCCCCUAUUGAGGACCACCUACACAAAUCUGUAGUUUGGAGACAACCAUUUCCUAUUAUCUACACAAUUGUCCUGAAUAAUUAUAACUGUCACUAAAUCGCCUCCUCUAUCAAUUUCCACGGUUCUAACAUAGUAGGAUCCUAGUGAUUAUGUUCAUAUUCUUUUCAUAUGUAAUCUUCUCCAGCUUUUAUAAUUCAUACUCAUUGUAUGUGCUUCACCCAACAUUGUCGUCGCUCUUGCUUUGCAAAUUCAACGUCAACUAUUGGAGAAUAGUAAUAGGCACUGGGGACAUACCCAUUCGGUGGAGCAUAUUAUGCUUCCAUUCAGUGAACCUCUUCCACGACCUUAACAUAACCCAAACACAAUCUUGUGAAAAUCCCCCAAACCAUCCCACUCUGGAACAAUUUCAGUCGGGGUAGUUUAGAUAUAUCCCCGCCAAUCACUGAAUUGCUCGGUAAUUAAAAUGCUGACAUGAUACCCUCUUAUAUUUGGAAUAAAUAGAUAUAUAUAUUAUGCAUAUUUAGGUACCUAAUCAAUUUCGAUGCCACCAACAAAUAGGAUACGGGAAAAUAAAAAAAUAACUAUAACGAUAGAUCAUCCAAUUUUACGACUCAGUUGUGGUGGCCAAAUGUUACCAUCCUCCAAAUAUCUCAAUAGAACUGCAAAUACAUCAAACAUGCUUAUUACAGUUUUACAAGGCCAAAAAUAAAAUUUCUAGGCCUUCAACACCCCCUUCCAGUGCCUUCUCUAGAACCAUUACGAAACUUCCAAUACCUUGUCAGCAACCAUCACCAGUGAUUACAUACCUCAUUCUUCUAAAUCCUAACACAACAUAAACAAACAAAAUACAAACAUGUUUAACCAUUGUAAACGUAAUAACUAACUUAUAUAACAAUAAAAAUUUACGCUAUAUAACUAUACAGCCUCCACAUCUGUUUCAAUCUAUGAUUCCUCGUCCACAAUCUUCACUUCUGCUGUACAGGUAGAUGCCACAGGUAUUAAAUAAAUACUAAUGAGACCACAAUUAAGUCAGUAGUACUUGCGUUUAACAAAUGAAUAUUUUAUAUUACAGUGUAAACCAUAUACCUCCACAACGAGCACACAUCCAUUAUUCAACUUUCACUACACAUCAUAGCCUCAACAUGCCUUGAUGAAUACACUACUUAUUGGACUCAAUGAAUUUAAAUAAUGUUGGUAUCAAUAACACCUCCACUAAUCAAUACAUAAACCAUAACUCACUUUACUAUCUUUUACUAACCAAAGCUCCAAUGCAAUAGUCCGCGUGUAUAUACCUAUAAACAAAUGAAUGCCCCCCAUCAAUUUUCGUUUCUUCAUCGAUUAUAAAGGCAUCCUACAGAAAAUUCGAACAAUUCACUUUUCUAACUUUUCCAUGCAAUCUCUUUCAAACCAAUCCUCUAUCUAACCAUAACUUUAAAUUUAUGCAAGUCUUUUCAUCUUAAAGCCGAUAAAUGUAUUAUGCGUGGCAAACAAAGACAAUUAUAUUAUACAUAUACUUAAAGUGAAUGACCAACCAAAGCACACGCCUCACUAACAAAGUGGUUACAGAUCGAACCACUAAUAUUAUGCCAUUUUUUCCAUUUGUUCUUCGGUGACUCUGUAUGUAUGUAAUUAACCAUUAUUUUUAUGCACCCACUGUCGAUAUUUACUAAUAUACAAUAAAAAAAUUACAUCUACACAAAGUAUGAGCCACCGAAAAUCAAAAGCAUCCAUUGAAACUAUGUUUCUUUCCUUAACAAUUAACCCAUAAAUAAGGUUUAACAUGUCAAUGAUUACCCCACUGCUCAAACCCCUUUACUGUAUUUAUUUCAACCCCUAUACUAUAUUUAUUUCAACCUGAGCAAACCCAGCCAUUCACCUCUUCGCAACCUAGGCAUUUCGAACACCACAUCUUCGAAAUCAACUACAAAAACGCAUUCACAAACAUGAAGCCUACCUAUGCAUGCGAAACGACUCUUCCAGUGCCUGCAAAAAUGCCAGAUUCAUAAUACCAACAAGGCCAUCUUCAAUAAUACAGACAUCAAUAGAAUAUAAUUUCAUAAAUCGGCAGCAACAUUUUUCUUACGGCAAAAUCAAAAUCACGACCACCAAAAAACACACAUUCAUUUACGAUUUAAGGAAAGAAUCUUUACCCUUCCUUGCCUAACGAAAUUUCCGGUUAUUCCCCUCUCUCGCAAAUGUCAGAUUUGAGAUUCAAAUUUGUUUCACAUCCUAUUCUUGUAUUUUUUUUUUUUCCAUGGACUUCAAGACCUUCAUUAGACAACCGGUUUAAACGGUUGUUGUUACUACCUGCGUCCGCUCUCCAAACUUUUAUUUAAACCGUUGGAUUGAACAUACUUAUAUCCAACGGCUUAACAGAAUAAAGACAAACCACAGUGGCACGGUGCCACUGUGGCACCACAGGAUGACCCACAUAACAUAGAGUAGAUAUUUUGAAGUGAAAAGCAGAGCCUUUACUGUUGCUUGCCUUAUCAUCUUUUAAAACUAGAGUUAUUAUUCUUAUAUUUUUAAGUAGCCAACGGAUAGUAGCCAACUCAUCUGUGUUCUCUAUUAUUGAAUUUAAAGAUCAAUGAUUUGGGUCUGCCUACCGUGCAACAGUUGCACGGUAUCCCAUUUUUUGUCUUUUUUCAACUCAGCCAAUGGAUCAAUGGUUAAAGUGUUUAACGGCCAGGAUGUGUUCAAUUGGUUAUUAACACUUAAAUCCUUACUGUUUAUUACAAAAUCAUAAAAGCUAAAAGUUUUUAAAUAUUCACUUACAUAAUUUUUUUUGUUUUAAAUUUUUUAAAGUUUGAUCCAUUGACUUAAUUUGAUCAUAAAAAUAAUUGAUGGUGUAAAUAUAAUAAUGUAAUAUCACAUAAAAUUUUUAAACACAUGAAAAUUUGAUAAAUGUAAAUAAUAUUUUUUGUUAUAUAAUAUAUAUUUAAUGUAAAAUAAAUAAAUUGAAUAUGUUUUAAGAAUAUAGGUUAUUAACCUUUAUACUUUAGAAAAUUAUAAAAUAAAAAAGGUGAAAUUUCAAAAUAAGAAACAUGUAAAAAGUCUUAGGUUGUAAAAUUUUAUUAUUUUAAUAUUACAAAACUUUACUUUUUUAUUACAUUUUUGUUUUUAGCAUUAGUUGACAUGUUAGUUUAUUUAUACAUACAAUAUGUUAAUUUACCUAUAAAAUAUCAAUAUAUAUAUAGCUCAACAAAGUUAUAGAAAGAUAAAUAAAGAAUAAUAUAAAAGGAAGUUAGUUUAUUUUUGAAGAAUAUUUCAAAAGCAUUUGAGCUUCAUAUUUCUUGAGAAUUAUCAUUUUUUAAGAUAUUUGAGCUUGUGAAUCUUGUUGUAAUGAUAAUUUAUUAUUUAUUCUUGAUUAAAAAUAAUUGAAUAGUAAAUUUAUUGAUUUCCAAAUGCUCUUUUAAAUAUAGGGUAGUUGGUUCAUUUUUAUUGUAUUAGCUUAAACUUUGUGUGAUAGCUAAUCAACCAUUGUAAAAGAUCUACUAGGAUUAUUUUUACUUUCUCUACAUCCCUCUAGACCAUCACCACUCAAAAAGUUAAAGGUCCAUUUGGCACACUAUAUUAUAUUGUAUUAUGUAAUACACAUGUAUUAUAUUAUAUUAUAUUACAUUAGUAGUAUAUUAUAAUAAUUAUAAUAAAAUUAUGCAACAUUUGGUAAUUGGUAUUAUCCUGUACUACAUUAAUUUUGUACUAAUAUUAAACUAAAAUUAUUUAAAUUUAUUAUUAAUUAUAUUAAAUUAUUAUUUUCAUAUUAAUUAUUUUUAAAUAAAUAUAAUAUAAUAUAAUAUAAUAAUAUUAUAGUAUAAUUUAUUUUUAUAUUUUUUAUUUAUUAUAAUAAAAAUAAAAAAUAAUUAAAAUAUAUGUAAUGCUUAAUUAAGGCAAAAUAAUAAUAAUGACAGUGGUAUUAUUUAAUAAUCAAAACAAAAAAAUUGUAAAGUUUAAUGAUGAUGACGAUGACGACGACGACAACAUUAAUAUAAAUAUAAUAAUUAGAAUAAUAAGAUUAAUAAAUUUAUUAAUAUUAAUAAAAUAAUAAUUCAGUAAUAAUUCAGUAAUAAAUUUAAUAUAUUUUAAAAAUAGUGAUGGUAAUAAAAUCAAUAAAUAAUAAUGUAAUGAUAACUAAUUAAAGUAAUCAUAACAAUUAAAAUAAUAAAUUUUAAUAAUAACAAUAGUAAUAAUGACAUUAAUAAAUAAUAAUAAUAACAAUUAAAUUUUUUUUCAAAAGUCAUUUUAUAAUUUUAUCCAGAGAAAAGGACCUAUAUAUAAAGAUUUGUAACUUAUAGUAUCUAUUCAGUUUUCUUAUAAAUAUAGGGUAGUGUAGUGUAAUUGUUGGAAAAAGACAAAAUUCAGUGAUACCGUAUAACUGUUGCACGGUAGGUAGACCCCAAUGAUUUAUGUUAAUAAAUAUUUUGUUAACUAUCAAAGUUUUUAUUUCAAAAUUACUGCUAUAAUUCAUUAAAUUUUCAAUUUUUCCUUUUUCUAUUCACACAACAGAUUGAUUUGCCCUCCAAAAAAAUGUAUUAGAUUGUUUAAUAUUGUAACAUUAAGAAACUUAUAAUAAAUUUUUUAAGAGAUAAAUAGAGAAUGUCAGUCUCGCAUCUACUCAAAAUUAAUAAAUAUACCACUAACUCCUUAUUAUUUUUAUAAUAAUUAAUAAUUUUCUUAGCAGUAUAAUUUUAUAGUAUUAUCCUUAUUUGUAAGUACAUUUUUAUUCAUUUUUAUUAUAAAUUAAGUAAAUCAUAUCAAUAAAAAUUAAAAGAACACAAUAUGGUUUGGUGUGAAUAAAAGAUUGAAAAUAAAAAUAUUUUUCUUAUUUUUUUUGUUAUUUUUAAAUGCUUUUCUUGUAAUAAAUGUACAUUUUAUAUUCUUAAGAUGAAUUUUGAGUAAAUGACUCAUUUACUCACUUUUUCUUUAAAUUUGUGUUAGUAGGAGGAUUUUUAGAUAUAUUGAAAAUUGUAAGGUAGUAAGUAAUAAUAUAAUAAUUUUAAUAGAGAAAAAUAAUUAAUUUUAAGACAUUUCAGAAGAUAUUUCAAUAUGCGGUGGACCACAUCCUUGAGUUUUCAUUGUCUCACUCAACUAAAAGGACAAAAUAUUGAGUCAUGAAGGACUCAAUUGAUUGUUAAUUUUACAGCAAUUACCUUUUUUUUUUCUUCUUUCUUUUUUGUUCUUAAUUAUUUUGAAAUGGUAGGUAGCAAUUGCUUACAUCAAAAUAUUUAGCCUCACUCGACAAAGUAUCUGAGGCCAAAAUGCCAAAAGAUGGGACACCCACAUGUGCAUCUAAUUACAAAAUCCAAAGUUAAUGAAAAAGAAAAAAAGAAAAAGUAUAAAUGAACGGUAUUCGCCUCACUUUCAAACAUGUUCAACAUGAAUUUCCUUUUACCAAAAGUAAAUUUCCUCUCGGAUUGUCCUUAUUACAUCAAACGAAUGAUGACGACAUUCUCUGUCCGUUUCUGACUCUUUGCUUUUCUCUCUCACAUCACGAGACACCUCGUUUCUAACUAGGGUACCACCAUCAUAUUUAACUGUUGGGUCUUCCUACUAUGCAGCUGGUGUAUGCAUGAUUCCUUGUGACAUGACAUACAGUCAAUUAAAUUCUGACAUGCUUGCAAUAAAGACUAUUAAAGUGACCGGUUAUUCCGGUUGAAUUCACAAGAUCUCUUGUUUGUGCGUUUAUGUUCCAAGUUGCUUACUAUGUGUUACAAGUUCUCUAAUUAGUCUGAUAUUAUCGCAACUGUUGCUCAAUAAUGUUACAUGUUUUAUAAUAUGUCACUGGUACGAUCGCUGUCACAAAUUUAGAACAAAAAGUUUCCAAUAAAAUAAGUUAUUUAAUUAAUAAAAUAAGAAUAAAAUGAAUUUGUAAAAAAAAUUUAAAUUAAAUUUUGAAUUAUUUUGACCAAAAUUUAAUUUUUUUAAUUUGUUUAAGAAAAUGCGUUGUAAUUGUCUUGUUUUAAUUGGAAAAUCAAUGAAAAAAUUAUGUAACAGACAAAAAAAAAAAAAAGCAAAACGGUUUGUUUUGUACGGAGGCCAUAGAUUCCAAUAUUUCCUUCACGAAAACUACAAAUAAUUAUCAAAGGCAUCAAUUUCUACACUCUCACCGAGCAAUACUUUUAGGUAGCGUUUAUUUUUUGGAUUGGAGUGGGAAUCCUGAGGAGUGGGAAUCAUAGGAUUGGGAGUGUGGAGUGGGAGUGUGGAGUGGGAGUGGGAGAAUGUUGUUUACUUACACUAGAAUGGAAGUAUAUAAUGGAGAUCAGAAUUCAAUUUAUGUGUUUACUUUAUCUUAGGUUGGGAAUAAAUAGUUUCAAAUUACAAUUUUAUCUUUAUUUAAAGAAUUAUAGUUUUUAAUUACAAAGCUAAUAAAAAAUAUAUUUAAUGAAUAAAUAUUUAUUUUAUUAUAUUUGUAAAUUUAUAAUAAUUAUUAAUAUUCUUAAUUAUGAACAUCACAUUUUUUUUAUUAAUUUUAAUUCUAAUAUAAAAUGAAAUGUUAUUUUAUUUAAUAUAAUUAUAUUAAAUUUAUUAUUAUAUAAACUAAUAAUAUAAUUUUAUUUAGUACAAAAUUAAUAUUUUCUUAGAAUAACCUAUUUAUUAUUAUUAAUAUUAAAUAAAUAUAAUACUAUUAUUUUUAAAAUAAAUACAAUAAUAUUAUAUUUAUUAAUUCUCUAUUAAUAUAAUAAUAUUAUUUUAAAAUAAUUUUAACUUAGAAUCAAUGCAAAUUAUUAUUUAGUUAAAUAUAAUAAUAUUAUUCAAAUAAAUAUAAUAUUAUUUAUUUUAUUUUAUUAAUUAUAAAUAUUAAAUUGAAUUAAAAUUUAAAAAAAAAUGUAGAAAAGGGAGAGGUGGGAGUGGAUUCCCACUCCCACUUCUCACUCCAAAAAUGGAUAGGGCCACAGAGUGGGAUUCUCAAUCCUUCACUAAAUAAGUGAAAUAAACACUAAAGUGUGAGAAAUUCACACUCCUCACUCCCACUUCAAAAAAUAAACACAACAUUAACCCAGAAGAAAGUGUAUAAACCAACCCCAAUCUGUCCAUCAAUGUCGUCAACCUCAUACAGCAUAAAGAAAAUCUGUCCAUUAAACCGCCAUUUAAACCGUCUUUAUUGAGCCAUUAGACUAUUCGUGUCAUCUUCCCAUCUCGUUGUAGUAUUUUGCCUUUCAAAUCUAGUUAUCCAUUGGGGAAAAUGGGGACCAAUCUGCAAGUCUUUAAAAUAAAAAAGAAACUUUAAUUGGGCACUAUGUUCACGGUGGUGGACCUAGCAUUAGCUAUUUGUAUUUUAAAAAUUAUUUUACACACUCUAAUUUUAAUAAGAAUAUAUAUUACAAAAUUACUUAUCAUAUAAGUUACUGGACAAUAUAUUAUAAGUCAACAUUAUAUAAUUACUUUGAACAUUUAUAUAGCCCAAUCCUAAUUCAAUUUAUUACUCUCAUGAUUAAAUAUAAAAAUUUUUAUUUCCAACUUCUUAAUUAAUAUGUAGAUGAAUAAUAAGGAAAUUAACUUUGAGAAAAAAUUAAAUACAAAAUAUGUGUAAUACUUUAAAAAAAAUAAACAAAAGUAUUGCACAAGAUUUUUUUUGGGGGGGGGGGGGCUUGGCCAUUCUUCUUCUUCUCCUUCUAUCUCUCUUUUUUUGUAGUAUUUAUGGAACAUUUUCUAUUGUUAUAUUCUCAUUGCAAGUUAUUUUGGGUGUAAAAUUCAAUAUUGAAAAUAAAUUAAAUAAAAAAUUAGUAACUAAAAUUAUGUUAAAUUAUUUUUUAACUUAAUUUUUAGUUAUAUUAUUAGUAUAUGUUAGAUCUCUUAAAAAUCGAGUGUUGAAUAAUUUUAUUAGUUUUUUAAACAAAUAAAGUUAAAUAACUUAAAAAAUUUAAGUAAGGAUAUUUUUAAAUUUUUAAACAGUAUACAAAGUAAAGUUUAUUUUCUUGUCAGUGGCAAAUGAUCACGACAAGAAAUCUGAAGUAGAAACAGCAGAGCUCAACAAAUCACUAAGAGAAAAUAAGACCAAUAACCAAGCAGAUAAAAGAAAAGCAAAAUAACCCAUCUCAAAAUCACCACAUGCACAAUUUAAGGGGUUUGUGACAUGGGUUUAAGCAUGAUUUAACAAGUGCCACCUGUGAAUUGUCAGAGAUUGUAUUUUCAUACACAUGUCAAAUUUUCAAGUCCAACAAAUUGUUAUCUUUCUAAAGAGGCUAAUAUAUUAUUAUCUAUGCAUAGCAUGCUAUAAACAAUUCAUAUUACUGGGCCUUUGUUUUGUGUACACAACAUAUGGACAGAGGAACAAAUGCCUGAGCUAAAAUCAUCAUAUUCCAAAAUAUUCUAUUAAAUCAGCACCACAAAACGCGAACGCUAAACAGAAUUGGAGCAAUUUACCAAAGCUAUUUGUCACGCAAAGCACUAGUACCUCAGAACCCAAUUUGCAAAAAAGCACCAAAAAUGAAAAAUAACAAAUGCCCAGAUGAAAAAUCAGGAAAAAAAAAAGCUCAAAUCCAAAUUACAACCCCAUAAGCUGAGUCGUUCUCUUCGAACUGAAUUAAAAAAAUUAAAAAAAAUUAAAUAGGGAGAUUGACCUCAAACUUUGGAAACAGAAGCGACAUCGAUCUGUUUCUUGUCUGGAGUGUCCAUUUCUAUAAUCUACUUUGUCCGUUUUCAGUCGCUCUGCCACAGAACUUCUUCCCUCUGAAGCUGCAGCUCACACACACUUGCAAAACGAAAGCAUUUUUUAUUGAUUGAGAGGCGGGAAGGCGGGAAAAUGAGAGAAAUUUGCAUUUGUUUUCUCUUGGUUUGGUCACACCUGUGCGGGCCCCAGCUCGACAAGCGGUAUUAUUACUAUUUGUAUAAUUUACAUGACGCGUGUCACGCAAUGACGAUAAAAAUAUAUAUAUAUAUAUUGUUAAUUUUUCACUUAACAUUGAAAUAUCAUAUAAUUUUUCUAAUUUUAUGGUUAUUUUCUCGCCCUUAUGCCACAUUCUUUUGAUCAAAUAAUACAGUAAAAUUUUUCUAUAAUCAUAAUAUUAGAGCCAAAUUAACUUUAUUUCUGUAAAGAGGCUAUAGCUUAAUAAAGGUAAAACUAUAAAAAAUAUUAUUUUGACUCAGUUAUCUUUAGUGCAAGUGAUAUAAAGUACAAAUAUAUGAUAAUUAAUUAAUGAACUAUGUCAAAUACAAUAUGCUGACAAUGAUAAAAAAGAUAGACAUAAUUUCAAGAAACUAAUACAUAUAUUUAUGUAGUGCUGGGAUUAUACAAAAUUAUCUUAAAAGUGUAAAUAGUAAAGUACUAUUCUGAUUAAUUUAAAAAAAAUAUUUUAUCUUAAUCUUUAAUGCAACAUAGCUUUUUUUUUUUUCUUAGCAACAAAGCAUUGUUCCAAAUAAUUAUUAUUGGAUUCAAAUCAUGUCCUAGGCAUUUUUUCUUCUAGUCGUCUUUAACUUUUAAUGAUUUAUUGGCAUGUGUCAAUCAUUAAUGAAAUUAAAUAACUAAGACUUUGUUUUAAUUAACGUUUACAUAAAUAGACAUCAAAACUCACAUGUGAUUCUUAUCAAAUUUUUUCCUGCAAAUUCUUUUCCUCUCAACUAUUCAUAUUUUGAUAUUAAUUUCCAGCAAAUUAUUAAAAAAAAGAAGAAGCGUAAAAUGGAGAAAAGUGAUUGACAAUAAGAUUUGCAUCUUUAUUUCAAAAUUUUCCUUUCUUUGCUAUUUUUGUGGGUUCUACAAUUGUUGUUUUCACUCUCAGCUGCAGUUCAAUGAACUCUAUUAAAUAAUUAGUUUUUAAACUACAAGUAGCUUUGGAACAGCUCUUAAAUUGAUAUAACUUCUAUUAUUAUGUAACUUAGCAAGGUCAGAUAUUUUAAUAAUAGCACAUCACUAUUGUUUCAUGUGAAUGAUGCAAUUGGAUUAGCCAAUACAUACCGUCAUCCCCGGGAGAUGCUAUGGCAAUAGCUUACUCUACCGUGCCAAUGUCAUUAGUAUUAAUCUGUCGAACCUAAGACCAGAUCUAAGUUGAUCUAGAUUCCCCAAGAUUGCACACCACACAGUGAUUAAUGAAUCAAGAACAAUAAACCAUCAAAGAAUCGCAAACUUACAUGUCGGGUUACAUGUAAUAAAUGUUUUAAUUAUUAGAUGAUUCAUAAUGUUAGACCAUUUUUUGUAUGUUUUGUAAUCUACGUUUGAUAAUUUAAUUAGCUGAUAAACACUUGAAUAAUAUUAUUUCAUUAACUAUGUCAUUGAUCCCCAGGAAAAAAAAAAAAAAAAAACCCAAUUUGGGAUGUUAUACAUUACUUUUUCAUUACUUCCCAUUUUAGAUUAAUAUUUAUCACAUAUAUUCUUAGCAACUUGUAACCCUUUUUGCUAAGGGUGAAAUGUGUUUGUUACCCCUUCUAUUUCUGAGAUUGUCCUUACAAUAAGGAUGCCGGCCACAAUGUCAAAAACUGCUAUCUCUAGGUGUAAAUUCCUUAUAAAAUUCUUUUUUAAUUGAAAUUACUUAAAUAAUUGAAGAUAAAUUAAUUUUUUAUUUCAUUCAAAUAAAAAAAAUCAAUUAAACACUUCAAUAAGCUAUCCUUUUAAUUUUUUUUUACACCCAUCCAGUUUCAUAAUUUAUAUUUAUAAUUUAAAUUUUAAUGGGAAUAUUUUUUUGAAAAAUUUUAAGAAUUAAGAAUUAUGGGGAUAAAAAUUAUGUAAUAAGACCAAAAUAAUUUAAAAUUUUAAAAUUUGCAUGUAUUAUAAACAAAAACUUGAAAGAAAUACUCUUUUCAGGGUGAAAUUUAAUGAGAAAAAGAUUAAUUUUAAUUUAUGAAUUAGUAUUUUAUAAGUUAAACUGAGGUAUUUCAAGAAAUAGAAUUCAAAAGGCAUGGGAACGAGGGCCUUGGGUUUCAUUUUGUUUUGUAUGAAUUGGGAAAAAUACACGGACAGACAAAGGGAGCAGUCAUUAUAAUGCUGUGGAGCUUGUCGGAGAUUCCCUGCCCAUUUGUAGCUUAGAAUCCUGGGGUUUUGUUCAUGUCUUUUCUCUUUCCCACUUUCUCAUAUUGCUGUCUCAUAAGAGAAAUAGUCAUACAUAGUUGGUUAGGCCUCCAGUCCAUUAACUUAAUAAUGAAUUUUAUGAAAAUUGAUUAUCUCAUUGGAAUUACAUAGAUAUUGGAAAACAUUACUCCAGCCCCACCAUCCCAACCAUUUACUUAGUUCAUCAGUAAAAGCUGGAUUUUCCAUUUGUUCUUGAGAUUCAAAUUAAGGCAGCAAGUUGCUCAUUCAAUAUUAUCUAUGUAAUCCUGUAAAAGUGAAGGGCGUUUAGAUGUGGAAAAACCUUACUCCUGCCGCAACACCUCAAACAGAUUGUGAUCAGACAAGACUUAGUUCAUCAUUAGCGGUAGUUGGAGCUUCCAUUUGUUCUAGAGAUUCAAAGGCAGCAAGCUGCUUCCUCAGUGCUACUAAUUCUUCCCCGGCAUUGCAUAUGUAGCCUGAGGCUUGUCUGCCAGACAAAGUUGCUCCUUCCAUACUAUCUAUGUAAUCCUGUGAGAGUGAAACCAUUUAGAAGACAUAUCUCUUUUUUUUUUUCAAUAUUUGGAAUGAAACAAUUAUAUACAGUUACCUGUUUUGUAUAUGAGCUGGCGAGGAAGAAGUUCUUCACUGGUAUCUUUUGAUCAGGUCUGAAGGGGUCUUUACCAGGUCCCUCACCUCACAAAGAUUGCCGGAUUUUGACGACAGAUAACCAAAUAACUUCUAAACCUUGGGAUGAUGGAAAUAGAGCUCAAACCUAAUAAAAGGAACCGUGAAUGGAUAGUAUGGACUCAUGUAUAUUAUCCAGAAAGUUGCAUGACCUUUUUUGGUACUCAGGUCACUAAAAAAUGUGAGAUAAACAUCUAGGAUAAGAAAAGCAAAAAAGCAUAACCUAAUACGUAUUAUAUGAAUUGAAGGUGUCACUGAACGCUACCAACCUGCUUUGCCACUCUCCUUCUGAUUUCAUCAUUUGGUAAGGGCAUAUAAGGAUCUCCAGGCGUCAAAAUGCAUCUGAAAUAUAAUAUGGCUAUAGUAAGUAACACAGAAUACAAAGACACUUAGCAAAAGGAAGUCAAUCAGAUUCCAUGCACAAAAAAUAACUAAUAAUGACGAGGAUAAGAAAUUUUUCUUGCUGGAGCAACGAACCUUGCCCUUCUCUGUAGUAGUCUUCUGGUGAAGUGAGUGCUAGAUCUGCAAAGCAAGAUAAAUCUGCAUCUGGAGUAUAUGAAAGGUUAUCUAACCCCACAGCUUGCCUCAAUUGUCUACAUGUUCAAAACAAGGAUCUGUUAAAAAAUGGAAAUUUCUUCAAUGCAUUAGUAAAGGGAAGUGAAGUGAAAGCUGAUUUCUUAGGCCUUCACAGAGCAUCAUGUGUUUGAAUUCCGGUAACCUCACAAAAAAUUAGAGCAUCACCUUGACCGUUCUAGGUCUUGCAACUCAGUAACCCAACCAUUGCAUCUAAGCUGCACUGUGACAACAGGAACUCCAACUAGCUCAUAAAUAUUGUUGAAAAUUUUCAUUUCCCUCCACGAUGAUGGAGGCAAACUUUUAAUUCCAGGGACAUCACAUGCAGCCAUUAAAUAAGAAGUUGAAUAAAGAAAAAUCGUUCAACUAAAUGAUUCAGGAGUUAAAAAAAAAAAUGUAGAAGUAGAAAUAAAUAACGAAGAUUUAACCAUAAACCUGCAACAUAUGCAUCAGCUUGCACAACCUUCUUGUCAGUGGCCUGAAAUAGAAUGAGAAAUUGAAAGACAGUAAGCAUUAAAGAAUAAACUCAAAGAAGCUGCUUCUAACAGAUGAUAUAAACAGUAAAUUUACAAAUGUCAGAUCAUUGCAUUAGCUCUAUGCCUCCAUCAGAGGGAAUAUUAAUAGAUGCAUAAAAAAAUAAUUAGAGCCACAUGUUAAACAAUUUACCUUAGAAGUAGCAAGUGCUUUGACAAAUUUUUCCCCGUUAGCAGAUUUAUCAUAAAGUAUCUCUCUGCAUCCCCACCUAAGAUGGAACCUGUUCUCACAAGAACAGAUCCCAAGGUUGGGAAAAUCAGUUCAUCAUAGGAGAAAACAAAGAAGAUUAACAAAUCACUACAAUGGUGUGAACCCGUAAAUACAAACGUACCUGCCCCCUUUAUCUGUGAUAUAUUUUCUUAUGGGCCCACUCAAAUAAACAUCCGGAGAACCCUUGAGCAUCAGCAAUAGGGAAGCCUCGGUCUUAGUCGCAAACAGUGCAAAUAUAGUGAGCAUACAACGAGCACUGAUGUUAUCACAAUCAAUAAACCCAAGGGCAUACGCAACAGGAUCCCACAUUCUUUGGAACCCUUGGACAAAAACCAAUCAGAGAAGCUUAUCUGUAAGAAGAAAUGAAGUUUUAGGUAAAAUGACAAUCUGUAAGAACAGGGAUUGAAAUUCAACAAACAAGAAAAUAUGAUGUCAUUCUUACACUAUCCAAAUCUCAUAUGUCCUUCAAGGCUCCAUCAGGAUCAACAAGUGCCUUUACAACAGCACUCAGAGCAAGAGCAAGAGCAUUUCUUGCUUUAUCAUAAGUCUGCACUUGAGCAAUUUAUGAGGCAAAGUACAUCAAAAGAGAAUCCAAAAGAGGCAAGAAGCUUCAACAUGAAAAAAGGAGUACUGCCUCAUCAUACUGCUUUGCAAUCACAGUGCAAAAGAUAACAUCAACAAAAUCAAAUUCUAGCAUAAAUCCAUAUGCACUACCUUAAGCUGAUUUGUAGACAAAAGACCCGUUUGGGGCAGCUGCGCGGUUGCAGCGCAGCUGUCCCAAACGGGUCCAAUCAGAAACCCAAAAUCAAGUUCUGGAGUUGAAAAUCAAAAUCAUGAACCAAAUCAGAGUUAUUAUUGAAUUAGACAAUCCAUAAACCAAUAGAAGGUAAAACAAAAAGGAAUAAAAAUUCUUCUAAAUUCUUUCACCAUCAACAAAAUCAGUAAAACACAUACUAAUUCAAAAUGACAUAAAGUUUGUGAAUUGAAAUAAUGCCAACUCCUAAGAAAAAUUAUGACUGCUGAUAUUUUUUCCGAAAUGCUGAUAAAAGCUUCUGCUAUUUACUUUGAAAAAAUAGAGGUUAGAAGCCAAUUUACUUGAAAUUUUGAGUUUAGGCAAGAGGAUGAAUGGCAAAAGUGAAACAAUUUAGGGAAAAAUGUACUUCAGAGGCCAAUGAAAGCAUUCAGAAGAUUGAAAUCUAAAUAAGCAAAACCCCGUGGCCUUGAUCCAACAAAUCCACUGCUGUUGACAUGCCUGCAAGCCCAGCUCCAAUAAUAGCCACUUUCAGCUUUGGUCCUCUAUAAUGUUCCGGUUCUGGUAGAAACAAACCCUUGGGAGCUGCCAAGUAUACCAUCCAAUUAUCCACAGCGAUAAUGGAAAUAUAUAUGUGUUUAAAGGUACUAAAUUCCUAAACAUGAAAUGUAUCCAAAGAGAGACACAAAGCAGAAUUGUGAAACCCAAUAAAUUUUAAGAAUACAAAAUACUCGGUCUGUUCCUCAAUUCCUUUAAUAAAAUUUCCACUAGAGGCUCCGGAAGCCACUCAAUAACACUCCAAAGCCAGAUUUUAAACGUUCUCUUUAUCUUUAACUACAAUCCACAAACAAUUCUGCCACAAAUUCAAUUCAAAAUUGUUCAAGUGCACCGCCACUUCUCCAUCAAUUCCCUCAAAAAUUCAUAAUUGGCAAACACUACAAACCAAAAAGAGCUUCCAGCAAUAAACGCAUAAAAAUCCACCAAGCAACAUAAAACAAAAUACCCAGAAACCAGAAAAGCCAAAAGAUCAAUGCUUGGCAAACAAGCCAAUCAAAUAAAACAAAAAGAAGAGAAAUUUACCAUUAACGCUCAUAUCAGAAACAUUAGUGUCCAAAGAAGCCCGUACACGGAAUCUUGGAUCCUUCACUUGAACCCGAGACCAUGUAACGCCAGUAACUGAAGUUGCAGGAAACAGAACUGAAGAACCCAUAUUGCAAAUCCUGAGCUGAAAUCAAAGAAAUUCAAUUGGAACUCAAUUCAGCUCAACCGAGCGGAGCUCUCUUUUGCUUCAAUAACAAAGUGUUUUUCUUUCAUAUCAACAAAGAUUUGUCAACAUCAACAAAAUUUAACUAAGAAACUAAAAAUAAUGCGGUAUCUUUGAGUUUAAGAAUCUAACAAAGAUUUGUCGACAUCAGGGAACUGUUUCGGAGAGGUUGGCCAAGUGCAUUUUUGUUUUUUUCUUGUUUUGCCCUUUUCAUUAAUGCACAACAUUAGUCCACGUGAAGAGCACAAAAUGCUGGUGGCUUUGUCACUAACGAUAAUGGAUGGAGUGUCCAAAGCAACCAACUAAAUUUUAAAGAGAGGGAAUGAUAAGUAAUAUCUUAAUGGGGUGAUUAAUUAAUUUAUUAUCAAGCAAUUGUAUUUAUUUAUUUAAAAGAUAUCCUUAUCUUUGUACAAGGUUUGAGGAAAGACGACGAUGUUGUGUUGUCACAUAUUUUUACGUUUCUCCAUAAUUCACUGCAACAUCAACUGGGCCACCACCUCUUGCCUCUCCCGGUUCCCCUCAAUUUUCUUAUUCAAUGUCCACCGUUGAUUGUACAUUUAUUGAAAUUCUGUGGUUAUUGUUUUUUUGCAUACAUUUAAUUCCACACGGUCUAUGAAUAGAGCAGGUGCAUCGUAGUUGUGGCCUUAACUGUUAUUGGUAACUCAAUAGCUAAUUCUAAUGUUUCAUCAAGCAGUUUAGAGAUAACCUCUCUCGCUGAACUCCCCGGAGUAACGCAAUCCAGUUUUCCAGUGCAAUCAUCAGACAGUUGAACAGCUUCUGAAUUCCCUUUGCUUUUCUUGUUUUCUUUUCCAUGUAAAGGGAGCUCAGGCUUCAAUAUAUCUGGGGAUUGAGUACUAAUGAUAAAGACAACAUACGAUAGAGGACACAAAUUGUUAUUAAAGAAUGACGCACUUUUCAACUGAGUACAGUAAAGCAAGAAUGGGUAAUUAGUUUUACCUGCAACGUGAAAAUCUAGACUCCCGACGGUAACCGAUCUUUGGUGAAGCAAAUAAAGAAGAAGGCGAAGUAAAAUUCACUGAGUUGAAUGAGCAAUCAUUACGUAUGGACUUGAUUUGUUCAAUGGGUGAAAGACUGCUGAUAUAAUUAAAGACUGGAGAAUCCUGCACGUUGACAAGCAUCAUUUUUAAUAUAACAUAGAGUCUUAAAAACCUAGUCAGUGGCAAAUGAUCACGACAAGCAAACUGAAGUACAAACAGCAGAGCUCAACAAAUCAUUAAGAGAAAAUAAGACCAUUAACCAAGCAGAUAAAAGAAACGCAAAAUAACCCAUCUCAAAUCACCGCAUGCACAAUUUAAGGGGGUUGUGACAUGGGUUUAAGCAUGAUUUAACAAGUGCCACCAGUGAAUUCUCAGAGAUUGAAUUUUCAUACACAUGCAAAUUUCCAAGUCCAACGAAUUGUUGUCUUUCUGAAGAUAUUAACGUUGCAUAGCAUGCUAUAAAUAAAUCAUAUUAUUAGGGCCUUUCUUUGCUGUACACAACAUAUGUACAGAGGAACAAAUCCAUGAGCUGAAAUCAUCAUAUUCCAAAAUAUUCUACCCAAUCAACACUACAAAACCCUAACGCUAAACAGAAUUGGAGCAAUGUACGAAAGCUAUUUGUCACACAAAGCACUGGUACCUCAGAACCCAAUUUUCAAAAAAGCAACAAAAAUGAAAAAUAGCAAGUGCCCAGAUGCAAAAUCAGGAAAAAAAUGCUCAAAUCCAAACUACAACCCCAUAAGCUGAGAUUGACCUCAAACUUGGAAACGGAAGCGACAGUGAUCUGUUUCUUGUCUGAAGUGUCCAUUUCUCUCGCUCCGCCACAAAGCCUCUUCACUCUGAAGCUGAAACUCACCACGCACUUGCAAAACGAAAGCAUUUGAUUGAUUGAGAGGCGGGAAGGCGGGAAAACGAGAGAAAUUUGCUUUUGUUUUUUCUUCGUUUGGUCAUACAUCUGCAGGCCCCAGGUUGACAAGCGUUAUUACUACUACUUGCAUUAUUUGAAGGACGCGUGUCAUGCAACGAUGAUGGAAAAAGUGGUGCAAAACUUCAAUGGUCACGAAAUGACGAUAAAACAAAAAUAUAUGGUUAAUUUUUCACUUAACAUUGGAAUAUCAUAUAAUUUUAUGGUCAUUUUCUCGCUGUUACGCCACAUUCUUUUGAUAAAAUAAUAUGGUUAAACUUUUCUAUAAUCAUGAUAUUAGAACCCAAUUAACUUUAUUUCUAUAAAGUGGUUAUAGCUUAAUAAAGGUAAAAUUGUAAAAAAUAUUAUUUUGACUUAAUUAUCUUUAGUGCAAGUGAUAUAAAAAAUAAAUAUAUGAUAAUUAAUUAAUAAAUUAUGUCAAAUAUAAUAUAUGGACAAUGAUAAAAAAGAUAGACAUAAUUUCAAAAAACUAAUAUAUAUGUUUUUGUAGUGCUGGGAUUAUACAAAGUUAUCUUAAAAGUGUAAAGAGUAAAGUAUUAGAUUGGAUUGAAUUAUAUAUAGUGCUGACUUAUGUUUGGUAUGAUAUUGUAUUAGAUUAUGUUAAAUUAAAUUUACAUGAAAUUAAAUAGUAUUUACAUUAAUAUUUGAAUUUAAAUAUCAACUAUUUAUAGAUAUUUAACAAUAAAUAUUAUAAUUAAUUAAAAACAGCACUAAUAAGGGGUGUGUGUGUGUGUGUGUAUUCAUUUAGUUAUUGGGUAGUCAUAAUUAUAAUAAAGAAAUAUAAACUAUUUAAAUUAUAGGUUAUUUCAAAGAGUAAUGAGAGAUAUCAUUUCAUUAAAUAAAAUAAAUAAAACUAUUCAAAUAAUAAAUUAAUUAAUAAAUUUUAAGUAAAUCAUGAAUAAAAAAGAAAUUACUUAAUUAAAAACAAUAAAUAAAUAAAUAAUUUUUAAGUUAUAAAUAAAAUUGUGUAAUAAAUUAUGGAAGAUAUUAUAAAUACACAAAUAUUUUUUUCACAUUAUCUAGUCCCAACUAAACCCACAUAAAAAUUAGAAUUAGCAAUCCCAUGAAUUUAGGAUUAAAAUUUGAAUUUAGUCCAUUAAUCCAAUCCAAGUGAGCAUGCCAAACAUAGUAUUAAUAUUUUAUCCCAAUAAUAAGUCCAAUCCUACACUAAAUCCUACCUCCCAAACAUAACCUUAAGAAUCUAUUGACAUGUGUCAUUAAUGAAAUUAAAUGGCUAAAAUUUUGUUUUAAUUAAUUUUUACCUAAAUAGACAUCAAAACUCAUGUGUGACUCUUGUUAAUCUUUUUCUUACAAUUUCUUUUCCUCUUAAUUCUUUAUAUUUUGACACCGAUUUCUAGCAAAUUAUUAAAAAAAAGAAAAGGAGCACAAAUUGGAGAAAAGUGAUUGACAACAAGGUUUGCAUCUUAAUUUCAAAAUUUUCCUUUCUUUGUUGUUGUUUUUUUUUUUUUUGGGUUCUAUAAUUGUUGUUUUCACUCUCACUUACAAUUCAAUGAACUAAAUUAGUAUUGCUACUUAUAAACUGCUAUUACCGGGCAUAUAAUUUUAUUGCUACAAUUUUACUGCUGUUUAGCUAUUUUUCUGAGUUUUUAGUUGUUGUUCUAUUGUCUCUUUGGGGUUUGCAACUGAUGUUUGCUGUUUUUCUAUGAAACAAUUAAAUUCUUUUGCUGCUACAUUUUUUGUUGUUCUAUUAUGGCCGGGACGUAUGUGAAAGGGAAAGAAUCUACCCAAAAAAAAAAAUGACAAAGAGUCACAUGUGAGUUUAGAUGUAUUUUUAAGUAAAAAUUAAUUAAAACAAAAUCUUGGCCCAUUAAAUAACUUAAUAUAAUCAAUUUGUUCUUAAUAACUUAAUAUUAUUUAAUCUAUAGAAGCAAGAUCCUCGAAGACAAAACCUAUAAAUAAUUUAAUAUAAUGAAUUGAUUCUUAAUCUACUCCAAAUUGAGACUACAAUUUUUUACUUAAAAAUUGGCUAGCUAACUUUACCUUGAUGGGCUGACUAUCGCCCAUACAUAUUUCUUCAAAUUUAUUAAUAUUUUUGUGCAUAGCAAUUAGGGUUACGUGACAACGAAUUCUCCUUUUAGUAUAUAAAAAGUAUACUCACAAGUAGUGUAGUGUUCCCCUCCUAAAGGGCAUAGCUCACUGACUUUUAGUCUCUUUCUUCAGUUGACGACUCCAGUUAGACUCUUCAAUGAGAUUAAAGAUUGAAUAUAUCAAAAAUAUUAGCAAUAUUUGUGCUUAUAUUUAACAAAACUAGAGUAAUAUAUUGAUUAAUCUACAUAAUUUUAGGCGGGUUCUUAGGUAAUGUUACAAUUACAUAGAUUAUUUUCACAGUAUAAGCCAAAUCUUAAGAAUUAAUUACUUGAAUAAAAGGAAUAAAGGAUGAUCGAUAAAAGUAAAACAAAGAAAAUAAAUUAUGCCGUUAAAUUGGGAUAUUUGGCUGCCUUAAUCGCUAGAGAUGCUUCUCCAAAACCCGCGUGUAAACAAAACACAUAUUUUUAACAUAACAAUAGCCCAAGCACAUAAACAAGAGUGAAAGCCGAGGAAUCAAUUUCAUUACUGUUCACUAGUAUUUUCAAUUUCAUUAUUUCAUUAACUGUCAUUGAUAAAAAAAAAAAAAAAAACUCAAUUUGAGAUGUUAUACAUUACUUUUCAUUACUUCCCAUUUCAAACAUAUUUAUCAUAUAUAGUCUUAGUAGCUUGUAACCCUUUCUGGUAAGGGUAAAAUAUUUCUUACCCCUUUGAUUUCUGAGAUUGUCCUCACAAUAAUGAUGCUGGCCCCAAUUUCUAAAACUACUAUCUCUAUGAGUAAAUUCCUUAUAAAUUUUCUUUUAAUUGAAAAUAUUUAAACAAUUGAAGAUAAAUUAAUUUAUUUUUUUAUUCGAAUGAAAAUUCAAUUAAACACUUAAAUAAGCUAUUCCUUUAACAAUUCUUUUCACACCCAUCAUGUUUCGUAAUUUAUAUUUAUAUUUAUAUUUUAAAAUUUAAUUGAAAAUACUUUUUGAGAAACUUUUAAGAAUUAAGAAUCAUGGAGAAAAAAAUGAUUUAAUAUGAAGAAAAUAGUUUAAAAUCUUAAGAUUUGUAUGUUUUAUAAAUAAAAACUUGAAAAAAUACUCUUUCCGAGAAAAGAUUUAAUCAGAAAAUGAUUAAUUUUUAAUUUAUGAAUUAAUAUUUUAUAAAUUAAACUAGGGGUAUUUUAAGGAAUAUAAUUAAAAAAGAGUGUCAUAAGGAUAUUUAGGGGUGUUAGAAGCCAUACUCAUUUACAUAAGCCAUGGGAGUUAGGGUAUUGGGUUUCUUUUUGUUUUGUAUGAAUUGGGAAAAAUACAGAGACAGACAAAGGGAACAGUCAUUACAAAGCUGUGAAGCGUGUGGGAGAUACCCAUUUGUAGCUUAAACUCCUAGGGUAUUGUUUCUGUCUUUCUCUUUCUCACUUUCUCAUGCAGCAGAUGUACAUAUCAUGAAAUAGCCAUACAUAGUUGGUUAGGCCUCCAGUCCAUUAACUUAAUAAUGAAUUUUAUGAAAAUUGAUUAUCUCAUUGGAAUUACAUGGAUAUUGGAAAGCAUUACUCCAGCCCCACCAUCCCAACAAUUUACUAAGUUCAUCAGUAAAAGCUGGAUUUUCCAUUUGUUCUUGAGAUUCAAAUUAAGGCAGCAGAUUGCUCAUCCCAUACUAUCCAUGUAAUCUUGUAAAAGUGAAGGGCGUUUAGAUGUGGAAAAACCUUACUCCUGCCGCAACGCCUCAAACAGAUUGUGAUCAGACAAGACUUAGGUCAUCAUUAGUAGUAGUUGGAACUUCCAUUUGUUCUUGAGAUUCAAAGGCAGCAAGCUGCUUCCUCAGUGCUACUAAUUCUUCCCUGGCAUUGCAUAUGUACGCUGAGGCUUGUCUACCAGACAAACUUGCUCCUUCCAUGAUAUCUAUGUAAUCCUGUGAGAGUGAAACCAUUUAGGACACAUAUCUCUUUUUUUCUAUUGAUCGUGACAUAUUUGGAAUGAAACAAUUAUAAACAGUGACCUGUUUUGUAUAUGAGCCAGCAAGGAACAAGUUCUUCACUUGUGUCUUUUGAUCAGGUCUGAAGGGGUCUUUACCAGGUCCCUCAUGGUACAAAGACUGCCCGAUUUUGACAACAGAUGACCAAAUAACUUCUAAACCUUGGGACAAUGGAAAUAGAGCUAAAACCUGAUAAAAGGAACCGUGAAUGGAUAAUAUGAACAGAUGUAUAUCAUCCAGAAAGUUGCAUGACCUUUUGCAGGGCUCAAAGUCACUAAAAAAUGUGAGAUAUACAUCUAGGAUAAGAAAAACGAAAAAGCGUAACCUAAUAUGUAUUAUAUGAAUUGAAGGUGUCACUGAACACUACCAACCUGCUUUGCCACUCUCCUAAUGAUUUCAUCAUUUGGUAAGGGCAUGUAAGGAUCGCCGGGCGUUAAAACGCAUCUGAAAGAUAAUUCAGUUAUAGUAAGCAACACAGAAUACAAAGACACUUGGCAAAAGGAAGUCAACCAGAUUCCAUGACACAAAAUGAAACUAAUAAUGGCGAAACUUCUCUGUAGUAGUCUUCUGGUGAAGUGAGUGCCAGAUCUGCAAAGCAAGAGAAAUCAGCAUGUGGAGUAUACAAAAGAUCAUCUAAUCCCAGAGCUUGCCUCAAUUGCCUACAUGUUCAAAACAAGGAUCCGUUAAAAAAUGGAAAUUUGUUCAAUGCAUUAGCAAAGGGAAGUGAAGUGAAAGCUGAUUUCUUAGGCCUUUAAAGAGCUUCUUUUGAUUGAAUUCCUGUAACCUCACAAAAGAUUAGAGCAUCACCUUGACCGUUCUAGGUCUUGCAACUCAGUAACCCAACCAUUGUAUCUAAGCUGCACUGUCACAACAGGCACUCCAACUAGCUCAUAAAUAUUGUUGAAAAACUUCAUUUCCCUCCACGAUGAUGGAAGUAAUCGUUUAAUUCCAGGGACAUCACAUGCUGCCAUUAAAUAGGAAGUUGAAUAAAGGUAAAACAUUCACCUAAAUGAUUCAGGAGAACAAAAAAGCACAAGUAGGAAUAAAUAAGGAGGAUUUAACCACAAACCUGUAACAUAUGCUUCAGCUUGCACAACCUUCUUGUCAGUGGCCUGAAACAGAACCAGAACCUCUAAGACCAUAAGCAUUAAAUAAUAAACGCAAAGUAGCUGCUUCUAACAGAUGAUAUAAACAACUGAUUUACAAAUGUCUGGUCAUUGCAUUACCUCCAUCAGAGGGAUUAUCAAUAGACGAGUAAAAAAAUAAAUAACUAAACUAGCUUUUGCCGCCUAAUUAGAACCAUGUGAGAAACAAUUACCUUAGACAUGGCAAGUCCUUUGACAUAUGUUUCUCCAUUAGCAGAUUUAUCAUAAAGUAUCUCUCUGCAUCCCCACCUAAGAUGGAACCUGUUCUAGCAAAAACAGACCCCAAGGUUAGGAAAAUCAGUAGGAGAAAACAAACAAGAUUAACAAAUCACUGCAAUGAUGUGAACCUGUAAAUAGAAAUUUACCUGCCCCCUUUAUCUGUGAUAUGUUUUCGUAUGGGCGCACUCAAAUAAGCGUCUGGAGAACCCUUGAGCAUCCGCAAUAGGGCAUAAGCAACAGGAUCCCACAUUCUCUGAAUACUCGUCCGUGUCCCACCUUUGGACAAAAACCAAUCAGAGAAGCUUAUCUGUAAGAAGAAAUGAAGUUUUAGGUAAGAUAACAAUUUGUAGGAACAAGGAUUGAUAUUAAAACAAACUAGAAAAUAAGAUGUCAUUCUUACACUAUCCAAAUCUCCUACGUCCUUCAAGGCUCCAUCAGGAUCAACGAGUGCCCUUACAACAGGACUCAGAGCAAGAGCAAGAGCAUUUCUUGCUUUAUCGUAAGUCUGCACUUGAGCAAUACAUGAGGCAAAGUACAUCAAAAAAGAAUCCAAAAGAGGCAAGAAGCUUCAACAUGAAAGAAGAAAUACUGUCUUAUCAUACCGCUAACUAAUCAGAGUGCAAAAGAUUACAUCAACAUAAUCAAAAUGGAACAUAAAUCCAUAUGCACUACCUUAAGCUAAUUUGUAGACAAAAAUGCGCGAAUCCCAUGUAAGGGAGCUCCGACUGGAAACCGGAAAUCAUGUUCUGGAGUUAAAAAUCAAAAUCAUGAACUUAAUCAGAGUUAUUAUUGGACUAGACAAUCCACAAACCAAUUUCAGAGUGUCCAACCACCAAACAUAACUAUCAGUAGUCUUAAGUGAUCAAGAAAUAACCAUACCACCAAUUUCACCACCCUUAUUCACAAAUGUAUGAGUAUGAUCCUUCAUGAGUAAAUUUUUUUGUGUCCGCACUGACCUGUAGACAUCCAUGAAAAACUAUCAGAUUAUAAACACAGGGUCAAUUUAAAGAGGAGCUAUGAUUCUGAUCCAUCAUGAUAUUUGAAGAACAUUUUCAUAUUUUCCUACAACGAGUAAACUAUAACCAGUUAUCAUCACUAUAGAUGGCAUGGUCAAGAGAAAUUAUAGUUCUUGUUUCAAGAAUCUCAAAUCAUAAUUCCUUUGCAUGGCUAGUGUGCUUUUAUAAUCAUUCAAACACACUUAUCCACAACUAAGCAAGCUUUACCUUUUUCAUCAAUCGGAACAGAUUAUUGUAGCAUCCAAAGAAAAUGUGCAGGCCCAUUUCAAUAUGGUUUCCAUGUUUAUCAAUAAAUGAACCCACUUUACCACCAAUGAAAGACCUUGACUCAUAUAUAUCCACCUGGAAGGGGGGGGAAUCUUCUAAUUUCUUUCACCAUCAACAAAAUCAGUAAAACACAUACUAAUUCAAAAUGAAAUAAACUUUGUGAAUUGAAAUAAUGCCUGCUCUAAAGAAAAUGAUAACUGCUAUUCAUUUUUCCGAACUGCUGAUAAAAGCUUCUGCUAUUUACUUUGAAAAAAUUGAGUAACUUCAAAUUUUCAGUUUAGGCAAGAGGAUGAAUGGUAAAAGUGAGACAUUUUAGGGGAAAAGAAAAUACUUGAGAGGCCAAUGAAACAUUGAAAGAUUGAAAUCUAAAUGAGCAAAACCUCAUGGCCUUGAUCCAACAAUUCCCCUGCUGUUGACAUGCCUGCAAGCCCAGCUCCAAUAAUAGCCACUUUCAGCUUUGGUCCUCUAUAAUGUGCCGGUUCUGGUGGAAACAAACACUUGGGAGCUGCCAAGUAUACCAUUCAAUUAUCCACAGGGAUAUUGGAAAAACAUACAUGUUUGAAAGUACUAAACAUCAAAUGUCUCCCGAAAAAAAUACAAAGCACAAUUGCAUAAGCAUUUCAUUUCCCAAUAAAUUUCAAGAAUACAAAAUACUUGGUCUGUUCUUGAGUUCCUUCAAGAAAAUUUCCACUAGAGAGCACGCAAGCCACUCAAUAACACUCCAAAGUCAGAUUUUAAACGUUAUCUUGAUCUAUAAGUACAAUCCAUGAACCAUUCUGCCACAAAUUCAAUUAAAAAUUAUUCAAGUAAAAUGCCAAAUUCUCCAUCAAUAGCCUCAAAAAUUCAUAACUAGCAAACACUACAGAACAAAAAGAGCUCCCAGCAAUAAACACAUAAAAAUCCCACCAAGCAACAUAAAUCAAAAUACCCAGAAACCAGAAAACCCAAAAGAUCAAUACUUGGUAAACAAACAAAUCAAAUCAAAUAAAACAAAAAGAAGAGAAAUUUACCAUUAACACUCAUAUCAGAAACGUAAGUAUCCAAAGAAGCCCGUACACAGAAUCUUGGAACCUUCACUUGAACCCGAGACCAACAAACACCAGUAACUGAAGUUGCAGGAAAAAGAAGUGAAGAACCCAUAUUGAAAUAAAAGAAUCCAAACCCAAAGUCCCACAUCUAAAUAUGAUGGAUCCACUCCAUGCGGCAAUAUGAAAUUUAAGCUCUCUUUUCUUAUGUCACCCAAGGCAUUGGCAGGAUGGCCAAACACCUGAGUUCAAGUCUACAAUAGAGAAUCGAAAUUUUCCUUUGUAAAUGUUCAUAAGUAUUUACCACAGAUAUUCAAGUUAUUCUUGAUAGAUCCCCUACUAUAUAUGCUAUAAUAUUUCUCUUCUUUUAAUUUAAAAGUAAAUCAUUCAUAAUAUCGGACUUGUAAAGAAAUAAAAUUUUCGGUAAUUAACUGACAAAACAAAAAAAGAUGGAUUAUGCGAAAGAAGUUAAUAUGGAGUAAGUCGAGCACUUGACAAUCAAAGUAAUUUACUCGAGGUUGAGUAAGGAUAGUACGAUACUUUCUCAAGUUUUCUGAGGACAUUCACGUGACAUUGGACUAUUGAUUAUAGUUAGAGAGAAGUCCAAGGAUGUAAGUGAUGAUGAUAGAUUCACAAUUCUUUUGAAGAAAAUAUUUUAUAUAAACUUAAUUAUAUGGUAUAAAAUGAUUGGCCUUAAUAAAAUUAAAAAAUAAUACACGCCUGGGUCAUGUAAUAUUUUCAACCAACUAAUUUACAUGCAAAAUUAAACUUUAUGAGUACAUUUAUUUGCUAGCAGAAACUCUGCCAAAUUUUCCGAAAUGUGAAAGUGAACACUUUUAACAACGUCACAAAAUGCAUGUGAUAAUGAAACAAUGUGCCAUCCUUAAACUAAUAUUAUUAGAAACUAUAAGUGAAAGUUUUCAGAAAACAUAUGAUAAAUUUUUCUCGGAAUUUGUUUUCUCCUUUGUUUUGAUUUAUGUGAGAGAUAGUUGUAAAGCGUAAAAUUUUAAAAUCCGUAACAAAACAAAAACUUACAUGGGUUGGGCGCACCAUGUGCAUACCAAAUUAGAAUAAUUGACGAAUCGUAAUAAAAAAUUUAUAUAUAAUAAUUGAAUGAGAUCCAUGGUUCACAAUUGCAAAUUAAAGGUUGGUUUUAUAAUAAAAAUCUUUUUUUGCAUACCAAGUUAGAAAAGAUUAUAAGUAAAUUAAGAUUUUCAAAAUUUGACUAGUAUUAUAUUACGUACGUCAAUAUAAUAUAAAUUUGUUAUAUAUAUAUAUAUUUUACUCUGCAACCAAUGCUUUCAAAAACUUUUUACUUGUAUGUUUGAACAACUUUUAUCGCUUUCUAUUUAUAUACGAUCUCAUUUAUGUUUACAUAAAUUUUCAUAUGUACCCAAAUUAAGCAUUAAAUACACACACUUUGGUAAGACACAUUUCUAGUAUCAGACAAUGAUAUUAUAUUGAAUGUAAUGCUUCAAUGAAUUUUAUUACUAUAUACUAAAAUACUCAACGAUAUUCAUUAAAAAAAAAAAAGAAAUUGCAUGAUUAGAAUGAUUAAAGUUCAUUUAAUGACGAGUUUCAUCAUUGACUGUGUCGAAACACAACAGCAAUCCACAAUACACUCAACACGAGAGGCGCACACAAGCAUGCAUGAAUCUUCCACCAUUAAACCUGAAAUCAUAAAAUGAAAGAAACAAGGUGAGUGUUGUUUUACGGUCUGAAAGCCGAUUCGAAAUAAUAAUAAUAAUAGACCUUUGUUAAUAGUUACUACUAGUGGUCACUGCCUUGUCCAUCUUCCUUCUCUGUAUCAUCGUCCACUUCCAAGCCGCUGUCAUCUGACCAAACCCCAGCAACCAUCGCGGGAAAAAUCACCUAUUUGGAGUGAGAGGGAAAAAGCUGAUUGUUGAGAAAUAUAUGUAUCUUUUGUAUGGUUGUGUUAAGGUCACCCAUGCAAGCAGAACGUGCUUCAGUCCCCCAUGCUUUACUCCCCCACUGCACUUCGUGUAAUUUGGGUGUACUUAAAUUUCCUUCAGAGAAAAUCUUCAUAUCGAGGCAAUCACCCACCACUAAUCUUUCCAAAGAUGGGAACUUGAAAGCACAAUUGCCAGAGCAGAAGCUUGUCAAACUUUUUAAGUCUAAAAGCUUCAACUCCUUCAAUUCUCUGAAAGUAAUAACCUCAUCUUUUGCUACAACAUCAUCCACCAGUACUAUUUCUGUUAUCUUAUCGCAUGAUUCUAUCUCCAUAUAUCUAAGUCGCACCAGAGUCUUUGCAAUUGAGGAUGUUAAUACGAUUUUCAAUCCUUUGCAACACGAUACCACCAGAUUUGUAAGAUUCUGAAAGGACGUCGACGAUGGCACUAGAUUGACCAAACGGUCACACCCCUUUACACGUAGAAAAACCAAGUUGUUCGUAACAGAGGACUCCUCUAUCAAAAUGUGCUCCAGUUGAUAUUUUGCUUCUCUUAUUUCUACCCUCAUCCCAUUUUCAACCUGCUCUUUCGGCAACCAAGCACCAUGUCCUCCUAUUUCGAGGACUUUCAUUGUGUGAAGUCUCUGGAGGAAGUCACCAAGUGAUAAAAUUGUCCGCUCAUCAACCAACUCCACGUAAAGAUAUUUUAGUUUGCAAAGCAAGUCUUCAGAAAAUAGAUAUUUAUUUGUUACCACGUGCUUUGCAUCAACUUUCAACUUUUCCAAAUUAGGGAAUACCUGGGAGAUUGAUCAGAGCCCAAAAAAAAAAAAAAAAAAAAAAAAAAUACAAGAUGAAUCAGUUGAUGAGAAUUAUAAGUUACCACUAAUUUAUACCAUAUAUUUUAUUCAAUAAAUCUUUACCUUUAAAAAAAAUAGUAAUAAUAAUACGCCUAGCUAACAUCUAGAAUAAUUAUGAAUGAAUACUAUACACUAAUCUAUAAGAGAGUUCCGUUGCUGACAAUUUGACUUUUAGUAAGAAACCAAGCGAUAAAGGCAAAGGCAAUAUAACUCUUAAGCUUUAUGAUAUAAACUUUCACAGUACAUACAUAAGAAUUGAAAAUUUGAUUAUAAAAUUCUUGUACGUACCCUUUCCGUCAAGAUAUUAGUAGUUCUUUUGCAUCUCGCCAUGAAUUCAGGACAUCCAGAUAUCUCUAAUUCUUUCAAGGAUGGAAAUUCAAGAUUAUCAAGAUCUCCAGUACAGAAGCUUGUGAACUUUUCAAGAUCAGACAUCCUCAGAUAUUGCAACUGAGGAAACGUUACAAUAUUAUUCUUCAUUUCUUCCUGGUUGUCCACGACUAUUAACUCUUCCAAGACGCGACAUCUGACUAUCUGAAUGCGUUGGAGUCGAACCAAGCUACUAACAGUAGCAGAUGAAAAUAGACAACUUAAAUUCUCACAGACAGACAAGGUCAAGUGCGUUAAAUUCUGAAUACCACAAGACAUGACUGUAACUUGGCUCGGCCAAAUCCUCUCAACAUUUAUUGAAUCCAACGUCAACUUCUCUAACUCUGGUAACCGAUCCUGCUCGAUCAAAAAAUUAACUUGUUAAUUGCAAGUAAACGAUCAUUGAUUAUAAAAUUCUUGUACGUACCCUUUCCGUCAAGAUAUUAGUAGUUCUUUUGUAUCUCGCCAUGAAUUCAGCACAUCCAGAUAUCACUAAUUCUUUCAAGGAUGGAAAUUCAAGAAUAUCAAGAUCUCCAGUGCAGAAGCUUGUGAACUUUUCAAGAUCAGCCAUCAUCAGAUAUCGCAACUGAGGAAACAUUACAAUAUUAUUCUUCAUUUCUUCUUCGUUGUCCACGACUAUUAACUCUUCCAAGACAGGACAUUCGACUAUCUUAAUGUGUUGGAGUCGAACCAAGCUACUAACAGUAGAAGAUGAAAAUAGACAUCUUAAAUUCUCACAGACACACAAGGUCAAGUGUGUUAAAUUCUGAAUACCACAAGACAUGACUGUAACUUGGUUUUGCCAAAUCCUCUCAACAUUUAUUGACUCCAACGUCAACUCCUCUAACUCUGGUAACCGAACCUGCUCGAUCAAAAAAUUAACUCAUUAAUUACAAGCAACAAUGAUUUCUGUUGAUGGACAAAUCAAUAAAAUUACUCUUUCUCUGGUUAUAGUUCUUUUCAGUUUUUCAUACAAACAACCGUUAAUCAAGUUUUCCAAAUUAUUCCUUACUAAAUGUAUAGAUUUAGACGGCGGCUAAUAUAGUUCAUAUUGUAAAUAUUCUUUGAUUGUAACGAAUUUUGUAAUAUUAAAUUUUGGUUGAUUCGCAAUAGGACCUACUAUCCAGCGCGAGCAGUUCUCGGGGAUUUAACUACUGGCACCUCGAUUAUAUAAAAAUUUAGAAUAUUUUCAAAGGAAAUCAAAUAAUUCCCCCUUGCAAAUAGUAAUUAUCAUCAAUUGCCGGGGGUUCACAUAUAAUUCUAAGAAAUUAGGCGAGAAGAGUCUCAUCAACAAUCAAUCAGCAAAUAUCACGUUUGGCAGAUCAUCAUGAUUUCCUCAGAUGCUAGAGAAUCAACGUGAUUUCUGCUCAUGCAGGAGUGGACACAUUAUCUUAGAGCAUCCCUCACUGAGAUCUUUUAAAAAAUUUAUAUUAUAAAGUGAACAACAUAUUUAGUAUAGAUUUAGACGGCGGCUAAUAUAAUUUAUAUGUAUUCUAAUGACGUAUAUUAAAGAAAAUGACUAACCAUAAUUUCAAUCAACUUAUUAGUCUAUAUAUAUAUAUAUAUAUAUAUAUAUAUAUAUAUAUAUAAAAGUGACUACAACAUAUUUAGUAUUCCAUGACAUGAUGUUUAUAAUAAUAAUUAUUAUUAAUUCACUUUUUGUGUCAAGAACCUUUUCUUUCUCUAAGAAUGAAUUUCUUACACCCUACUAUACUACGGAUGAAAAAUUUAGAAUCAUUGUGAAAUAUGAUUAUUAAUCACUCUUUGCCAUAUUUGCUACCAAACAAGAAUGCAACAAAGAAAAAAAAAAUUAUAGAGAAUUAAUAAGACCAUUGACUUAUCAAUAACUGACCUUCUCAGCGAAAAGUGUAUUAGAAAUUUGGACAUUGUCCUCCAAAAUGAUUUCAUGUGACCGCAAAUCAUUAGCUGAUUCCUCCUGUCUCUGCUAACAUUGCAGGUGUAUUGAUUUUAGAGUGUAAGCUUAAUUGUGAGCACAACCUUAAUGCAUAGAUACAAGAUCUUUAAAAAUUAGUACAAUAAACUUAGCACUAAAUCUGAAUUUGAUAUUUUGGAUUCCAUGAUUAAGAUUUUUUUAAAAUGAAAAUUUAAUAGAGUUAAUUUAAAAAUAAAAAUUAAAUAUGAAAAAUUAGAGUUGCAAUUAUGGAUUUAAUUUUGAUAAAUAAUGAAUGUUCUCUUAAUAUUUUUUUUUUAAAGGUAAAAGAGCGUACAAAGCCCAAAUUCAUUUUUUUAGUCCCUUACUCUCCCAUAAUUCAAACUUGGGUGGUUGUAGGAGGACUGAAAAUAUAUAAGACAGUUAACUUCACUUUUUUUUUUUUCUUUUUUUUUUUUGAGAGAAAAGAGAAGAAGGAUAUUACAAAGCAUGAAGCUCGUGCAAUAUAAGGGCAAUGAUGGUUUUUUCUUUAAAUUAAAAUAGUAAGAUUUUGAAGCUAAAAGAUUAAAAUAUUAAUUAAAUUGCAAACAUUAAAGAUUUUUUUUUUUCAAAUGGUUGCUUUGAAAAUGAGAAUAAUAUAAUAUUUGAAGACUUUUCAAAAUUAAUUACUGUGAUAGAUGCACUAGAAGUUUCUAGCUCUAGUCUAAUGUAUAAAUUGACAAAACGAUAUUAGAAUCCCAGGUGAAAAGAACCCUCUCACACCAAUUAUUUAAAUUAGGAAUGAUCAUACCUCUGACUCUGCCGAACUGAGGGCGGGGUCUAAACCCACCAUAAAGAGACGCUUGAGAUGGGAAGAGCCCACUUUGACUAAUUCAUUACGAAAAUAAUCGACAUCUUGCUCUUGCAAUCCCCAUAACUCAAGGUCUUCAAUUCUCUGCAGUUGCACGAUCAGCGAAUCCUUCAAGCAAAUCUUGUUAUUUAGCUCGACUCUGAAUUCACGACACGGAAUGCUGGUGAUCCCCCAAUACUCAAGAUCUCCAAUGCGUAUGCUGUACCUUUCCAGCUUCUCCAAGAACAGGCCUCUGGGCAGAGUGCUGACGUCAUGGGUGUCUAAUUCCAAAGAGGUCAAGUUGGGCAAAUGCUUCAACUCCUCAAGGCUUGCAUUCUUAACCCCUUCCACCUCCACCUCCCAAGCAGCAAAGCUUCUAUGACUUAUAUAUAGUUCUUCUAAAUGGGAUAAUUUUGACAGUAUAUUUGGUGGAAUAACUUUUAGACACCAACAAUCCCUCAAAUCAAGCAACUUUAGCCAAGUCAAUUCACCUACUUCUACCGGCAACUUCUCAAUAUAAGAACUUCUUAAGCAAAGGAUUUCUAGUUUCUUCAAGUCUCCUACAACACUUAUAUCACGCAAGCUGCAGUCACACAAACUCAGUGUUCGAAGGUUUGACAGGAGACCAAGUGAUGAAGGCAGUGACCGUAGAUUCAUGCCAGUCAAGUUGACAACUCUGACCUGCAUCAUCCUCUCGAAAAAGUUGUUUGGAAUUGUUAAUGAUGAAAAUUCCCAACGAUCAGCACGUAUAAAAAGAAGUUCGAGCUGAGGACAUUCCAGUACUUCAGGAAGCAAAUUAUUCUUGAUAUGAUGUAAGACGAUUGAAGUGCAAUGCUUUAUUGCACUUCCGUCUAACCAUUCCCUGCAACCAUCAACCUGCUCAUUUGUAGCAGUAAACACAUUUCGUUCAGUAGAUGCAAUUAAUAUGGCGACAUCGCGAACUACAUCAUGCAUAGAAAGCAACUCUUUCUUCUGGCUUAUAUGGUCAAGCAACAAACAAGAAUCUUUGAGCUGGUGUACCAAUGUAUGUACUCGAUUUCGUGCUGCUUCCAUCUUAUUCACACCUUGAAAUAAAGUCAAUCCCAUACCAAACAUUAACAGUUCGUCAAUAGAUGCUAUGGCUGUAUAUCCUAUUAGCAAAAAGAUGUUCUUCAGCUCCUCCCCUACCAAUUUGUCGUAACUCCACUUUAUGGCUUCAUAUGCAUCUGGCUGUACAUCCUUAAAAUUCGAUGAAGAAGGCCUUCCUAGUUUUUCCAAUGCAUCCUUCCAUUCCUGUAUGCUCUUGUUCCUUAAUGCCCUUGCAACCGUCACAAUGGAAAGUGGUAGACCUGCACAUCCCUUUGCCACACCCCUUGCUACCGAUUGGAAUUCACUGCCUUCAAAAUAAUCACCUGCCAUCUUCUUGAAUAGAUUCCAAGCUUCUUCUUCGUUUAAAACACCAAUUGAGAAAUUUGGUCGAGAAUCCAUCUUCCUAGACAAUACAUCUAGACUUCUGGCCGUCAGCAAUACUUUACAACCUUUAUGACCAUCUCCAUGAGGAAUUCCGACAACCCGCAAAUCAAGAUUUUCCCAAAUGUUGUCUAAAAUUAUCAGGAUCUUCUUCUCUGCUUCUAUACGUUUAAAUAAGCUGUUUGCCCUUCCUGAUUCACUUUCCUCAUGAAACUUCAGGCCUAAUUUAUCUGCUAUUUCUCCUUGAAUCUCUCGUAUGUUUUUAUUAUGGGAUACCUCAUCUCCUUGAAUCUUUCGUAUGUUUUGAUUACGGGAUACCUCAACAAGAACUACCUGAUAAAAGAGUUCACUCUUGACUUUCCUAGCAACUUCUUCCGCCAGCUUCGUCUUUCCGAUUCCGCCCAUUCCAUAAAUCCCAAGCAUGUUGACAUUGGGAUUUUUUAAUGCAUCCAUUAUGUCAUUCAGAAUGGGCGCUCUUGAUACAAAGGCCUCGUAGUCUUUGUUAGGGAUAAGCCGAAUAUCCUCUGCAGCAGUACGGUAGGAAAUUCUAUCAAAUCUUCUAGCGUCCCGGACUUUGACAAUAGCCUCUUUCAACGUCACUGCUUCCUUGCUAAGUCGACGGCGGGUCUUCAAAUUAGGACACAACCCCUUGAAACAACGCUUAUUUGCUGCGGCUUCAACUUCUGUAAAUUUAUCUGCCUCUUCAAUGACUUUGUUGGCCCCUUCAAGCCAACUCCUAACGUUCUCUUCAAUUUCUUCCCCGUUUCGUUCAGCCUCAUCAACCUGGUGCUUUGUACUCACCCUCUGAGACUUCAGAUUGUCAACUUCAGUCUUGAGAUUCUGUAAGUUGCUCGUGUACUUACUCUCACGCAAAUAGCUAAUGCGGCGAUAUGCGGGAGGAACCAAGCACUUCACAACUUCUACAACAAUAGUAAGAAUGAAUUCAGCCAUCUUCAGUCCUUUGUCCUUGUCUCUCUAUCUCUCUUUUUCUGAAUUUUUGAAAAACAAUUGACUACUUAGGAAGCACACUGAGUGAUUGAACACAAGUGACCACAACAAGAUGGAACAAAAUAAAAAGGAAAAAAAAUACAAAGAGUGGAAGGAGAAUAAAACAGAGACAGCGGCACAGCUGGACACAACUAGAUAGAGAACAGAGCAAAACCAAAUAACAAGACUUAAGAUUACAACAAACAGAGGCCAAGUAUUAUUGUUGAGAUCAGAAGAUGGAAAAUUCAAAAGAGUUGAUGGCAGAUGCUGAAUAACAAAACAACAAUGAACGCAAUAAGCAGAAGCAAAGUGUGUUUGAAUGCAAAGAAAGACUGAUGUUGAAAAUUGAUGUCAAUAGCGAAGGAAUAAUUGAACUUUCGCUGAAUUAUUGUUUGUGGCCUUCUUUUACUUUUUAUUUGUGGGUCAUGUCUUUUGGAACUAAUCAUCUUAGGUUAUGCCUUAUAGCUUUAAGGCCGGUAAACCGGUGUCCGUUGGAUUAGCAUAUAGAAAUCCAACGGUGGAUAUAUAUACUUGGAGAAUAAAAUUCAAGAGCUAAGGGAGUGCUGGGCUGCAGUUUCUUAAGGAGAUUUAUAUAUCCUCCUCAAAAAUAAAUGUUUUAAGGUAGAUAUUUAGACUAUUUCAUCAUAAAAUAAAUGUAAUUAGUUUUCAAUAAAUAUCUUAUAUAAAUAUUUAUUUAUUUUUUUAAUUACUAAUGACCUUUGAAUAUACAUAUAUACAUAUCCCUAGUUCAAAAAAUAAAUUGUGAUUAUUUGUUCAUGUAUGCGAUUACUUGUGAUGGGAAAUAAAAUAGAUAUGGUAUAUUUUGAAGUUAAAUUAAAAAAAAAAAAAACAGAGCUUUUACCAUUACUUGCCUUAUCAUCUUUUAAAUUAGAGUUAUUAUUCUUUUAUUUUUCAAGUUGCCAACUCAUCCGCAUUUUUUUUUUAUUGAAUUUGAAGAUCAAUGAUUAUAAAUGUGUGUAAAAAUUUUAAGUCAAAACUUUAAAUAAUCUUUAAGUUAUUGGGAAAUAAUAACUUAGUAUAACAAAUAUUAUAUCCUAUACUUUAUUGCUACAAAAUUACGAAACCUUAUAUUAUAUUAUGUUUCCAUAUUUCUCCUUUAUAGUGAAGACUCAUACUUCUUCUCUAUUAAAUGCUAAAGUAUUGGCUUAAAUUUUUUAACCAGCACAGUAGACCCUUAAGCUAUAUAUACUAUAAUGUCCCUCUUCUCUCAUAGAUUAAACCAAUCUGAUCUCGGAGUGAGUUGAUACCAUGACUUUGCAUAAUUCGUGAUCAAAGGAGUAUCAUUACUAACUAAUAUAGGCUCCAUCAAUAGGCAUGAUAAUAAUUUUUUUUAUAUACAAACACUGUUUUUCAAAAUAUUAUAUCUUAAGACUUAACUAAAUAUUUUGUAACUAUGUAGAUAUAGUUUGUUUGAUCUCUUUUAAAUAGUGGAGAUUACAAACAAACAUAUGCAAAUUAGUAGUGAUGUUGAGUUUAGAAGAUUGAAGUUAAGAAAAUUAAGGGUUUCUUGAUCUAGAGAAAUUUCAAAUGAGUGAAGUGUCCUUGAAAUCGGAAGACGAAAAUAAGGAAAGGGUAAGGGUGUAUUUUCAAAGUGAUUCUAUUACGAGAUUUUGAAGUAGGGGUGGGCAAGUCGGGUUUUGGUUCGGGUUGUUCAAGUUUCGAUUUGGAUUUCAACCCAAUCGGGUUUGAGAAUUGAAUCCAAUCGGGUUGAAAACGCCAACCCAAACUAAACCGAACCGAAUUUAAUUCAGCUUGGGUUCAUAAUUCGGAUUGGUAAUUCAGGUUAAAAUUUCGGUUCGGGUUAAUUUGGGUUAGAAUAAUUCCAUCUAAAAUUUUGGGUUAGUUCGGUUUAAAACAAAUUGAAACAAUUUAAUCCAAAAAUUAUACCAACAACCACUUAAAAUCCAAAAAUCUCAAUUCCAAACAUCCUUAACAACAAAUAUCAACUACAAACUAUCCUUGAUAACAUUUCAACAAUAACAAUAACAAUAAUAACAACAACAACAACAAUAAUAAUAAUAAUAACAACAACUAUGAAUCAGCAAUUCAGCAUAUUGCCAUAUUCUAAAUUUAAAAAAACACACAAAUUAUGUAAUUAAUUAAUUAACAAUCUCCAAUUUAAUUUAUAAUAACAACAAAAAUCCUCUCCAAUUUAAUUAAUAACAAUCUCGAAUUGUUCAAUUACCAGUCAACAACAACAAACCCACUCCAAAUAAUUGAACAAUUGUUAAUUAAUUAAUUAAAAAUAUCUAAUUUAAUUAAUAACAACACCCAAGAGCAAGUCAGCAAUAAACCCACUCAAAAAUCCAAAUAUCAGUAUAAAUUAAGUGUCAAACCUUGAUCGGUGGGAAGCUACAGCGUCGGCAAAUUGUGACCGUGUGGGGCUGAGUGAGACCGUCAACCGAGGGUGUGAGAAGGGAGGAGGGAGCAGGGAGGUAACGAGGUGUGUGUGAGUUUAUAUAUAUAUAUAUAUAUAUAAUUUUUAAAACCUAAAACUUAAAAAAAAAAUUUAACCCAAUCCAAACCGCCCACCUCAUAUUACUUCCGUUAAGAGAUGGAUCCCACACUCUUGAGCCUUUGUCGUCCCAGUCAACUAUAAAAACAAAUCAUUAUUGAGUGUGAAUAGACUUAUUGAUCACCCAAUUUUCAAACUUAUCAUCCUUAUUGUAUCUGCAUUCCCUUUUGAAAAUUUUUUAAAAAAGUACAAAUAAUGAAACAAAGUUUUGUUCCUUCAACAGUUGAUAGAGUUACGCGGCUUGGACUUGCAAGUGCUGUCGGCAUUUUCAAACUUGUAAGACCCUUCAACUUGCUUUCCAAGAUAGCUAUAAUUAAUAAUGACAACAGUCUCCCUCAUAGCGACUAGUGAGCAACUGAAAUUAACGGCAUCUUCUCUCGCAUUUUUAAAAAAAUUGAAUUAUAUAACCCACCAAAACUAUAAAGAAUUGUUAGUUUUUCUUCAUUAAAAUUAAUAUAUUGCUCCUCAUAUUGAAAAAUCAAAAUUCAGAAUAAGAAUGAUUGAUACUGUUUAUUUACUAAAAUGAAAAUAAAAUAUAUGAAGCCUACAUAUUUUUGAAAUUAAAAAACAAGAACUUGAUUUUCCUUGGGGAGUGUUGGAAAUCAAGUUCUUGUUAUUUAAACUCUCAAUUGUAUCUCACCGAAAUUUCAUAAUUCUACUUUUGUCUUCAAUUAAAAUAUUAUUAUAGUUAUUAUUCUUAUUUUUGUAGUUGUUGUUGUUGAUUAUGAUAAAUGGUCAGGCAAAUGAUUCAUUUACUUAUUUUUUUCCUUUUAAAUUUUUGUUAUUAAGAAGAUUUUUGGAUAUUUAGCGUGAAGGUCUCAACUGAUCGCUAAUUUCACAGCAACUUCCUUUUUUUUUUUUUCCCUCAAUUGUUUUGAAAAAAUAUCAAGACUCAUUCAGCAAAAUAUCCGAGGCCAAAGCGCCAAAAGAUGGGACAGCCACAUGCACUUCUAAUUACAAAAUCUAAAGUUAGGGUGUCCAUAACUUACAUUUAAUAUAAUUUAUAAUUAGGUAAAAUUCAUUCAUUGACCCAGUAAUUUUAUUAUCCUAUUACUUAUAUUUUUAUAUUAAAAAAUUAGUAAGUAGGAAAAUUCUUAAAAGAUAAUGAAGAAGGAAAAGAAAAAGAAAAAGUGUAAAUGAACUGUAUUCACAUAAGUUUCAAACAUGUGAUUCAAUCUGAAUUGGCUUUUUUCAAAAGUAAAUACAAAGGAAAAUAAAAAGAAAAAAGCAAUUAAACGAGACUAAAAUCUGUGGCCUGUGUCAUUCAUAUCUUUUGACAUUUCUUUUAUAGCGGUAUAAAGGGUAGAUAUUUUGAAGUGAAAAGCAAAGCCUUUACCAUUACUUGCCUUAUCAUCUUUUAAAUUAGAGUUAUUAUCCUUUUAUUUUUAAGUAGCCAAAUUAGAGUUAUCAUCCUUUUAUUUUUAAGUAGCCAACUCAUCCGCAUUAUCUAUUAUUGAAUCUAAAGAUAAAUGAUUAUAAAUUUCUCUGAAGAUUUUAAGUCCAAACUAUAAAUUAAAAUAAUCUUAUUGAUUAAGUUAUUGUAUAAUAAUAACCUUAGCAUGACAAAUAUUAAUUCUUCUCUAGUAAAUGCUAAAGUAUUGGCUUAAGUUUUUUAACCAGCACAGUAAAUCCUUAAAGCUAUAUAUGCUAUAAUGUCCCUCUUCCCUUACAAAUUAAACCAAUUUGAAUUUAGAGUGAGUGAGUACCAUGAGUUUGCAUCAUUUGAUAUCAAAGGAGCAUCAUUACUAACUAAUACAGGCUCGAUCGAAUUCAUCAUACGAAGCAUAUUAUCGGCUGUAGGUAUGGAAAUAAAUUUUGUAUCCACAAACACUAUUUUUCAAAAUAUUUAAGACUUAACUUAUCAUUUUUUAACCAUAUAUGCAUAGGUUGUUUGACCUAUUUUAAAUAAUGGAGAUUACAACAAAUGAACAGAUGUGGAUUAGUAGUGUUGUUGAGUUCAGAAGAUUGAAGUUAAGAAAAAGGUUUCUUGAUCCAGAGAAAAUUCAAAAGAGCGAAGUGUCUUCGAGAUCAGAAAACGAAAUAAGGAAAGGGUAAGGUUAUACUUUCAAAAUGAAUUUGUUGAGAGAUCUUUGAAGAUUAUUUUCAUUAACAAUUAGAUCCCACACUUGAGUCUUUGUCGUCUCAGUCAGUCAGUUAUAAAGACAAAUUAAUUUUGAGUAUGAAAGGACUUUCAAACUUGUGACCCUUCAAGCUUUCUAUGACAGCUAUAAUGAAUAAUUACAACAGUGCUACCUAAUAGUGAGCAACUUGUUUGAUGAAAUUAACAACUUCUUUUCUCUCAUGUAUUUUUAAAAAAUUGAAUUAUCAAAGCUUUUAUUUCAAAAUUAGUGCUAUAGUUCAUUAAUUUUGAAAAAUUUUCUUUUUUCUUUCCACACAACAGAUUGAUUUGCCCUCCAAAAACUGUAUUAGAUUGUUUAAUAUUGUAACUUCAAAAAACUUAUAAUAAAUUUUUAAAGAGAUAAAUAGGGAAUGUCAGUCUCCCAUCUACUCAAAAUUAAUAUAUAUCAUUAACUCUUGAUUAUUUUUAUAACAACUAAUAACUUUCUGGGCAGCAUAAUUUUACAGUAUCAUCCUUGUUUGUAAGUAUAUUUUUAUUCACAUUUAUUAUAAAUUAAUUAAGUCAUAUCAAUGAAAAUUGAAAUAGAAAUUGAAGUACUAAAAAAAAUGUUUUGGUGUGAAUAAAAAAUUGAAAAUAAAAAUAUUUUUAUUAUAUUUUUUAUUUUUAAAUGGUUUUCUUAUAAUAAAUAUAUAUUUUAUAUUCUCAAAUUGAAUUAUUGAGUAAAUGACUCAUUUACUCACUUUUUCUUUUAAUUUUGUUAUUAGGAGGAUUUUUAGAUAUAAUGAAAAUUGUAAGGUAGUAAGUAAUAUAAAAUAAUUUUAAUAGAGAAAAAUAAAAAAUCUGUAAUUUUAAAAUAUAAGGAGAAAAAUAAUUAAUUUCAAGAUAUUUUAGAAGAUAUUUCAAUAUGCGGUGGACUAUAAACUCGAGUCUUUGUCGUCACAGUCAACUAAAAGGACAAAAUAUUGAGUGCGAAGGGCUCAACUGAUUGCUAAUUUCACAGUAAUUGCGUUUUUUCUUUCUUUUUUUUAAUUAUUGGGAAAUAAUAACUUAGUAUAACAAAUAUUAGAUCCUAUACUUUAAUGCUGCAAAAUUAUGAAACCUUAUAUUAUAUUAUGUUUCCAUAUUUCUCCUUUAUAGUGAAGACUCACACACUUCUUCUGUAGUAAAUGCUAAAGUAUUGGCCUAAACUUUUUAACCAGCACAAUAAACCCUUAAGUUAUAUAUGCUAUAAUGUACCUCUUCCCUCACAGAUUAAACCAAUCUGAUCUCAGAGUGAGUUUGCAUCGAAGGAGUAUCCUUACUAACUAAUAUAGGCUCGAUCAAUAGGGAUGACAAUAAUUUUUUUAUCUACGAACAUUAUUUUUUCAAAAUAUUAUAUCUUUAGACUUAACUAAAUAUUUUUUUAAUCAUGUAUGUAUAGUUUGUUUGAUCUCUUUUAAAUAGUGGAGAUCACAACAAAGCAAAUGCUAAUUAGUAGUGAUGUUGAGUUCAGAAGAUUGAAGUAAUGAAAAUUAAGGGUUUCUUGAUCCAGAGAAAUUUCAAAAGAGUGAAGCGAAAAGUGAAUUUAUUGAGAGAUCUUUAAAGAUUUACUUCCAUUAAGGGUUGGAUGCCACACUUUUUGAGCCUUUGUCGUCCCAAUCAUUCAAUUAUAGGAUCCCUAAGCAUAUAACUUACAAUCCUUUCACAUAAAUAAUGAGUAGUGUGAAUCCAUACAACUUACAACCUUCUCACAUAAAUAAUGAGUAGUGUGAAUCCAUACAACUUACAACCUUCUCACAUAAAUAGUGAGUAAAUCUAAACUACUCACUAUUCAUGUAAAAAAAUUAUAAAUUACAUACAUGUAACUUAGCAUUAUUCUCCACUAUAAAGACAUAUUCUUAUUGAGGGUGAAUAGGCAUAUUGAUCACUAAAUUUUCAAACUUGUGAUCCUCAUUAAAUGUGAUUCCCCUUUGAAAAAGAAAAAAAAGUGCAAAUAAUGAAACAAAAUUAUGUUCCUUAGCAGCAAGUGGCGUCGGCAUUUUCAGACUUGUAAAAGGGAAUGAGAUCCUUUCCUGAACCCGGAUCUCAUUCCCUGUGAAACAAAAAAAGGUGCAAAUAAUGAAACAAAAUUCUGUUCCUUAGCAGCAAGUGGCGUCGGCAUUUUCAGACUUGUAAAAGGGAAUGAGAUCCUUUCCUGAACCCGGAUCUCAUUCCCUGUGAAACAAAAAAAGGUGCAAAUAAUGGAACAAAAUUUUGUUCCUUAACAGCAAGUGGUGUCGGCAUUUUCAGACUUGUAACAAGGGAAUGAGAUCCUCUCCUGAACCGGGAUCUCAUUCCCUGUGACAAGACCCUUGCCACCCUUCAACUCGCUUUCCAAGAUAGCUAUAUUAAUCGUGACAACAUUACUCUCAGUGAGCAAAAGUUAACAUCAUCUUCUCCCUAUUUUUUUAAAAAAUUGUAUUAUAUAGCCCACCAAAACUAUAAAGAGUCUUUUCUUAUUAAAAUUAAUAAAUUACUCUUUAUAUUAAAAAAUUAAAAUUCAAAAUGAAAAUGAUCUGAUGUUUAUUUAUUAAAAUAUAAAUAAAAUAUAUGAAGUUCAUAUUUUUUUAAAUUAAAAAAUAAGAACCUAAUUUCAUUCCUUAAAUUCCCAAAUUUACCUCACAAAAAUUCCAUAAACUUACUUUUGUCCUUAAUUAAAAUAUUAUUAUGUUAUUAUUAUGGUUAUUAUUCUUAUUUUUGUAAUAGUUGUUGUUGUUGAUGAUGAUAAUACAUAUAAUAAAAUUAAUAAUAAUAAAAAUAAUAACUAUAAUUUUAACAACAGCAAUAAUAAUCAUUAAUAUUAUUGUUGUUGUUGUUGUUGUUGUUGUUGUUCUUCUUCUUCUUCUUCUUCUUCUUCUUCUUCUUCUUCUUCUUCUUCUUCUUCUUCUUCUUAUUAUUAUUAUUAUUAUUAUUAUUAUUAUUACUAUCCUAUUAUAAUAAUAUUAUUAAAUAAUUAUUUUGAAUAAUAAUAAUCACAAUUAUUAUAACAAACGACAAAAAUCAACUAAGGUAAUUUUAAUAACUUGUAAGAAUUCAUUUUUAUUCAUGGAUAUGUGAUUAUUUGUUAAUGUAUGCAAUUACUUGUGAUGGUAAACAAAGUAUAUAUGGUAUAUUUUCAAGUUAAAAAAGAAAAACAAAACAAAGUUUUUACCAUUUCUUGCCUUAUCAUCUUUUAAAUUAGAGUUAUUAUUCUUUUUAUUUUUCAAGUUGCCAACUCAUCCGCAUUCUCUUUUAUUGAAUUUGAAGAUCGAUGAUCAUAAAUUUGUGUGAAAAUUUUAAGUAAAAAUUUUAAAUUAAAAUAAUCUUUUAAGUUAUUGGGAAAUAAUAACUUAGUAUAACAAAUAUUAUAUCCUAUACUUUAUUGCCACAAAACUACAAAACCAUAUAUUAUAUUAUGUUUUCAUAUUUCUCCUUUAUAGUGUGAAGACUCAUACUUCUUCUCUAGUAAAUGCUAAAGUAUUGGCUUAAACUUUUUAACCAGCACAGUAGACCCUUAAGUUAUAUAUGUUAUAAUGUCCCUCUUCGCUCACAGAUUAAACCAAUCAGUAGCCUUCUCUCAUAUAGAAAAACUUUUUGUAUAAGACAAAUUAUUAUGUUAUCGGAAAAAUUACAGUAGACGUAAGCUAUAUAUGUUAUAAUGUUCAGAAGAUUGAAGUUAAGAAAAUUAAGGAAAGGGUAAGGAUGUAUUUUCAAAGUGAAUUAUUAAGAGAUCUUUGAAGAUUACUUCCGUCAAGAGUUGGGUCCCACACUUUUACCUUUUGCUCGUUCCCGUGAAAGUCAGUUUAGAAUUUUUAUCUUAUUUCACAAAGCUAAUUUUUUAUCACAAGCAGGAGAGAAACGGCAUUUCUUAGCAGUAGUUCAUCACUGUAGUAGCGAGCGAGUGAGGAACAAAAUUGCCAACAAUUAUCAAAAAAUAAUUAUAUAAAAAAGAUCACAUGCUAUAAUUAAUCAUGACAAUUGACAACAUUACUCCCACCGAGCAAAAGUUAACAGCAUCUUCUCCCACAUUUUUUAAAAAAAAUUGUAUUAUAUAACCCACCAAAAGUAUAAAGCGUCUUUCCUUAUUAAAAUUAAUAAGUUACUCUUUAUAUUGAGAAAUUAAAAUUUAAAAUGAGAGUGAUUAAUGAUGUUUAUUUAUUAAAAAUAAAAUAAAAUUUAUGAAGUCUAUAUAUUUUUUAAAUUAAAAAAUAAUAACUUAAUUUCUUAUAGGGAGUGUUGGAAAUCAAGUUUUUAUUUCUUAAAUAUCCAAUUUUACUUCACAAAAAUUUUAUAAGUUCACUUUUAUCCUUAAUUAAAAUAUUAUUAUGGUUAUUAUUCUUAUUUUUGUAGUAGCUGCUGUUGUUAUUGUUGUUGUUGUUGUUGAUGAUGAUGAUAAUAGUUGAUAAUAAAAUUAAUAAUAAUAAUGAAAAUAAUAACUAUAAUUUUAACAGCUACAAUAAUAAUCAUUAAUGUUAUCGUUGUUCUUAUUAUUAUUAUUAAAAAAUAAUUAUUUUGAAUAAUAAUAAUCACAAUUAUUAUAACAAACAACGACAAUAAUCAACUAAUGUCAUUUUUCUAACUUAUAACAAUUCAUUUUUUAUUCCAAGACAAACUAACCAUAUCAAUAAUAAUACAGGUCGUUUCGAUUCUAAUUUUUACAGGUAAAGUAAAUAAUUUAUUCUGAUUCUCAUUUUUUAUUUUGAUUUUAUUCUAUUCCGAUUCCAUUUGAUUAUGAUUCCAGCCAAUUCUAAUUAUCGAUUAGAAAAUGCAUUGUUACUACUUUAACAAUAACUAAUGAUUCUCCUCACAAUUCUUAUAGGAUUAUCCUUAUUUUAAAAUAUUUUUUAUUCGUAUUUAUUAUUAAUUAAUUAAAUUAUAUCAAUGAAAAUCAAAUAAAAAUUUAACUAAUAAAAAUGAGAAAAUAUAUGUUUCGGUUUGAAUAAAAAAUUAUAAUAAAAUAUUUUUCUUACAUACUUUAAAUAUUUUUAUUAUAAUAAAUAUUUUUUUAUUCUCAAAAUAAAUUAUCAAGUAAACGAUUCAUUAACUCAUUUUUUUCCUUUAAAUUUUUGUUAUUAAGAAGAUUUUUGGGUAUUGACCGUGAAGGGCUCAACUGAUCGCUAAUUUUGCAGCAAUUACCUUUUCUUUUUCUUUUUUUUUAAUUGUUUUGAAAAAAUAUCCAGACUCAUUCUGCAAAGUACCUGAGACUAGAGCUGGCAAAAUUUGACACGACCCGAUUACCCGACACGAACACGACAUAAAUAAAUGGGUAUGGGUCGUCAAAUUUAACACGAUUAUUAAAUGGGUCGGGUCCGGGUCAACACGAUUUUUUUCCGUGUCGGGUUUGGGUUAAAAUUCUUGACCCAUUUACCCGAUCAAUGACCCGAUUAUAUUUUCUAUUUUAAAAUAAUUUAUAUAUUCUUAUAAUUAAAACUCAAAUAUUAGAGAUGAUUUUCUUUUUUUUUUUAUUUUUUAAAAGGGUGAAUAUAAACACAGUGUUUUAUUUAUAAAAUUUUACAUACAUUUAGAGCUUCAAUAGUGUAAAUGUGUAAAAAUUGAUAGACAUGUAUAUUUUAUAAUAUUGAUAUAUAAUAUUAUAUAUAUAUAUAUAUAUAUAUAUAUAUAUAUAUAUAUAUAUAUAUAUAUAUUAAAACUUCAAUAGUAUAAAUGUAUAAUAUAUUGGUAGAUAUAUAUAUUUUAUAAUAUUGAUAAAUUAUGUAUGUAUGUAUGUAUGUAUGUAUGUAUGUAUGUAUGUAUGUAUGUAUGUAUUUAUGUACAUACGUAUGUAUGAUAGUGUGUAAAUAUUUUAUGUAACUUUUGUUCAAUAUAUAGAUAUUAAACGGGUUAUUGGGUAACCCGAUUAUUUUUCCGUGUCGGGUUUGAGUCUCAAUAUUUUGACACGAUUAUUAAAUGGGUCGGGUUUGGGUCGAUCUAAAUUUGACACGACACGAAACUGACACGAUACGAACACGAUCCGAUGACCCGUUUUGCCAGCUCUACCUGAGACCAAAGCGCCGGCCAAAGCGCCGAAAGAUAGGACACCCACAUGUGCUUUUAUUUACAAAAUCUAAAGUUAGGGUGGGUGUCCAUAACUUAAAUUUAAUAGAAUUUAUAAUUAGGUAAAAUUCUUUGAUUGACCCAUUAACUUUUAUUAUUUUAUUAUUUAUUUUUAUAUUAAAAAAUUAGUAAUGUAGAAAAAUUCUUAAAAGUUAAUGGAGAAGGAAAAGAAAAAGAAAAAGUGUAAAUGAACUGUAUUCAUUUAAGUUUCAAACAUGUGGUUCAAUCUGAAUUCGUUUUUUUUAAAAGUAAAUACAAAAGAAAAUAUAAAGAAAAAAAAUUAAACGAGACAAAAAUCAGUGGCGUGGGUCAUUCAUAUCUUUUUCCAUUUUUUUUUAAUAGAGGUACAUAGCAUAGAGUCGAUAUUUUGAAGUGAAAAGCAGAACCUUUACUGUUGCUUCCCUUAUCAUCUUUUAAAAUUAGAGUUAUUAUUCUUUUAUUUUUAAGUGGCCAACGGAUGGUAGCCAACUCAUCCGUGUUCUCUAUUAUUGAAUUUAAAGAUCAAGGAUUUAUGUUAAUAAAUAUUUUGUUAACUAUCAAAGUUUUUAUUUCAAAAUUACUCCUAUAAUUCAUUAAAUUUUCAAUUUUUCCUUUUUCUAUUCACACAACAGAUUGAUUUGCCCUCCAAAAAAAUGUAUUAGAUUGUUUAAUAUUGUAACAUCAAGAAACUUAUAAUAAAUUUUUAAAGAGAUAAAUAGAGAAUGUCAGCAUCUACUCAAAAUUAAUAAAUAUACCACUAACUUCUUAUUAUUUUUAUAAUAACUAAUAACUUUUUUACCAGUAUAAUUUUAUAGUAUUAUUCUUAUUUGUAAGUAUAUUUUUUAUUCAUAUUUAUUAUAAAUUAAUUAAAUCAUAUCAAUAAAAAUUAAAAUAACACAAUAUGUUUUGGAGUGAAUAAAAGAUUGAAAAUAAAAAUAUUUUUCUUUUAUUUUUUGUUAUUUUAAAAUUUUUUUCUUAUAAUAAAUGUAUAUUUUAUAUUCUUAAGAUGAAUUUUGAGUAAAUGACUCAUUUACUCACUUUUUCUUUAAAUUUUUGUUAGUAGGAGGAUUUUUAGAUAUAAUGAAAAUUGUAAGGUAGUAAGUAAUAAUAUAAUAAUUUUAAUAAAGAAAAAUAAUUAAUUUCAAGACAUUUCAGAAGAUAUUUCAAUAUGCGGUGGACUACAUCCUUGAGUUGAGUCUUCAUCGUCUCAGUCAACUAAAAGGACAAAAUAUUGAGUCACAAAGGACUCAACUGAUUGUUAAUUUCACACCAAUUACCUUUUUUUUCUUUUUUUUUUCUUAAUCUAUAUAUUUAUAUAAAGUUAGUACUUGAGAAUGUGAUGUAUCAUCACCAUUUUUUUUUAUUUAAUAAAUAGAGAAAUUUUCUUUUAAAUUUGACUUUUCAUUUUCUCAUAAUUAAUUUGAUUGCUAUUGCACAAUAACAAUUAUGUAAAGAUUUUAAUGAGGCAUAUUAUUUGUAAUGAACAUUUAAGAGAGAGUGUUAUUUGUAAUGAACAUCUAAGGGAGAGUGUUAUGAAUUUAUUAAAAUAAAUAUAUAUUUUCAUAAUAUAUAUCUCUUAGUCUCCCCACUAUCUCCCAUUAGCAACCUUUAGCUUCCUUAUAACUCCCACUAUUUUUAUAAAUCCACCCACCUUCAUAAAAUAAUUACAAUAAGUUCACAUUAUUUUAUAGAAUUACAAAUUAAUAAUAAGUUUGAAUAAUUAAUUAAUUAAAUCAUUCUUAUAAUUUUUUUUCUUUCUUUGUCUUUCAACAAUCUUUAAUAAUUUAAGGUUGCUUUAAGAUAAGUUUAAUUUAAUUAAUUUACCCUUAUAAUAUAAAAUAACAAAAUUACCCUAAGAAAUAUAUAUUAUUGUAACUAAUUGUUUAGGCAUUUAGUUUUAUGUUUUAUAAUCUAAUAUGCUUUAUAUAAAAUUUAAUAAUUUUCAAUACUCCAAAUGUCCUAAUUACAUCUUGUUAGUUUAGUGAAAUAUUAAUAAUUAUACUAAAAAAGCAUUACUUAUACAUCAUUAAAAUAUAAAAAAAAUUAUUAAGUUAAAGUAAACUUUUAGAUAUUUUUGUUACUUUUACCUUAUAAGGUUAGAAUAAUUAUAUUAAUUUAUGUUAAAACAACCUUAUUGAUCAAAUAUAAUUAAAAAAAUAGUCUCAUAAAAAAAUUAAUGAAUAUGGAUUUAAUUGGUUAAAUUUUUAAAUUUCUUCUUAAUUUGAAUUUUUAAAAAAUAAUGUGUACUUGUAGUAAUGAUUUUUUAAAAUUGGGGUGGGUUAUUAUUGAUGACCUUUGAACAUACAUACAUAUUAUUAAUAUAUUUAUUAAUAUAUACGAUUACUUGUGAUGGUAAACGAGGUAGAUAUGGUAUAUUUUUAAGUUAAAAAAAAAAAACAAAACUUUUACCAUUUCCUGCCUUAUCAUCUUUUAAAUUAGACUUAUUAUUAUUUUAUUUUUCAAGUUGCAACUCAUCCUCAUUCUCUUUUAUUGAAUUUGACGAUCAAUGAUUAUAAAUUUGUGUGAAAAUUUUAAAUCAAAGUUUUAAAAUAAAAUAAUCUUUAAGUUAUUGAGAAAUAAUAACUUAAUAUAACAAAUAUUAUAUCUUGUACUUUAUUGCUACAAAAUUACGAAACCUUAUAUUAUAUUAUGUUUCCAUAUUUCUCCUUUAUAGUGAAAACCCAUACUUCUUCUCUAGUAAAUGCUAAAGUAUUGGGUUAAACUUUUUAACCAGCACAGUAGACCCUUAAGCUAUAUAUGUUAUAAUGUCCCUCUUCCCUCAGGAUUAAACCAAUCUGAUCUCAGAGUGAGUUUGCAUUAUUUGUCAUCAAAGGAGCAUCAUUACUAACUAAUAUAGACUCGAUCAAUAGGUAUGACAAUAAAUUUUCUGUCUACGAACACUAUUUUUUAAAAUAUUAUAUCUUUAGACUUAACUAAAUAUUUUUUAAUCAUAUAUGUAUAGUUUGUUUGAUCUCUUUUAAAUAGUGGAGAUCACAACAAAGCAAAUUCGAAUUAGUAGUGAUGUUGAGUUCAGAAGAUUGAAGUAAAGAAAACUAAGGGUUUCUUGAUCCAGAGAAAUUUCAAAAGAGUGAAGCGAAAAGUGAAUUUAUUGAGAGAUCUUUGAAGAUUUACUUCCGUUAAGAGUUGGAUGCCACACUUUUUGAGCCUUUGUCGUCCCAAUCAUUCAAUUAUAGGAUCCUUAAGUAUAUAACUUUCAAUCUUUUCACAUAAAUAAUGAGUAGUGUGAAUUCAUACAACUUAUAACUUUCUCACAUACAAUUUACAACAUUCUCACAUAAAUAGUGAGUAAAUCUAAACUACUCACUAUUCAUGUAAAAAAAUUAUAAAUUAUAUAUAACUUAGCAUUAUUCUCCACUAUAAAGACAUAUUCUUAUUAAGUGUGAACAGACAUAUUGAUCACUAAAUUUCCAAACUUGUGAUCCUCAUUAAAUGUGAUUCCCCUUUGAAAAAGAAAAAAAAGUGCAAAUAAUGAAACAAAAUUAUGUUCCUUAGCAGCAAGUGGCGUCGGCAUUUUCAGACUUGUAAAAGGGAAUGAGAUCCUUUCCUGAACCCGGAUCUCAUUCCCUGUGAAACAAAAAAAGGUGCAAAUAAUGAAACAAAAUUCUGUUCCUUAGCAGCAAGUGGCGUCGGCAUUUUCAGACUUGUAAAAGGGAAUGAGAUCCUUUCCUGAACCCGGAUCUCAUUCCCUGUGAAACAAAAAAAGGUGCAAAUAAUGGAACAAAAUUUUGUUCCUUAACAGCAAGUGGUGUCGGCAUUUUCAGACUUGUAACAAGGGAAUGAGAUCCUCUCCUGAACCGGGAUCUCAUUCCCUGUGACAAGACCCUUGCCACCCUUCAACUCGCUUUCCAAGAUAGCUAUAUUAAUCGUGACAACAUUACUCUCAGUGAGCAAAAGUUAACAGCAUCUUCUCCCUAUUUUUUUAAAAAAUUGUAUUAUAUAGCCCACCAAAACUAUAAAGAGUCUUUUCUUAUUAAAAUUAAUAAAUUACUCUUUAUAUUAAAAAAUUAAAAUUCAAAAUGAAAAUGAUCUGAUGUUUAUUUAUUAAAAUAUAAAUAAAAUAUAUGAAGUUCAUAUUUUUUUAAAUUAAAAAAUAAGAACCUAAUUUCAUUCCUUAAAUUCCCAAAUUUACCUCACAAAAAUUCCAUAAACUUACUUUUGUCCUUAAUUAAAAUAUUAUUAUGUUAUUAUUCUUAUUUUUGUAAUAGUUGUUGUUGUUGAUGAUGAUAAUACAUAUAAUAAAAUUAAUAAUAAUAAAAAUAAUAACUAUAAUUUUAACAACAGCAAUAAUAAUCAUUAAUAUUAUUGUUGUUGUUCUUGUUGUUGUUGUUGUUGUUCUUCUUCUUAUUAUUAUUAAUAUUAUCAUCCUAUUAUAUUAUUAUUAUUAAAUAAUUAUUUUGAAUAAUAAUAAUCACAAUUAUUAUAACAAACGACAAUAAUCAACUAAGGUAAUUUUAAUAACUUGUAACGAUUAAUUUUUAUUCAAAGAUAUGUGAUUAUUUGUUAAUGUAUGCAAUUACUUGUGAUGGUAAACAAAGUAUAUAUGGUAUAUUUUCAAGUUAAAAAAGAAAAACAAAACAGAGUUUUUACUAUUUCUUGCCUUAUCAUCUUUUAAAUUAGAGUUAUUAUUCUUUUUAUUUUUCAAGUUGCCAACUCAUCCGCAUGCUCUUUUAUUGAAUUUGAAGAUCGAUGAUGAUAAAUUUGUGUGAAAAUUUUAAGUCAAAGUUUUAAAUUAAAAUAAUCUUUAAAUUAUUGGAAAAUAAUAACUUAGUUGUAAUAAAUAUUAUAUUCUAUACUUUAUUGCUACAAAAUUACGAAACCAUAUAUUAUAUUAUGUUUUCAUAUUUCUCCUCUAUAGUGAAGACUCAUACUUCAACUUUUUAACUAGUACAGUAGACCUUUAAGCUAUAAAUGUUAUAAUGUCCCUCUUCGCUCACAGAUUAAAACAAUCUGUAGCCUUCUCUCAUAUAGAAAAACUUUUUGUAUAAGACAAAUUAUUAUGUUAUAGGAAAAAUUACAGCAGACGUAAGCCAUAUAUGUUAUAAUGUUCAGAAGAUUGAAGUUAAGAAAAUUAAGGAAAGUGUAAGGAUGUAUUUUCAAAGUGAAUUAUUAAGAGAUCUUUGAAGAUUACUUCCGUCAAGAGUUGGGUCCCACACUCUUAAGCUUUUUUCGUCUCAAUCAACUAACAAGACAAAUUAUUAUUGGGUGUGAACAGUCCGGCUUAUUGAUUGUUAAAAAAAUAGCAUUAUUUUGAGCGCACAUGUUGAGUAAGUCUUAUUUAACGAAAGUGAAAAAUAAGGUUCAAAUUUUAUUUUAUUGAUAUUUUAAUAAUAUUUUUUUUUAUUUUUUUAAAAUGGUGUUUAGGUAAAUAAGAAAUUAUUUAUUAAAAUUCAUUUUUAAAGUUAAAAAUUUAAAAAGAAAUGAGGUUUAUCCCACAUGAAAAAAAGAAGCUUAAGAAUUAGUAUUUAUAUAUAAACAUUUAACCAUUCAUAAAUAAGAAUUAUAGGAAUAGAGACUCUUUUCACACAUACGUGCGUAAGGGGUACAAAUUCAAGACGAAUUUAGUUGAACUCGUGUGCACCUGCAUAUCCUGAGAACGCAAAUGUCGGUGAUAAAUUUGUUUUAAAGAUUCUACUCUGUGUAGGCCUCGGUUCCAUUUUAUUUUUUCUGUUUCGGUUUUCAUCUCUCUUCGGUUUUGCUUUCUAUUAUUUCAUUUCAAAUUUCAGUAGUUAUCUUUCGUUGCUUAGCUACUGUUUAAUUUGUUACCUCACCGUUUGUUUUAUCUAACAUUGAUCACCAAAUUUUCAAACUCGUGAUCCUGAUUGAAUCUGCGUUCCCCUUUGCAAAAGUAAUAAAAAAAAGUGCAAAUAAUGAAGACUUUCUCUUUUCACAUUUUUUACGCGUUUCUCUUUUCUCUCCCCCACGUGAACACUUUUGCCUUUUGCUCGUUCACGUGAACGUCAUUUUAGAAUUUUUAUCUUUAUUAAUCAUGACAAUUGACAACAUUACUCCCACAUUUUUUUUAAAAAAAUUGGAUUAUAUAACCCACCAAAAGUAUAAAAAGUAUUUUCUUAUUAAAAUUAAUAAAUUACUCUUUAUAUUAAAAAAUUAAAAUUUAAAAUAAAGAAUGAUUGAUGAUGUUCAUUUAUUAAAAUAAAAAUAAAUUUUAUGAAGUCUAUAUAUUUUUAAAAUUAAAAAAUAAGAACUUAAUUUCGUAUGAACUGUAUUCACUACUUAGUAUUCUUAAAAGUUAACGGAGAAGAAAAAGAAAAAAAAAAGUGUAAAUGAACUGUAUUCACCUAAGUUUCAAACAUGUGGCUCAAUCUGAAUUCGCUUUUUUCAAAAGUAAAUACAAAAGAAAAUAUAAAGAAAAAAAAUUAAACGAGACAAAAAUCUGUGGCGUGGGUCAUUCAUAUCUUUUUCCAUUUCUUUUGUAGAGGUACAUAGGGUAGAUAUUUUGAAGUGAAAAGCAGAGCCUUUACUGUUGUUUGCCUUAUCAUCUUUUAAAAUUGGAGUUAUUAUUCUUUUAUUUUUAAGGAUGGUAGCCAACUCAUCCGUGUUCUCUAUUAUUGAAUUUAAAGAUCAAUGAUUUAUGUUAAUAAAUUUUUUGUUAACUAUCAAAGUUUUUAUUUCAAAAUUACUGCUAUAAUUCAUUAAUUUUUCAAUUUUUCCUUUUUCUAUUCACACAACAGAUUGAUUUGUCCUCCAAAAAAAUGUAAUAGGUCGUUUAAUAUUGUAACAUCAAGAAACUUAUAAUAAAUUUUUAAAGAGAUAAAUAGAGAAUGUCAGUCUCGCAUCUACUCAAAAUUAAUAAAUAUACCACUAACUUCUUAUUAUUUUUAUAAUAACUAAUAACUUUUUUAGCAUUAUAAUUUUAUAGUAUUAUCCUUGUUUGUAAGUACAUUUUUUAUUCAUAUUUUUUAUAAAUUAAUUAAAUCAUAUCAAUAAAAAUUAAAAUAACACAAUAAGUUUUGGAGUGAAUAAAAGAUUGAAAAUAAAAAUAUUUUUCUUAUAUUUUUUGUUAUUUUUAAAUGUUUUUCAUAUAAUAAAUGUACAUUUUAUAUUCUUAAGAUGAAUUUUGAGUAAAUGACUCAUUUACUCAUUUUUUUUCUUUAAAUUUUUGUUACUAGGAGGAUUUUUAGAUAUAAUGAAAAUUGUAAGGUAGUAAGUAAUAUAUAAUAAUUUUAAUAGAGAAAAAUAAAAAAUCUCUUAUUUUAAAAUAUAAGGAGAAAAAUAAUUAAUUUUAAAAAAUUUUAGAAGAUAUUUCAAUAUGCUGUGGAUCACACCCUCGAAUCUUUGUCGUCUUAGUCAAUUAAAAGGACAGAAUAUUGAGUGUGAAGACUCAACUGAUUGUUAAUUUCACAGCAAUUGUCUUUUUUUUAUUCUUUCUUUGUUUUUCCUAAUUAUUUUGAAAUAGUAGGUAGCAAUUGCUUACAUCAAAAUAUCUAAACUCACUCAGCAAAGUAUCCGAGGCCAAAAUGUCAAAACGUGGGACACCCAUACAUCUAAUUACAAAGUCUAAAGUUAAUGAAAAGAAAAAAAGAAAAAGUAUAAAUGAACGGUAAUCACCUCAUUUUCAAACAUCUAAUUCAACAUGAAUUUCUUUUUACGAAAAGUAAAUUUUCUCCCGGAUUGUCCUCAUUACAUUAAACGAAUGAUGACGACGCUCUGUCCGUUUCUGACUCUCUGCUUUGCUCUCUCACAUCACGAGACACCUCGUUUCUAACUGGGGUACCACCAUCAUAUUUAACUGUCGGGUCUUCCUACUAUGCACCUAGUGUAUGCAUGAUUCUUUGUGACAUGACAUAUAGCCAAUUAAAUUCUGACAUGCUUGCAAUAAAGACUGUUAAAGUGACCGGUUAUUCCGGUUGAUUUCACAAGAUCUUUUGUUUGUGUGUUUGUGUUCCAAGUUGUGUACUCUAUGUUACGACUCCUCUGAUUUUUUUUUUUUUAAGUCUGUUAUACAGAGAUAUUACUGACAUUACAUCAAACAUUACAAUUAAUAUUUACAAUCAUACUAUAUAACUGGGACCACCACCAUACAUUGACACACUGAAGUAUAUGCCCAGAUAUUUUAAACCCUCGAAUUAUACACAGAUAUUACUGACAUUACAUCAGAUAUUACAAUUAAUAUUUACAAUCAUACUAUAUAACUGGGACCACCACCAUACAUUGACACACUGAAGUAUAUGCCCAUAUAUUUUAAACCCUCGAAUUAUACACAGAUAUUACUGACAUUACAUCAGACAUUACAAUUAAUAUUUACAAUCAUACUAUAUAACUGGGACCACCACCAUAACAUUACAAUUAAUAUUUACAAUCAUACUAUAUAACUGGGACCACCACCAUACAUUGACACACUGAAGUAUAUGCCCAGAUAUUUUAAACCCUCGAAUUAUACACAGAUAUUACUGACAUUACAUCAGAUAUUACAAUUAAUAUUUACAAUCAUACUAUAUAACUGGGACCACCACCAUACAUUGACACACUGAAGUAUAUGCCCAUAUAUUUUAAACCCUCGAAUUAUACACAGAUAUUACUGACAUUACAUCAGACAUUACAAUUAAUAUUUACAAUCAUACUAUAUAACUGGGACCACCACCAUACAUUGACACACUGAAUAUCAGACAUUACAAUUAAUAUUUACAAUCAUACUAUAUAACUAGGACCACCACCAUACAUUGACACACUGAAGUAUAUGCCCAGAUAUUUUAAACUCUCUCUAAUAUUCGAGGGGUGCCUGCUCCACUCACAUUUCGUAAGGGAGAGACUGUCUCCAUUCAAUUAAUUAAUAAUUGAGGAAGAACUGAAACUAACCUCUAUAAUGCUCUUAUGGAGGCUCGAACCCUUGCACUCAACAUUAUAAGUACAAGGCUUCUCCCAUUGGACCAAAGGCCUAUUGGUAUGAGUUCUCUGAUUAAGUCUGAUAUUAUCUGUUGCUCAAUAAUGUUACAGGUUUUAUAAUAUGACUGGUACGAUCGCUGUCACAAAUUUAGAACGAAAAGUUUCCAAUAAAAUAAGUUAUUUAAUUAAUUAAAUAAGAAUAAAAUGAAUUUGUGAAAAAAAUUUAAAUUUAAUUUUGAAUUAUUUUGACCAAAAUUUAAGUUUUUUUUAAUUUGUUUAAGAAAAUGUGUUGUAAUUGUCUUGUUUUAAUUGGAAAAUCAAUGAAAAAAUUAUGUAACAGACAAAAAAAAAAAAAAAAAAAAGCAAAACGGUUUGUUUUGUAUGGAGGCCAUAGAUUCUAAUAUUUCCUUCACGAAAACUACAAAAAAAUUAUCAAAGGCAUCAAUUUCUACACUCUCACCGAGCAAUACUCUUAACCCAGAAGAAAGUGUAUAAACCAACCCCAAUCAGUCCAUCAAUGUCGUCAACCUCAUACAGCAUAAAAAAAAAUCUGUGUCCAUUAAACCGCCAUUUAAACCGUCUUUAUUGAACCAUUAGACUAUUCGUGUCAUCUUCCCAUCUCGUUGUAGUAUUUUACCUUUCAAAUUUAGUUAUCAAUUCUGGAAAAUGGGACCAAUCUGCAAGUCUUUAAAAUAGAAAGAAACUUUAAUUGGGCACUAUGUUCACGGUAGUGGACCCAGCAGCAUUAAUAUUUAGGGUGGAGCUAUUUAUAUUUUAAACAUUCUAAUUUUAAUAAGAAUAUAUAUUACAAAUGAUCACGACAUUGGGGACCAAUCACGUUGACAAGCAUUUUUUUUAUUUAUUAAUAAAGUGCUCUGAAAAGAGCUAAGGCAAUACUAAACGGGGGUGGUCCCGUUUUUAAUCUAACAUAGAGUCUUAAAAACCUUGUCAGUGGCAAAUGAUCACGACAAGAAAUCUGAAGGAGAAACAGCAGAGCUCAACAAAUCACUAAGAGAAAAUAAGACCAAUAACCAAGCAGAUAAAAGAAAAGCAAAAUAACCCAUCUCAAAAUCACCACAUGCACUAUUUAAGGGGUUUGUGAUAUGGGUUUAAAAAUAAUUUAACAAGUGCCACCUGUGAAUUGUCAGAGAUUGUAUCUUCAUACACAUGUCAAAUUUUCAAGUCCAACAAAUUGUUAUCUUUCUAAAGAGGCUAAUAUUAUUAUUAUCUAUGCAUAGCAUGCUAUAAACAAUUCAUAUUACUAGGGCCUUUGUUUUCUGUACACAACAUAUGGACAGAGGAACAAAUCCCUGAGCUAAAAUCAUCAUAUUCCAAAAUAUUCUAUUAAAUCAACACCACAAAACGCGAACGCUAAACAGAAUUGGAGCAAUUUACCAAAGCUAUUUGUCACGCAAAGCACUAGUACCUCAGAACCCAAUUUGCAAAAAAGCACCAAAAAUGAAAAAUAACAAAUGCCCAGAUGAAAAAUCAGGAAAAAAAAAUGCUCAAAUCCAAAUUACAACCCCAUAAGCUGAGUCGUUCUAUUCGAACUGAAUUAAAAAAAAUUAAUUAGGGAGAUUGACCUCAAACUUUGGAAACAGAAGCGACAUCGAUCUGUUUCUUGUCUGGAGUGUCCAUUUCUAUAAUCUACUUUGUCCGUUUUCAGUUGCUCUGCCACAAAGCUUCUUCCCUCUGAAGCUGAAGCUCACACACACUUGCAAAACGAAAGCAUUUUUUAUUGAUUGAGAGGCGGGAAGGCGGGAAAAUGAGAGAAAUUUGCAUUUGUUUUGUCUUGGUUUGGUCAUACCUGUGCGGGCCCCAGCUUGACAAGCGGUAUUAUUACUAUUUGUAUAAUUUACAUGACGCGUGUCACGCAAUGACGAUAAAAUGUAUAUAUUGUUAAUUUUUCACUUAACAUUGAAUGAUUGAAAUAUCAUAUAAUUUUUCCAAUUUUAUGGUUAUUUUCUCGCCCUUAUGCCACAUUCUUUUGAUCAAAUAAUACAGUAAAACUUUUCUAUAAUCAUAAUAUUAGAGCCAAAUUAACUUUGUUUCUGUAAAGAGGCUAUAGCUUAAUAAAGGUAAAAUUAUAAAAAUUAUUAUUUUGACUCAGUUAUCUUUAGUGCAAGUGAUAUAAAGUACAAAUAUAUGAUAAUUAAUUAAUGAACUAUGUCAAAUACAAUAUGCUGACAAUGAUAAAAAAGAUAGACAUAAUUUCAAGAAACUAAUACAUAUAUUUAUGUAGUGCUGGGAUUAUACAAAAUUAUCUUAAAAGUGUAAAGAGUAAAGUAUUAUUCUAAUUAAUUUAAAAAAAUUAUUUUUUCUUAAUCUUUAAUGCAACAUAGCUUUUUUUUUUUUUUUCUUAGCAACAAAGCAUUGUUCCACAUAAUUAUUAUUGGAUUCAAAUCAUGUCCUAGGCAUUUUUUCUUCUAGUCGUCUUAAACUUUUAAUGAUUUAUUGGCAUGCGUCAAUCAUUAAUGAAAUUAAAUAACUAAGACUUUGUUUUAAUUAACGUUUACAUAAAUAGACAUCAAAACUCACAUGUGAUUCUUAUCAAAUUUUUUCCUGCAAAUUCUUUUCCUCUCAACUAUUCAUAUUUUGACAUUAAUUUCCAGCAAAUUAUUAAAAAAAAGAAGAAGCGUAAAAUGGAGAAAAGUGAUUGACAACAAGGUUUGCAUCUUAAUUUCAAAAAUUUCCUUUCUUUGUUAUUUUUGUGGGUUCUACAAUUGUUGUUUUCACUCUCAGCUGCAGUUCAAUGAACUCUAUUAAUAACCAUGAAGCUUAAUGUAUCAAUUCCAGUACGAGAAGUCCUUCUACGCAUGUUACAACACUUUUUUGUCAUUAUAGGUUGCAAAUGUUCCGUAAUGUACUCAUUCAUAUAACGGAAACGCUAUUAUCAAUAAUGAAAGUUGACUAAGUUUGUAAAUUCUAUUUAACGAAAAAGUAACAUAAAUUUAGUUGAACAAGAGGUAAUUAAUAUGUAAUCUAUGAAACUAGGGUGUGACUAAGUUACAUAGUAAUGUAACUUACAUGAACACAAAAAUAAUUAGUUUUUAAACUACAAGUAAUUUUGGAACUGCUCUUAAAUUGAUAUAAGUUUUAUUAUUAUGUAACUUAGCAAGGUCAGGUAUUUUAAUAAUAGCACAUCACUAUUGUUUCAUGUGAAUGAUGCAAUUGGAUUAGCCAAUACAUACCGUCAUCCCCGGGAGAUGCUAUGGCAAUAGCUUACUCUAUCGUGCCAAUGUCAUUAGUAUUAAUCUGUUGAACCUAAGACCAUAUCUAAGCUGAUCUAGAUUCCCCAAGAUCGCACACCACACAGUGAUUAAUGAAUCAAGAACAAUAAACCAUCAAAGAAUCGCAAACUUACAUGUCGGGUUACAUGUAAUAAAUGUUUUAAUUAUUAGAUGAUUCAUAAUGUUAGACCAUUUUUUGUAUGUUUUGUAAUCUACGUUUGAUAAUUGAAUUAGCUGAUAAACACUUGAAUAAUAUUAUUUUAUUAACUAUGUCAUUGAUCCCCAGGAAAAAAAAAAAAAAACCCAAUUUGGGAUGUUAUACAUUACUUUUUCAUUACUUCCCAUUUUAGAUUAAUAUUUAUCACAUAUAUUCUUAGUAACUUGUAACCCUUUUUGCUAAGGGUGAAAUGUGUUUGUUACCCCUUCUAUUUCUGAGAUUGUCCUUACAAUAAGGAUGCCGGCCCCAAUGUCAAAAACUGCUAUCUCUAGGUGUAAAUUCCUUAUAAAAUUCUUUUUUAAUUGAAAUUACUUAAAUAAUUGAAGAUAAAUUAUUUUUUAUUUCAUUCAAAUAAAAAAAUCAAUUAAACACUUAAAUAAGCUAUCCUUUUAAUUUUUUUUUUUUACACCCAUCCAGUUUCAUAAUUUAUAUUUAUAAUUUAAAUUUUAAUGGAAAAUAUUUUUUUGAAAAAUUUUAAGAAUUAAGAAUUAUGGGGAUAAAAAUUAUGUAAUAAGACCAAAAUAAUUUAAAAUUUUAAAAUUUGCAUGUAUUAUAAACAAAAACUUGAAAGAAAUACUCUUUUCAGGGUGAGAUUUAAUCAGAAAAAGAUUAAUUUUCAUUUAUGGAUCAGUAUUUUAUAAAUUAAACAGAGGUAUUUUAAGAAAUAGAAUUCAAAAGGCAUGGGAACAAGGGCAUGGCAUUGGGUUUCCUUUUGUUUUGUAUGGAUUGGGAAAAAUACACGGACAGACAAAGGGAACAGUCAUUAUAAUGAUGUGGAACUUGUCGGAGAUUCCCUGCCCAUUUGUAGCUUAGACUCCUGGGGUUUUGUUCAUGUCUUUUCUGUAUCCCACUUUCUCAUGCAGCAGAUGUACAUAUGAUGAGAUGAAAACAACAGCAAAAAUUGCUGUCUCAUAAGAGAAAUAGUCAUACAUAGUUGGUUAGGCCUCCAGUCCAUUAACUUAAUAAUCAAUUUUAUGAAAAUUGAUUAUCUCAUUGGAAUUACAUAGAUAUUGGAAAACAUUACUCCAGCCCCACCAUCCCAACCAUUUACUUAGUUCAUCAGUAAAAGCUGGAUUUACCAUUUGUUCUUGAGAUUCAAAUUAAGGCAACAAGUUGCUCAUUCUAUAUUAUCUAUGUAAUCCUGUAAAAGUGAAGGGCGUUUAGAUGUGGAAAAACCUUACCCCUGCCGCAACACCUCAAACAGAUUGUGAUCAGACAAGACUUAGUUCAUCAUUAGUAGUAGUUGGAGCUUCCAUUUGUUCUAGAGAUUUAAAGGCAGCAAGCUGCUUCCUCAGUGCUACUAAUUCUUCCCCGGCAUUGCAUAUGUAGCCUGAGGCUUGUCUACCAGACAAAGUUGCUCCUUCCAUACCAUCUAUGUAAUCCAGUGAGAGUGAAACCAUUUAGAAGACGUAUCUCUUUCUUUCCAAUAUUUAGAAUGAAACAAUUAUAUACAGUUACCUGUUUUGCAUAUGAGCCGGCGAGGAAGAAGUUCUUCACUGGUGUCAUUGGAUCACGUCUGAAGGGGUCUUUACCAGGUCCCUCACCACACAAAGAUUGCCCGAUUUUGACGAAAGAUGACCAAAUAACUUCUAAACCUUGGGAUGAUGGAAAUGGAGCUAAAACCUAAUAAAAGGAACCGUGAAUGGAUAGUAUGGACUCAUGUAUAUUAUCCAGAAAGUUGCAUGACCUUUUGUGGUACUCAGGUCACUAAAAAACGUGAGAUAAACAUCUAGGAUAAGAAAAGCAAAAAAGCAUAACCUAAUACGUAUUAUAUGAAUUGAAGGUGUCACUGAACGCUACCAACCUGCUUUGCCACUCUCCUUAUGAUUUCAUCAUUUGGUAAGGGCAUAUAAGGAUCUCCAGGCGUCAAAACGCAUCUGAAAGAUAAUAUGGUUAUAGUUAACAAAAUGGAAUACAAAGACACUUGGCAAAAGGAAGUCAAUCAGAUUCCAUGCACAAAAAAUAACUAAUAAUGACGAGGAUAAGAAAUUUUGCACACUGGUGCCUUCUCUAUAGUAGUCUUCUGGCGAAGUAAGUGCUAGAUCUGCAAAGCAAGAGAAAUCUGCAUCUGGAGUAUAUAAAAGGUUAUCUAACUCCACAGCUUGCCUCAAUUGCCUACAUGUUCAAAACAAGGAUCUAUUAAAAAAUGGAAAUUUCUUCAAUGAAUUAGUGAAGGUAAGUGAAGUGAAACCGGAUUUCUUAAGCCUUCACAGAGCAUCUUGUGUUUGAAUUCCGGUAACCUCAGAAAAGAUUAGAGCAUCACCUUGACCGUUCUAGGUCUUGCAACUCAGUAACCCAACCAUUGUAUCUAAGCUGCACUGUGACAACAUGAACUCCAACGAGCUCAUAAAUAUUGUUGAAAAAUUUCAUUUCCCUCCAGCCUCCACAAUGAUGAAAGCAAUCUUUUAAUUCCAGGGACAUCACAUGCUGCCAUUAAAUAAGAAGUUGAAUAAAGAAAAAUCGUUCAACUAAAUGAUUCAGGAGUUAAAACAAAAUGUAGAAGUAGAAAUAAAUAACGAAGAUUUAACCAUAAACCUGCAACAUUUGCAUCAGCUUGCACAACCUUCUUGUCAGUGGCCUGAAAUAGAAUGAGAACUUGAAAGACAGUAAGCAUAAAAGAAUAAACUCAAAGAAGCUGCUUCUUACAGAUGAUAUAAACAACAAAUUUACAAAUGUCAGGUCAUUGCAUUAGCUCCAUGCCUCCAUCAGAGGGAAUAUUAAUAGAUGCAUAAAAAAAUAAUUAGAGCCACAUGUGAAACAAUUUACCUUAGACAUGGCAAGUGCUUUAACAAAUGUUUCCCCGUUAGCAGAUUUAUCAUAAAGUAUCUCUCUGCAUCCCCACCUAAGAUGGAACCUGUUCUCACAAGAACAGAUCCCAAGGUUGGGAAAAUCAGUUCAUCAUAGGAGAAAACAAAUAUGAUUAACAAAUCGCUACAAUGGUGUGAACCCGUAAAUACAAACGUACCUGCCCCCUUUAUCUGUGAUAUAUUUUCUUAUGGGCCCACUCAAAUAUACAUCCGGAGAACCCUUGAGCAUCAGCAAUAGGGAAGCCUCGGUCUUAGUCGCAAAUAGUGCAAGUAUAGUAAGCAUACAAUGAGCACUGAUGUUAUCACAAUCAAUAAACCCAAGGGCAUACGCAACAGGAUCCCACAUUCUUUGGAUACUUGUCCGUGUACCACCCUUGGACAAAAACCAAUCAGAGAAGCUUAUGUGUAAGAAGAAAUGAAGUUUUAGGUAAAAUAACAAUUUGUAGGAACAGGGAUUGAAAUUCAACAAACAAGAAAAUAUGAUGUCAUUCUUACACUAUCCAAAUCUCAUAUGUCCUUCAAGGCUCCAUCAGGAUCAACAAGUGCCUUUACAACAGGACUCAGAGCAAGAGCAAGAGCAUUUCUUGCUUUAUCAUAAGUCUGCACUUGAGCAAUAUACCAGGCAAAGUACAUCAAAAGAGAAUCCAAAAGAGGCAAGAAGCUUCAACAUGAAAAAAGGAGUACUGCCUCAUCAUACUGCUUUGCAAUCACAGUGCAAAAGAUAACAUCAACAAAUCAAAAUCAAGCAAAAAUCCAUAUGCACUACCUUAAGCUGAUUUGUAGACAAAAGUGUGCGAAUCCCAUGUAACGGAGCUUCAAUCGGAAACCGGAAAUCAAGUUCUGGAGUUGAAAAUCAAAAUCAUGAACCAAAUCAGAGUUAUUAUUGAAUUUGACAAUCCAUAAACCAAUAGAAGGUGAUGUCAAACCAUCAAGCAUAACUACCCACCAAGCAUAACUAUUAGUAGUUUUAAGUGAUCAAGAAAUAACCAUACCACCAAUUUCACUACCCUUAUUUACAAAUGUAUGAGUAUGAUCCUUCAUGAGUAAGUUUUUGUCCGCACCUACCUGUCGAAAUGCUUGAAAAACUAUCAGAUCAUAAACACAGGCUCCAGUUAAAGAGGAUCUAUGACUCUGAUCCAUCAUGUUAUUUGAACAACAUUUUCGAAUUUUGGUACAACCCUAAGCUAUAAUCAGUUAUCAUCACUACAAAUGAUAUGGUCAAGAGGAAUGAUAGUUCUUGUUUCAAGUAUCUCAAAUCGUAAUUCUUUUGCAUGGCUUGUGUGCUUUUAUAAUCAUUCAAACACGCAUAUCCACAACUAAGCAAGCUUUACCAUUUUCAUCAAUCGGAAGAGAUUAUUGUAGCAUCCAAAGAAAAUGUGCAGACCCAUUUCAAUAUGGUUUUCAAGUUUAUCGACAAAUGAACCCACUUUACCACCAAUAAAAGACCUCGACUCAUAUAUAUCCACCUGGAAGAAAGGAAAAGUUAAAAAAAAAAAGUGUUGAGAAUUAUGUUUGAUUAAACUUAAUUCUUUCCCCAAGAAAUCUCCACACACUGAUCUUAUUGAAACAAGAAUGAAUACCCAAGAUAGUAAUCAGAAAUAAAGCAAGAGUGUUUAGACAGAAAUAGAGAUUAAAAGCAUAGAAUAAACUGGACACAAGGAGAAUUCUAGAGGUUCGGCUGGGUAGCCUACAUCCUCUUGAGAAACAGAAGCCGUAGCUUUUCUUUGAUGCUUAACAGAUUACAAGACUUAGAGAGUUUGUUACAAAGAACGUUGGUUAUCUAAACUUGGCCUUGGGGCCCUUAUAUACAGCUCUCGAAGGAUCCAGAUAAGUGUGCUGCUUGCCAGCUCUUGUUCUGGGUUUGUUGAAACAAACCCAGAAAGUUCCCGCCAAGGCUAACCAUUGAUAACAGCCUUUUAAUUAGAAACGACACUUGCUGCUGCCGUUUAACUAAAGCUUGAAUCCGUAGAUGCUCGAGCAAUUCACGUGCAUUACUUAAGCUAUUCGUGUGACAGGAUAUGGUUGUCAUAUGCGCAGCAUUAUCUGUCUGAUUGCUUUGUCGUUUCUUGAUUAAUACUAGACACGACAAAGUCAUCUUCUCCGUAAGCUCUUAAUUCAGGCUCACAAUUAACAAAAAGGAAAAAAAAUUCUUCUAAUUUCUUUCACCAUCAACAAAAUCAGAAAAACACAUACUAGUUCAAAAUAAAAUAAAGUUUGUGAAUUGAAAUAAUGCCAACUCCUAAGAAAAAUUAUGACUGCUGAUAUUUUUUCCGAAAUGCUGAUAAAAGCCUCUGCUAUUUACUUUGAAAAAAUUGAGGUUAGAAGCCAAUUUACUUGAAAUUUUGAGUUUAGGCAAGAGGAUGAAUGGUAAAAGUGAAACAUAUUAGGGAAAAAUGUACUUCAGAGGCCAAUGAAAGCAUUCAGAAGAUUGAAAACUAAAUGAGCAAAACCUCGUGGCCAUGAUCCAACAAUUCCACUGCUGUUGACAUGCCUGCAAGCCCAGCUCCAAUAAUAGCCACUUUCAGCUUUGGUCCUCUAUAAUGUUCCAGUUCUGGUGGAAACAAACCCUUGGGAGCUGCCAAGUAUACCAUCCAAUUAUCCACAGCGAUAAUGGAAAUAUAUAUGUGUUUGAAAGUACUAAAUUCCUAAACAGGAAAUGUAUCCAAAAAGAGACACAAAGCAGAAUUUCGUAAGCAUUUCAAUUCCCAAUAAAUUUCGAGAAUACAAAAUACUCGGUCUGUUCUUCAAUUCCUUUAAUAAAAUUUCCACUAGAGGCUACGCAAGCCACUCAAUAACACGCCAAAGCCAGAUUUUAAACGUUAUCUUUAUCUUUAACUCCAAUCCACAAACAAUUCUGCCAGAAAUUCAAUCCAAAAUUGUUCAAGUGCACCGCCAAUUCUCCAUCAAUUCCCUCAAAAAUUCAUAAUUGGCAAACAAUACAAACCAAAAAGAGCUUCCGGCAAUAAACGCAUAAAAAUCCACCAAGCAACAUAAAACAAAAUACCCAGAAACCAGAAAAGCCAAAAGAUCAAUGCUUGUGCAAACAAGCAAAUCAAAUAAAACAAAAAAAAGAGGAAUUUACCCUUAACGCUCAUAUCAGAAAUAUUAGUAUCCAAAGAAGCCCGUACACGGAAUCUUGGACCCUUCACUUGAACCCGAGACCAUGUAACGCCAGUAACUGAAGUUGCAGGAAACAGAACUGAAGAACCCAUAUUGCAAAUCCUGAGCUGAAAUCAAGAAUUUCAAUUGGAACUCAAUUCAGCUCAACCCAGCUGAGCUCUCUUUUGCUUCAAUAACAAAGUGUUUUUCUUUUAUAUCAACAAAGAUUUGUCAACAUCAACAAAAUUUAACUAAGAAACUAGAAUAAUAAAAGAGGGCACCUUUGAGUUUAAGAAUCUAACAGGAUGCUAAGGAAGAGAGUUUUGUCAGGGAACUGUUUCGGAGAGGUUGGCCAAGUGCUUUUUUGUUUUUUAUUUUUAUUUUUUUCUCAUUUUGGCCUUUUUCAUUAAUACACAACAUCAGUACUCGCGAAGAGCACAAAAUGUUGGUGACUUUGUCACUAACGAUAGUGGAUGGAGCGACCAAAGCAACCAACUAAAUUUUAAAGAGAGGGAAUGACAAGCAAUAUUUUAAUUGGGUGAUUAAUUAAUGUAUUAUCAAGCAAUUGCAUUUAUUUAUUUAAACGAUGUCCUUAUCUUUGGACAAGGUUGAGGAAAGACCGCGAUGUUGUGUUGUCACGUAUUUUUGGGCCGACCGUUUCCAGUUUCGGCUUAAAUGAGGCUUUUGUAUUUUUGUGCCGUUUUUUUACUGAGUAUUUUGUCCUAAAUUACACAAAGAAAAUGUGUAUUUGUUAAAAAAUCUGUUGAAACUCAGAACCUCUUAUGUGGACUUUAGAAUGCGACAGUAUUGAUAUCUAAGUUCGUAAUAUCAAGAGUGAUAAAACGGAUAAAUGAAUAGAAAUGUAAAUAAAUUUGGUUAAAAUUUAAUGGAUUCGAAUUCGGUAUGUUAUCAAACAAAUCAUAAUCUUAGGAUUUGGAUUCAAUUCAUUUAUUAAUUGGAUACCUAUUUAAUUUGUUUAUUAUACAAAAUUAAAUGAAUUGAAUUGAAUUGAAUUUAGAUUCAUUUACAAUUUGUUUAAUUUAUUUAUGUAAAAUUAAUAAAAAAUCAAUCAAAUGUGGAUUUGUUUAAAAAAUAAUAAUAAUUAAUAGCAAAAAUCAAGCAAAGUAAAAUAGAAAAAAAAUCAUAAAAUUAACAACCUACAAAAUAAAAACGAAUUAGUGACCGCAAACUUGAAUUCAAUUCAUUUAUUUAACGAAUUGAAUUGAAUUCACUUAUUUGUUAAUGAAUCAAUUUUUUUUAAAAUUCAGACCUAUUUAACUUGAAUCAAAUAAACACAUCCUAAUCUAAAUUGUCACCUCUAAAUAUGAUGGACCUAUUUAAAAUAUAUGAAUACCAAAAUGUGUGGGCUAAAAAGUGGUUUACCAUGCAACAAUACGAAGUUUAAGCUCUCUUUUCUUAUGUCAUCCAAGGCAUUGCCUGGAUCGCCAAACACUAGAGUUCAAGUCUACAAUAAAGAAUCGAAAUUUUUCUUUGUAAAUGUUCGUAAGUAUUUAGCAUAGAUUUUUAAGUUAUACUUGAUAGAUCCCCUACCAUAUUUGCUAUAAUAUUUCUCUUCUUUUAAUUUAAAAGUAAAUCAUAAUAACGGAUUUGUAAAGAAAUUAAAUUUCCAGUAAUUAACUGAAAAAAUAAAAAAGAUGGAUUAAGCGAAAGAAGUUAAUAUAGAGUAAAGUCGAGUACUUGACAAUUAAAGUAAUUUUACUCGAGGUUGAGUAAGGAUAGUAUGAUACUUUCCCAGGUUUUCCGAGGACAUUCAUGUAACAUUGGACUAUUGACUAUAGUUAGAGAGAAGUCCAAGGAUGUAAGUGAUGAUGAUAGAUUCACAAUUCUUUUGAAGAAAAUAUUUUAUAUAAACUUAAUUAUAUGGUAUAAAAUGAUUGGCCUUAAUAAAAUUAAAAAAUAAUAAAAAUAAUACACGCCUGGGUCAUGCAAUAUUUUCAACCAACUAAUUUACACGCAAAAUUAAACCUUAUGAGUGAGAACAUUAUGGUACAUUUAUAUGCUAGCAAAAACUCCGCAAAAAUUUUCCGAAAUGUGAAAAUGAACACUUUUAACAAUGACACAAAAUUCCCACCCCCCAUGAUUAAUUCUCUUAUCUGGAAUAUUAGGGGGAUUGGAAAAGCCCCUGCGGAAAUUAGUUCGAUUACAUCGAUUGUCUUUGAUUUGUGUGUUGGAGCCAUUUAUUUCCAUUGAUCGUUUAGAGGCUCUUCGGGUGCGGCUUGGGAUGGAUCAUGCUUUAUCUUCCCAAUCUGGGAAGAUUUGUGUUUCUGGUCCGCACCUUUCUCGGUGGAGCUUCUGCAUGACAUGGGCAAGGUGAUUCAUUGUCGGGUUAGUCACUCUUUUUUUCCUGAUCCUGUGUAAGUUUCAUAUGUGUACGCUAGUUGUUAUAUGGAUGUGCGAGAGAAUUUAUGGGAUGCUCUUAAGACCUUUGCGGAUAGUCAUGAUCUACCUUGGAUCGUGGGGGGAGAUUUUAAUAUGAUUCAGGCGGUCUCGGAGAUUUCUGGCGGGCAUCCACAUACUCGGGGAGCUAUUGAUGCCUUUAAUUUAGCGUUGCUUGAUUGUGGUUAGGAGGAUGCUGGCUUUGUUGGCAGUCCUUUUACUUGGACUAAUGGGCGCCCAUGGAGGCAGCUUGAUAGGGUGGUCUGCAACGCUCACUAGUAUGCUUUCUUCUCAGUAUUUCGGGUCUCUCAUCUGAAUCGUACUGCCUCAGAUCAUUCUCCUUUGCUUUUUCUUGGUGAUCGGGGCGCUGUUAGAGGACCUUCACGGUUUAAAUUUCUUCAUGUGUGGCUCAAGCAUCCAGGUUUUCUUGAUACUAUGCGGCAGUCUUGGGGUGCUCCGGUGGUUGGUUCUGGAAUGAGAGCCUUUCAACAGAAACUCACUCGGUUAAAGUUCUGCCUAAAAGCUUGGAACAAAGAUGUCUUUGGUAACGUUUUUUCUCAGGUCCAACAAGCAGAGGAGGACAUGGCUCAGAAGGAAAGAUUGUAUGAUAUUUCUGGCUCCGUCGAUUACAGAGCUAAUUUUUCCGAGGCCAGGGCCUGGUUGCAGCAUGCUUUGCUUCGUGAGGAGAUUUUUUUUACGUCAGCAGUCCAGUGUUCGAUGGGUUCGAGAGGGCGAUGCUAAUACCUGUUUUUUCCAUGCGAUGAUUCGGAAAAAGUGCCAGUUGUUUCAUAUUCACAGGAUUCGGGUUGAUUGUUUCUUAGAGUGGAUUUCUGAGCCCUCCGCCAUUGUAGAUUAUGAUGUCGAUUAUUUUCAAGAUUUAUUAACGGGAGAUGCCAGUCAGUUUCAGCAGACGGACUUCGAAGUUAUUCCAUCUCUUGUGUCUGUAGAGGAUGAUGUAGAGUUAUGUAGAGAGCCGGAUAUGGAUGAGAUUAGACAUGCGGUAUUUUCUAUUGAUCCAGAUAGUGCUCCUGGACCGGAUGGUUUUUGUAGCAGAUUCUAUCAGUCGUGUUGGGACAUCAUUUGCCGUGACUUGUUAAAUGUUGUCCUCGAUUAUUUUAGAGGUUCGGCAUGCCCAGAGGUUUCCAAAGUACUUUAUUGGUCUUUCUGCCUAAGAAGGCUUCUCCGGCUUCUUGGGCUGAUUUCCGUCCGAUUAGUCUUUGUAAUGUGAGCAACAAGGUCCUUACUAAGUUGCUUGUCCCAUCUCCUGCCUCACAUUAUUUCUCAUACUUAGAGUGGUUUUGUUCCUGGUCGAGUGAUUCAUGAUAACGUGCUCCUGGUUCAGGAGUUCGUUCACGAUCUCAAUCGCCAUAGUCGAGGGAACAAUGUGGUGCUGAAAUUAGAUAUGGCCAAGGCAUACGACGUAUGUCAUGGCCUUUUAUUAUUCAGAUGAUUCACUGUUUUGGGUUCUCGAAGCGUUGGAUUUCUUUGAUUCGGCGAGCGAUUUACGGUCCUUAGUUUUCAGUGCUUAUGAACGGGGUCAGUAACAUAUAUUUCUAGUCCCAGAGUGGUCUUUGGCAGGGUGAUCCCCUUUCCCCUUGCUUAUUUAUUAUUGCUGCAGAAUUUUUAUCUCGAGGCUUGGAUCAUUUGUAUUCUCAGUAUCCCUCUGUUCGGUAUUGUUAUACUGCACCUACUUCUAUCUCCCACUUGAGUUUUGCGGAUGGUAUUGUUAUUUUUGCAAAUGAGAGCCGAUCUAGCUUACAGUGGCUUGUGGAUUUCUUACACCAUUAUAAGGUGAUCUCAGGGCAGUUGAUUAGCGAGGACAAGAGUAACUUCUACAUUAGGAAGUCAGCUUCGACCUCCCGCUAGGCCAUUGUUCACUCUGUGACUAGCUUUCAGUGACGUCAGCUUCCGUUUACUAAUCUUGGGUGCCUGAUCUUUACAGGGUACCUCAAGAUCUCCUAUUUUGAUGACAUGGUCCGGAAGGUCAAGGAUAAGAUUUCUGGCUGGGCUAACCGUCUGCUUUCCUUUGGUGGGAACCUCGUCCUCAUUCGCCAUGUGUUAUCCUCUAUGGCCCUGCACUUAUUUCACGUCCUCCGCCCUUUUAUAACGGUAGUUUAACGCCUAGAGCGAUUGUUCACCCGAUUCCUAUGGGGUGAUUUUGAGGGAAGACACCAGAUCCACUAGUGUAGAUGGCCAAAGGUUUAUUAUCCAGUUGACGAGGGUGGCCUCGAUAUACGAUCUUUUGAUGAUAUGGCGGAGGCUUUUGAGAUUAAACUUUGGUGGCGGUUUUGUCAGCAGAGUUCCUAUAUGAAGUCUAAGUAUUGCAGAUCUACGCAACCAAGCCUUAUCCAGUUUCGCUAUCUUGCCUCUCCUUUAUGGAGACACCUUUAUAAGAUUCGUUGCACGGCUAAACCUCAUGUGCGUUGGCUCGUUGGGAGUGGAGAUUGUAGCUUCUGAUAUGAUUGUUGGCUGAGUUCUUGCCCUUUAUUUUUUUAUAACCCUACAGCGGCUUUGUCGGUGCCGGUCUAGUUCUUUGGCAGGGUACAAUCUGGGACAGAGGCAAACUAAGGGACGUCUUGCCUUCAUCUAUUGUUGAGCAGAUCCUAUUAGUGCCUAUUUCUAGUGGGAAUCCAGACCUGAUUCGUUAGGACCUUGCCCCCGACGACACGUUUAACUUGCGGACUGCUUGGGAGCUUGUACAGUGCUCUAGGUCGAGGGAUGAGCUUUUCUCGAUGAUUUAGUAGAGGCAUAUCCUGUCACGAGUUUCCUUUUUUCUCUGGCAGCUACUUCACGGAUUCCUAGCUACUGAUGAUGCCUUAUACUUGAGGGGUUUCUAUAUGGUUUCUCGAUGUAUUUGUGGGCGGGUUGCUGAGACUUCUCGGCAACUUUUUAUGGAUUGCCCGCGGGCCCGUCAUAUUUGGGUUCAUUGCCAGCGGAUCAUGGGGAUGCGUGAGCUUUAUUUUCUGUCUCCCCGUGCUUUGCUUUUAUUUUGGAGACAUUGUGCCCCUUCUCGGAAUCAUCAUCGGGUCCUUCUGCCUUACUUCAUUUUGUGGCAAAUUUGGAAGGCCCUAAAUGCUUUCCAGUUUCAUUCACAGUCUUUCUCCACUGAUGCGGUUAUCUUUCAGGUCGACUCUGAUCUCAGGCUCGCUAGUUCUGCUUUUGGAUUCAAGCCUCCCCAACUGAGGGGAGUCUUGGGUUCUCGUAUUGCGGAGGGCUUGCGAGUUAUGGCUCCCCCUAGGAGGUCGAUUCGUCUAGUUGCUUGGAUGAGGCCAACUUCAGGGGUGGCUAAGCUGACUGUGGAUGGUUGCUCUGGGGUCAACCUUGGGAUGGCUGCUUCCAGGGGUAUUCUUCGGGAUCACCGGGGCAUGGUUUUAGCGGCUUUUGGAUCCUUUUUGGGUUACAAGCCGAUCUUAUAUGCUGAGCUCAUGGCGGUGUGCGAGGGUUUGGAGCUUGCCAUUCAGCUUGGGUACUCAGUGCUCGAGGUUGAGUCAGACUCGGCUAUGGUGAUGUCAUGGAUUCACACCUCAGGGUCCUGUUCGAUGGGAAUGUUCUUAUUCUCUACGCCGGGUGUGCCGUCUGGUAACGUCAUUCCCCAUUCAGGUGAGACAUGUUCUUCGCGAGGCUACUUAUGCUGCUGAUUUUCUAGCCAACUGGGCGCGCACUCAUCGGACUAGCCGGUGUUUCUUAUCUCCUCGAGAGCUUCCCAAAGGCUUAUCUGGUAUUCUUUACUUAGAUCCCCACGCAAUCCCCCAUGUCAGAUGUUAGGAUUUUAUCUUUUUCUUAUAUCUCAUUUUCUCUAGGAGGUUUUGGCUUAUAUCCCCCUCCUUUAUAUCUAAUUCAUUUUCAGAUUUAUAUUAUAGGUAAGGGUUCCGCCUAGCUCCCACCACUCUGGUGGUUUUAAAAAAAAAAAAAAACAAUGGCAUAAAAUGCCUGUGAUAAUGAAACAAUGUGCCAUCCUUAAACUAAUAUCAUUACAAACUACAAGUGAAAGUUUUUGGAAAACAUUGAGAAGUUUUUCUCGGAAUUUGUUUUCUUCUUUGCUUUGAUUUAAGCGUAAAUUUUUAAAAUCCGUAACAAAACAAAAAUUUACAUGGGUUGGGCGCACCUUGUGGUUCGUGCAUGCUUUCGUCUAAUAGUAUUUGAUACAUACAAAUUCAUUUUAAAAUUGACGAAUCGUAAUAAAAAAAUUUAUAUAUAAUAAUUGAGUGAGAUCCAUGGUUCACAAUUGCAAAUUAAUGGUUGGUUUUAUAAUAAAAAUCUUUAUGUACAUACCAAAUUAGAAAAGGUUAUAAGUGAAUUAAGAUUUUCAAAAUUUGACUCGUAUUAUAUUAUGUACGUCAAUAUAAUAUAAAUUUGUUAUAUAUAUAUAUAUAUAUAUCCAAUGCUUUCAAAAACUUUAUACUUGUUUGAACAGAUUUUUUGCUUUCUAUUUGUAUACACAAACACUUUUUUAGGACACAUGUAUAAUUAAUCUUAAUAAUUCUUAUACAAUCCUCUAUUUAAGACCAGCAACGUCACCCAUUAUAAUUUAUCACUAAAUAUUGUAAAACUAUUGGUUUUCACGAAUAACUAAUAAAAAUUAUUUUUUUUGUAAGAAAAAUACUGCGAUUCCUUUCACUGUUGUAGUAGUAUAGUUAUCGUGGACGAUGAAUUUCUAGUAUUGUACAAUGAUAUUUAUGUUGAAUGUUUAGGGAAUGAAAUAGGGUGACCAAGAUAAAGGGGUUUGCUCAUACAUUAUCGUGCUCUCCUCAAAGCAAAAGUGAGCAAAUGGUUGAGCAGAUCAUCUCGACCAGAAUAAUAUGUGGUGACCUCGAGUACAGCACCUCGACCAGGAUGUUAUUGGUCACCUCGACCAGGAUGUUAUUGGUCACCUCGACUAGGAUGUUAUUGGUCACCUCGACCAGGAAGUCACCAGGAAGCACGUCAUCCGCGAGGCCAAUUUCCUGUAAGAAGCAUAAAGCCAUUCCUGCUGCAUUCUUGCUAAGGGUUGAUUCGAGGAGACCCGGUCAACGACAGUUGGCGAGGCAUGCUCUCCAGCCCGAGAAUCUAGGCACGAAGGCCACGCAACCACCCAUGACUACGGAAAUGGGGAAUCCACAUUCGAGAGGUGGGAGGACAACGGACAUAGACUGCGGAAAACUGGGAUUCAGAGGAAGCCUAUAAAAAGGUAGCCAACGAAGGUAAAAGGGUUAGCAAUUUUGAGAUUAGAAGAGAGCUAAAGAAAUUCUAAAGAAGAGAAAACUAUGAAAAAGCCAUAAGAUCUGUGGCAAGCGUUCCCCGAACCUUCAUAUCUGACUUGAGCGUCGGAGGGUUUGCGCCGGGAAAACAACCGGCGUACUCUGACUUGUCUGUGUGCGCAGGAACCUCUGGAGAAGAAGCCUUACGAGGAGACCUUCUGGUCGUGGUGAAGUUGAUCGAGCAGAGAUCCUGGUCGUAUAACGAGGAGAACCAGAAUCUCGCAUCAACAUUUUGGCGCUGUCUGUGGGGAAUGGUACAAAAAGCCAGCUUGUUAUCUUUAUCAAUCUUCAUCUGGCCGAAGUGAAGGCAGAAUAUUGCGGUGCAUAAAUGGAUGAGCUUGCUUAAACAAGGAAGCAAAAACCUUAAAGGAGAGCACAUUGAAAGCACACGUUUGUAAAAAUCAGAACAGGUCAGAAGUUAAAUUCUUAUUUACAAGCAAUUUUUUCAUGAAAAUUUAAUUAUUUCUCUAAAUCCUGCUAUGUGAGAUGAGGAGCCCUUAUAUUCAUUAAAUUGAUUGUGCUCAUAUUAAGGCUGACUGUAUAACUUAGUUAACUUGAUUUCUUGAAAGCUAUUCAAUAUGAGAAUGAUUUAAGAAAAUAGAGCUAGGCUAGCGUUGAGAAACCAAUCAAAGCUUACUAAUAAGGCAUGCAAAGGCUCCAAAGUCUCAAAGCCUGUCUUAUGGCGAGACAGAAGCCAAGCGUGCCAGGAUCUGCUCGACCACGAGAAGGCGAGUAGAAUCCCAAUCCUUGAAGAAUUUGAAGGCAUGCAAAGGCUCACCAAGUCUCAAAGCAUGUCUUAUGGCGAGACAGAAGCCAAGCGUGCCAGGAUCUGCUCGACCACGAGAAGGCGAGCAGAAUCUCAAUCCUUGAAGAAUUAAAGGCACGCAAAGGCUCAUCAAAGUCUCAAAGCCUGUCUUAUGGCGAGACCAGAAGCCAAGCGUGCUAGGAUCUGCUCAACCAAGCGAAGGCAAGCAGACUCCCAAAUGUUGUAAAAAUUCCUAAGGCAUGCAAAGGCUCACCAAAGUCUCAAAGUCUGUUUAUGGCGAGACCAGAAGCCAAGCGUGCCAGGAUCUGCUCAACUAAGCGAAGACGAGCAGACCACCAAACUUUCAAAAAAUUCCUAGGGCGUGCAAAGGCUCCAAAGUCUCAAAGCCUGUUUUAUGGCGAGACAGAAAGCCAAGCAUACCAGGAUCUGCUCAACCAAGCGAAGACGAGCAGACCACUAAAGUUUCCAGUCUUGAUUCGUUUCACUCUCAAUACUAGAAACUGGGGGACUGGUGUUUAGGGAAUGAAAUAGGGUGACCAAGAUAAAUGGGUUUGCUCAUACAUUAUCGUGCUCUCCUCAAAGUAAAAGUGAGCAAAUGGUUGAGCAGAUCAUCUCGACCAGAAUAAUAUGUGGUGACCUCGAGUACAGCACCUCGACCAGGAUGUUAUUGGUCACCUCGACCAGGAAGUCACCAGGAAGCACGUCAUCCGCGAGGCCAAUUUCCUGUAAGAAGCAUAAAGCCAUUCCUGCUGCAUUCUUGCUAAGGGUUGAUUCGAGGAGACCCGGUCAACGACAGUUGGCGAGGCAUGCUCUCCAGCCCGAGAAUCUAGGCACGAAGGCCACGCAACCACCCACGACUACGGAAAUGGGGAAUCCACGUUCGAGAGGUGGGAGGACAACGGACAUAGACUGCGGAAAACUGGGAUUCAGAGGAAGCCUAUAAAAAGGUAGCCAACGAAGGUAAAAGGGUUAGCAAUUUUGAGAUUAGAAGAGAGCUAAAGAAAUUCUAAAGAAGAGAAAACUACGAAAAAGCCAUAAGAUCUGUGGCAAGCGUUCCCCGAACCUUCAUAUCUGACUUGAGCGUCGGAGGGUUUGCGCCGGGAAAACAACCGGCGUACUCUGACUUGUCUGUGUGCGCAAGAACCUCUGGAGAAGAAGCCUUACGAGGAGACCUUCUGGUCGUGGUGAAGUUGAUCGAGCAGAGAUACUGGUCGUAUAACGAGGAGAACCAGAAUCUCGCAUCAACAUUGAAUAUAACGCUUCAAUGAAUUUUAUUACUAUAUACUAAAAUACUCAACGAUCUUCAUUAAAAAAAAAAAAAUUGCAUGAUUAGAAUGAUUAAAGUUCAUCUAAUGACUAGUUUCAUCAUUGACUCUGUCGAAACACAGCAGCAAUCCAGAAUACAUUUAACACGAGAGGCGCAGACAAACAUGCAUGAUGAAUCUUCCACCAUUAAACCUGAAAUCAUAAAAUGAAAGAAACCAGAUGAGUGUUGUUUGUCUGAAAGCCGAUUCGAGAAAAAUAAUAAUAAUAAUAGACCUUUGUUAAUAAUUAAUACUAGUUGUCACUACCUUGUGCAUCUUCCUCCUCUGUAUCAUCGUCCUCUUCCAAUCACACCGCAAGACCAGUAUAUCUCGAGAAUCUUUACUGCCUUCUCACAGAUCCCAUUGCUGUCAUGUCUUUUUAGAUCUUCAAUCAUUUUGAAUCCCUCAGCCGCCUCCACCAACCGUGCAUAAUGAUUAAAAUAUCUAUUGGCGGUACCCGUAUUCAUUUCAGCUUCCCCGACCUUCAAAAUGUUCUCUAAUCCUUUUAAGCAAAUAGUGACGAUCUCUGGAUCAGCGUAUAGAAGGAGAUCACACAAUGGUUUUAUACACCCCUUUCUCACGAGGUACUUGAUUUGCUCAUGAGUACCACCUGAGAUGGCAUUUGAAAUUGCCCGAGCGGCCUCCUUCUUUGUAAAAAAUUCAGCAUUUUGAAGCAGAUCGACAAGGGGACCAAUUACGCCAGCAUCAAUUACCACCUGAAUCUGUUCCCUGUUACCAGCUGUAAUAUUUGAAAUAGUCCUGCAUGCCUCUUUCGCAAUGCCUGUACACUGAGUCAGGAAACCAUCUCCCUUCACAAUAUAUCUGACAGUCCACAGGGGAGGAGUGAGCCCGAAGGGGAAGGGUAAUGGAUGAAGAAGGAGCUUAACAAGUCGUGGACAGACAUCUGCCUCGAUCACAGCUUGAAUUUUGUCAUUCGUACCAUCAGAUAGACAGGAUAGUGCCUCGCAGGCAUAUCUCAAGACAUCGUUGUCAUUUGAAUGAACAAGUUGUGCAAGCGCAGGAAGAGCUGGCCUCACCUGAUCAAAUGGUGGCUCUGGCUUGCCCUGGCAAAAACGAGACAAUGUCUUUGUGGCAUUUCUUAGCAUUGAAGGCUUAGCAUGCUUAUUUAACUGUGCCAGCAACGGAAUCAAAGCUUUUUCACUGAGCACAAGAUCACGGUCUCUAGGUGAGCUACGAGCAAUAUUUCCCAGUGCCCAAACAGCCUUCUCUCGGACAUCAUCACUUGGAGAAGAAAGUAGCUUCACAAAUAUUGGAACAGCACCGCCGUCGAUCACCACAUUAGUAUUCUCAGAAGCAAUGUUUGUAAGAGCCCGAGCAGCUUCCAACUGAAGCUGCGGAUUGUCUUCCCUAGUAAGAAACUCAACAAAGCGCGCGACAACGCCAGAUUGUAUGACUUUCUCACUUGGUGGUAGGAGCAGUUUUCGGAACCAAGUAGUUGCUUCCAGCUGCAAGCCACUGUCAUCUGACCAAACCCCAGCAAGCAUCCCGGGUAAACUCACCAACUUAUUUUAGGAGCAGGAGCAGGAGGAGGAAAUUAAGUUAGGGAUUUAGAGUGAGAGUGAAGGUGGAGAAAAAGCAAGAGAGGGAAAAAGCUUAUUGUUGAGAAAUAUGUACCUUUUGUAUGGUUGUGUUAAGGUCGUCCUUCCAAGCCCAACAUGCUUCACCAUGCCGCUCCACUUUGUGUAAUUUGGGUGUACUUAAUUUUCCUUCAGAGAAAAUCUUCAUAUCGGGGCAAUCAUCCACCACUAAUCUUUCUAAAGAUGGGAACUUGAAAGCACAAUUGCCAGAGCAGAAGCUUGUCAGGCUUUCUAAGUCUACAAGCUUCAACUCCUUCAAUUCUCUGAAAGUAAUAACCUCAUCUUUUGCUACAACAUCAUCCCCCAGUACUAUUUCUGUUAUCCUAUCGCAUGAUUUUAUCUUCAUAUAUCUAAGUUGCACCAGAGUCUUUGCAAUUAAGGAUGUUAAUACGAUUUUCAAGUUGUUGCAACGCGAUACCACCAUAUUUGUAAGAUUCUGAAAGGAUGUCGACGGUGGCACUAGAUUGACUAAAUGGUCACACCCCUUUACACGUAGAAUAACCAAGUUGUUCGUAACAGAGGACUCCCUUAUCAAAAUGUGCUCCAGAUGAAAUGCUUCUCUUAUUUCUACCCACAUCCCAUUUUCAACCUUCUCAUACGGCAACGAGGCACUAUAUCCUCCUAUUUGGAGGACUUUCAUUGUGUGAAGUCUCUGGAGGAAGUCACCAAGUGAUAAAAUAGUCCGCUCAUCACCCAACGCCACAAAAAGAUAUUUUAGUUUGCAAAGCAAGCCUUCAGAAAAUAGAUAUUUAUUUGUUACUGUGUACUUUGCACGAACUAUCAACUUUUCCAAAUUAGGGAAUACCUGGGAGAACGAUCAGAACCCCAAAAAAAAGAAAAAAAAGAAAUACAAGAUGAAUCAAUUGAUAAGAAAUAUAAGUUGCCACUAAUUUAUACAAUAUAUUUUAUUCAAUAAAUCUUAACCUUUAAAAAAAAAUAGUAAUAAUAGUAUGCCUAACAUCUAGAAUAAUUAUGAAUGAAUACUAUACACUAAUCUGUAAGAGAGUUACGUUGCUGACAAUUUGAGUUUUAGUAAGAAACCAAGCGAUGAAGGCAAAGGCAAUAUAACUCUAAACUCUAUGAUAUAAACUCUCACAGUACAUACAUAAGAAUUGAAAAAUUGAUUAUAAAAUUCUUGUACGUACCCUUUCCGUGAAGAUACUAGUAGUUCUCACCAUGAAUUCAGGACAUUUAGAUAUCCGUAAUUCUUUCAAGGAUGGAAAUUCAAGAAUAUCAAGAUCUCCAGUGCAGAAGCUUGUGAACUUUUCAAGAUCAGACAUCUUCAGAUAUUGCAACUGAGGAAACAUUACAAUAUUUUUCUUCCUUUCUUCUUGGUUGUCCAUAACUAUUAACUCUUCCAAGACAGGACAUCCGACUAUCUCAAUGCAUUGGAGUUGAACAAAGCUACUAACGGUAGAAGAUGAAAAUAGACAUCUUAAAUUCAUACAGCAGGACAGGGUCAAGCGCGUUAAAUUCUGAAUACCACAAGACAUGACUGCAACUUGGUUUUGCCAAAUCCUUUCAACAUUUAUUGAAAGCAAAUGCAACUUCUCUAACUCUGGUAACCGAACCUGCUCGAUCAAAAAAUUAACUCGUUAAUUACAAGCAACAAUGAUUUCUGUUGAUGGACAAAUCAAUAAAAUUACUCUUUCUCUGGUUAUAGUUCUUUUCAGUUUUUCAUACAAACAACCGUUAAUCAAGUUUUCCAAAUUAUUCCUUACUAAAUGUAUAGAUUUAGACGGCGGCUAAUAUAAUUCAUAUUGCAAAUAUUCUUUGAUUGUAACGAAUUUUGUAAUAUUAAAUUUUGGCUGAUUCGCAAUAGGACCUACUAUCCAGCGCGAGCAGUUCUCGUGGAUUUAACUACUGGCACCUCGAUUAUAUAAAAAUUUGGAAUAUUUUCAAAGGAAAUCACAUAAUUUCCCCUUGCAAAUAGUAAUUAUCAUUAAUUGCCGCGGGUUGACAUAUAAUUCUAAGAAAUUAGGCGAGAAGAGUCUCAUCAACAAUCAAUCAGCAGAUAUCACGUUUGGCAGAUCAUCAUGAUUUCCUCAUAUGCUAGAGAAUCAACGUGAUUUCCGCUCAUGCAGGAGCAGGAGUGGACACAUUAUCUUAGAGCAUCCCUCACUGAGAUCUUUUAAAAAAUUUAUAUUAUAAAGUGAACAACAUAUUAAGUAUAGAUUUAGACGGCGGCUAAUAUAAGUUAUAUGUAUUCUAAUGACGUAUAUUAAAGAAAAUGACUAACCAUAAUUUCAAUCAACUUAUUAGUCUAUAUAUAUAUAUAUAUAUAUAUAUAUAUAUAUAAUAUAAUAUAUUCAGUGAUUACAACAUAUUUAGUAUUCCAUAACAUGAAGUUUAUAAUAAUAAUUAUUAUUAAUUCACUUAUUGUGUCAAGAACAUUUUCUUUCUCUAAGAAUGAAUUUGUUACACCCUACUAUACUACGGAUGAAAAAUUUAGAAUCAUUAUGAAAUAUAAUUAUUAAUCACUCUUUGCCAUAUUUGCGACCAAAGAAGAAUAUAACAAAGAAAAGAAACAAAAAUUAUAGAGAAUUAAUGAGACCAUUGACGUAUUAAUAACUGACCUUCCCAGUGAAACGCGUAUUAGAAAUUUGGAUAUUGUCCUCCAAAAUGAUUUGAUGUGACUGCAAAUCAUUAGCUGAUUCCUGUUGUCUCUGUUGACAUUGAGUGUAAACUUAAUUGUGAGCACAAUCUUAAUGCAUAGAUACAAGAUCUUUAAAAAUUAGUAUAAUAAACUUAGCACAAAAUCCAAAUUUGAUAUUUCGGAUUCCAUGAUUAAGAUUUUUUAAAUAAAAAUUUAAUAGAGUUAAUUUAAAAAUAAAAAUUAAAUAUGAAAAAUUAGAUUUGCAAUUAUGGAUUUAAUUUUGAUAAAUAAUGAAUGUUCUCUUUAUAUUUUUUUUUAAAGGUAAAACAGCGUACAAAGCCCAAAUUCAUUUUUUUAGUCCCUUACUCUCCCAUGAUUCAAACUUGGGUGGUUGUAGGGGGACUGAAAAUAUAUAAGACAGUUAACUUCACUUUUUUUUUUUUUUUUUUGAGAGAAAAGAGAAGAAGGAUAUUACAAAGCACGAAGCUCGUGCAAUAUAAGGGCAAUUAUGGUUUUUUCUUUAAAUUAAAAUGGUAAGAUUCUGAAGCUAAAAGAUUAAAAUAUUAAUUAAAUUGCAAACAUUAAAGAUUUUUUUUCCAAAAUUGGUUGCUUUGAAAAUGAGAAUAAUAUAAUGUUUGAAGACUUUUCAAAAUUAAUUACUGUGAUGCACUAGAAAUUUCUAGCUUUAGUCUAAUGUAUAAAUUGACAAAACGUAUUAGAAUCCCAGGUGAAAAGAACCCUCUCACACCAAUUAUUUAAAUUAGGAAUGAUCAUACCUGUGGCUCUGCCGAACUGAGGGCGAGGCCUGAACCCCUCAUCUCGAGACGCUUGAGAUGGGAAGAGCCCACUUUGACUAAUUCAUUACGAAAAUAAUCGACAUCUUGCUCUUGCAAUCCACAUAACUCUAGGUCUUCAAUUCUCUGCAGUUGCACGACUAGCGAAUCCUUCAAGCGAAUCUGGUCAUAUAGCUCGAGUCUGAAUUCACGACCCCAAAUGCCGGUGCUCCCCCAAAACCGACCUCCAAUGCUUAUUCUGUACCUUUCCAGCUUCUCCAAGAACAGGCCUCUGGGCAGAGUGCUGACGUCAUGGGUGUCUAAUUCCAAAGAGGUCAAGUUGGGCAAAUGCUUCAACUCCUCAAGGCUUGCAUUCUUAACCCCUUCCACCUCCACCUCCCAAUUAUGAAAGCUUUUAGGACCUAUAUAUAGUUCUUCUAAAUGGGAUAAUUUUGACAGUAUAUUUG
rnacentral:lncRNA from 1 species